rnacentral:lncRNA from 1 species
UGUUGUAAACAAAAAUUGCCCUUUUCCCUUAUGGGGUAUCCAAGACCCCAUAUAGAGUCCUUAUGUAGGUUCUCUGUCGGUAGGAGAGAAUAACAGAGGCCAACCACAGAAUAUUGAGAAGCAAAGCAGCUAGUAAGCUUGAUCUUUAUUGAUCUGUUGCAACAGGGUGCUCCCCUCACCCGCAGGAGAGAGGAGGAACCCAGAAAAAUGGUGUGCAAGGCCUUAUAAAAACUUUUGAAAUUGCCACCCUGUAGAUCAAGACCAACCCCAGAAACAUCAUACAUACAUCACAGAAGGGGUGUAACCUAAGACCACCCCUCAGAUACAUCACACCUACAUCACAAAAAAGGCGGUCUAAAACAGAAAUUUUGAAUGUUGUUUUUCUCCUGUCCUUGUUUAUCUCCUGUCUGGCAGGUUACUUGAUUGGAUUGCCUGGGGAGCCUGGCCAGUCUUUCGUAAUGAUAAAUACUUAGUUCCUGGGCCAGGUCACAGGCUCACCCUAAUCAUACACAGAUAUACUCUUAAGACAGGAUUUGUGAGGAAAGAGACAAUGGGGAGGUUUCCCACUUUGACCUUGCAGAGAAAACAUUUGCUCAGUUUAGGAAUCAAAAUGGUUCCAGGUUGGCCUUCCUGUGCUGAUCUAUGUAUGUGCCUUGUUGGUACACUUAUGAACAUUUAUCAUAUAUCUAAGACCUCAAAAUUCCUAUCACACUAUACACACCACAGAUUCAGAUGUCCAAACAGCUUUCCUGGUACACAGAAGCCAUUUCUCCAGAACCAGGACAGGAGGAAAGGGGAGAGAUCAGAUAAACAAGAGAGCACUUUCCCACUUCCUUCUUGGCCUUUUGGAAGGUUUCAGGUGGCUUUCCUGAGUUCCCCCCAGGGAAGCUUUCCAAUGUUUGAUUAUGUUUUUAUAUAUGUUGGAAGCUGCCCAGAGGGGCCGGGGCAACCCAGUGAGAUGGGCGGAGUACAAAUAAUAAAUUAUUAUUAUUUCUGUCAUUUUGGGGUCAAAAUUCCACGGUCAGGAAUGCAUUAAUAAUAAUAAUAAUAAUAAUAAUAAUAAUAAUAAUAAUAAUAAUAAUAAUAAUAUAUUAUUUAUACCCUGCCCAUCUGGCUGGGUCCCCCCAGCCAUACUGGGUGGCUUCCAACAAAACACUAAAAUACAAUAACCUAUUAAACAUUAAAAGCUUCCCUAAAGAGGGCUGCCUUCAGAUGUCUUCUAAAAGUCUGGUAGUUGUUCUCCUCUUUGACAUCUGAAGGGAGGGCGUUCCACAGGGCGGGUGCCACUACCGAGAAGGCCCUCUGCCUGGUUCCCUGUAACUUGGCUUCUCGCAGCGAGGGAACCGCCAAAAGGCCCUCAGAGCUGGACCUCAGUGUCCGGGCAGAACGAUGGAGGUGGAUAGAUAUUUUUCGCAUAGGGCUCAUUGGGAAUUGUCCACUCAUUUCGCAAAUCCUUGCCUAAUGAACAAUUUCCUGAGAAUGCGUUUUGUUUGAAUAAGUUGACCCGCAUGUAUUUAUAUUUUAUUAUUUUAUAUAUUGUAUUUACAUCCCGCCAUUUUUCUCCAAGGAGCUCAAGAGAGGCAUUCAUGGUUCUCCCGCUCCUCAUUUAACCCUCACAGCAACCCUGUGAGGUGGCACCUGGCCCAAGGUCACCCAUUGAGCUUCAUGGCCAAGCGAGGAUUCAAACCCUGGUCUCUCUCAGACACUCUAAUCAGACACUCUAACCACCAUACAGCACUUAGGCUGCAGACACACCACACCUUUAAAGCAGUUGACUCCCCACCCCCAAAUUCUGGGAACUGGGGGUCACCUCACACAGACCUGUGGUUCUCAUUGCACCUAGUAAACUAUGGUUCCUUGGGGAAAGUCCUGGCCAGGCAAGAGUGUGGGAAUGUUGCAUAGGCAAACUCGGCCCUCCAGAUGUUUUGGGACUACAACUCCCAUCAUCCCUGACCACUGGUCCCAUUAGCUAGGGGUGAUGGGAGUUGUAGUCCCAAAACAUCUGGAGGGCCAAGUUUGCCUAUGCCUGUUGUAGAUACUGGGAGAGGAUAUAUUGAUUUAAUAGUAUGCUUCCUCUCUCAUGCUUGUGAGUCAGCAGCAGAGUGCAUUCCCCAAUAUAUAGCUGGAAGCUAGUUGGUAGAUUCGUUUGGACCUCUUUACUUAAGCAAUCCAAUCUGGCUUUGUUCAGAUUGGAGUAUAUUCCUGGUAAGACCCCUUUUAUCCCUCCUAAACAGAAGAAAGACACAAGAAGCUUCUUUUAAAAGUAACAAGAAGUUUACUCACAUUCAGUUCACGGUUGGAUCCCUGAAGGCAGACUUCAGCUUAGAGUUACAAAAGAGGGUUUGAGUUCAUCCCAUAUGGGAACUCAUCGGGAUUCGGACUCGGAGGCUGAACCUGAGGGAUCCCAGCCUGCACAGGAUUCCCCGCCUCCAGAACCAGCUGAGCCGGGGCUGGAGCCUGAGCCUGAAGGGUCCUCACCUGUGCUGGAUCCUCGGGUACAGGCACCAGCUGAGUCUGCUCUGGCCCCUGAGGUGAUGGAGGACCCAUUGCCUGCAGGUGCUCCACUCUCAGCCCCGUCAGAGGAAGCGGAGGUUGCCUCUGGGUCCGGUGACCCUCCAGCCUCUCCUGAGAUGCAGAGGCUCAGGGCAGAGAGGCGGAGGGAACUAAGUUCUCGCAGGAGGAGUGCUUGCCUCCAGGCCAGGAGAGGUGAGUCACCAGGGGAUCGGGGCCGCCCUAUGCCUCGGGGAAGAUAAAAGCCGGCCAGCCCCUGUCCCAAGUUGCGGGAGCAACAUUUGUUGGUAGCUUGUUCCUGCCCAAACCCUGUCCUGCUCUUCUGCCAGAGUUCCUGACCUCACCCGACUCCAGGCCUUGGACCCAGCUUCAGCUUUGACGGACAGCCUCCAUGCUGCACCCUUGACCUUGGUCUGGACUUGGACCUCGCCUCACGGUUAACCCACAGCACACCAACCCCUGCUCUAAACAAAUUGUUGCAAGCUCCAUGUAGCUUUCCCUUACUUCUUCCCAACCCACCAGCAGCUCCCAGGACUUUCACACAAGAUGCCCCCACAAGACCUUCUCCGUUCUACUCCUUUCUCACUGGCCCAGCCAUGAUCCGGAGACGAUUAUCUCCAGCCGCCACACAGAGAGCCCUCAAAGCUCACAACGAACCUUUGGAUGGCUCCGUUGCAAUCUCCACGGUGCAGAAGAGGAAUCUCUGCAAAGGCACUUGAGCUAAUUCUGUCUUUGAAGGAUGCGGAGGAGGGAGAAAAUGAAAUAGCUGGUAUCUCUCCCCUGCGUUCUGCUGUUCUCUUUUGGACUGGGAAGGCUGCAGCGAAACAGAGACAUAUCUAGGGAUGCAGUUCAGGACUAUGAUGCCAGGGACUCUAGAGGGGGCAGCCCCACAGCCCAACCGAGCCCUAUUGGUGCUCUUAAUGAUGCAGUGCAUGUGAUUUUGUAGAAUCCUAGAACUGCAAAGUUGGAGGGGUCCUAAAGGACCAUCUAGUCCAACCCCCGACAAUGCCUUUGAUUUCCUCCCAUAUCCAUGUCUUCAUCAUCAUCAUCUGUCAGGGAACUGCCAUCAGUGCCGGAGGGAGAGAGAGAGCUCCAGAGGGAUCCCAGAGAGCGUCACGGGAUUGGGAGAGGCAGCCCAUCUUCUGGGGAAGGGAAUCAGCUCAGCUCCAGUGGAGAAGGGGGCAGAUGGGGGAAUCUGAGAGGAGUCACAUGACUCCUUGCCUGGGACCAGUGGGGGGAGGAAGGGUCCUCCGCUGCCUACGCCUUCCUUGCGCAGAAGGCUUCCGCGCAGGGAAAGUAGGAGGCGACUGGGCGUGAAAGAACUUCUAUGCUGGAAGAAGUUUAAGAAACGCCCACUGACAGAUUCUGCCAGCGAUUGAGACAGCCACGGGUGAGUGGCUGUCCAGACAGAAAAGGUUCACUUAGGCAACCCAGCCAGGUGUGGGCACCGGCUUACGCACGAGCAACCCCUUGAACCACUACAGCAAUCCGUCAGUCCUUGACGUUGCUUGUGCGCAGUACCAGAGAGGCAGCACGAUGAGCCAAACAGAGCCGGCCGGAGGAACAGAGCAAGAAGCCUUGAUGCGAGGGCUGGUAGAGAGGAACCGAGACCUGGAGGUGCAUGUUGCUACCCUGACGGCGCGGCUGUAUUAUUUAUACCUCACCCAUCUGGCCAGGCCUCCCCAGCCACUCUGGGCAGCUUCCAACAAAAGAUUAAAACAUCAAACAUUAAAAACUUCCCUAAACAGGGCUGCCUUCAGAUGUCUUCUAAAAGUCCGAUAGUUGUUGAUUUCCUUGACAUCUGAUAGGAAGGCAUUCCACAGGUUGGGUGCCACCACCGAAAAGGCCCUCUGCCUCGUUCGCUGUAACCUCGCUUCUCACAGUGAGGAACCGCCAGAAGGCCCUCGGAGCUGGACCACAGUGGCUGGGCUGAGCGAUGGGGGUGGAGACACUCCUUCAGGGAUACUGGGCUGAGGCCGUCUUGUUCAGAAUCAGAGGCUAAAUAGGUUGCUGAAAUGCCAGCAAGGGUCACAAGUUACUCUAGUGCUGUAGUUGUUCAUACAAUCAUAGACUUAAUAGAAUUGUAGAGCUGGAAGGGAUCCAAAGGGUUAAUAAUAAUAAUAAUAAUAAUAAUAAUAAUAAUUUAUUUAUACCCCACCCUUCCCGGUUCAAAAACCGGGCUCAGGGCAGCUAACAACAAAUUUAAAACACUUAAUUAUAAAAGCAGCAUAAAAUACAGUAUAAAAACAUGAAAAACAAUAAAAUUCAAAAAUCAAUUUAGAGGAAAUAAGCAUUAGAUAAUCAAUCCCCAGGGCUAGCUGACUGAAUUGGUCCUACUUGGGCCAGCGAGGAGGCCAGGGGAGAAUUAGCUGUGGGGUCUCAGAAUGGGUGAUCUUCAUAAAAGGGGAGGGGGAGGGAAGGGAAAUAAAAGAUCAGGCUGAAUUCAAAUUAAAGGCCAGGUGGAAUAGUGGAACAAGAUGGAGACAGAUUAAAAUUGCAGAGCUUUGAAAAACUGAAAAAUAAAGUGCGAGAUUGGCUCCAUUAUUACCAAAUAAUGGAGGCAUACAAUUUGGACAAAAAAGUUGGUUUCCAGGUGGAAAAAUCAAAAUUGGAAACAGAACUGUUAGAUCCAAAAAUUAAGAAUUUGUCAAGAAUGUAUAACUUGCUGUUGAAAUGGAACACUCAGGAUGAAACGGUGAAAUCAGCUAUGAUUAAAUGGGCACAAGAUGCUGGACAUAAUAUAAUGAUGGCUGACUGGGAACAGUUAUGGACCACAGGUAUGAAAUUCAUGGCAUGUAACGCCCUAAGAGAAAAUUUAAUGAAAAUGAUUUAUAGGUGGUACAUGACACCAGUCAAGCUUGCAAAAAUUUACCAUUUGCCCAACAAUAAAUGUUGGAAAUGUAAUAAGACUGAAGGUACAUUCUUUCACCUUUGGUGGACGUGCCCAAGGAUUAAGACAUACUGGGAGAUGAUUUAUAAUGAAAUGAAAAAGGUAUUUAAAUAUACUUUCCUGAAGAAACCAGAGGCCUUUCUCCUGGGCAUGGUUGGCCAAUUGGUGCCAAAGAAGGAUAGAACUUUUUUUAUGUAUGCAACAACAGCAGCAAGAAUGCUCAUCGCGAAGUAUUGGAAGACACAAGAUCUACCCACCCGGGAAGAAUGACAGAUGAAGUUGAUGGACUAUAUGGAAUUGGCGGAAAUGACUGGCAGAAUCCGAGACCAGGGAGAAGAGUUGGUGGAAGAAGAUUGGAAAAAGUUUAAAGACUAUUUACAGAAAUACUGUAAAAUUAAUGAAUGUUAGAAAAAUGUUGGAAUGAAGUUAUAUGGCUUUAGUAGAAAUGUUACAAGGAAUUAAGUAUAAAUAGAUUAAAAGAGUAUUAAAGGAAAAAACAAGGUUAGAAUGUGUUAAGAUAAUUAUAGGAUAGAAAACAGAGGAAGAUGGAAAGGAAUUGCUGAAAGAAUUAACAGAAGUGGAAUACAAAAAGGGAGGUGUGAGGAGGUCGUGGAAAUGUGAAUGAAAGAUAAGAUACUGAAAUUGUUUGAUUUAUCUUAAACUGUUUUUGUUUUGUUUUGUUAGUUUAAUGUGUUAAUGUUAUGUAGUGCUUUUGUAUUGUAUUGUAUUGUAUUGUUUUUGUAGUGUUUAAAUUGUUGGAAAAGUAAUAAAUAUUAUUUUUUAAAAAAAUAAAGGCCAGGUGGAAUAGCUCUGUCUUACAGGCCCAACGGAAGGAGGUUAAAUCCUGCAGGGCCCUGGUCUCAUGGGACAGAGCAUUCCACCAGGUCAGAGCCAUCACUGAGAAGGCCCUGGUGGAGGCUAGUCUGACUUCCUUAGGGCCCGGGACCUCUAAACUAUGGUUGUUCAUGGACCUUUAGGUCCUCUGAGGGGCAAACCAGGAGAGGCGGUCCCAUAAAUAUGAGGGCCCUAAGCCACAAAUCUAGCCCAACUCCCUGUAAUGCAGGAAUCUCAACUACUGUAGAUCAUACAUGACAGGUGCCCAUCCAACCUCUGUUUCAAAACCUCCAAGGAAGGAGAGUCCACCACCUCCCGAAGGAGACCAUUCCACAGCUCUUACUGUCAGAAAGUUCUUCCUGAUGUUUAGUCAGAAUCUCCUUCCUUGUAAUUUGAAGCCAUGGGUUCGAGUCCUACCCUCCAGUGCAGGGCGGAAAUAUGCUUCUUGCAUCUUCUUGCACUUUAUAAUGGCAUUUGGACUUCUAAGCUAGUGUAUGAACUGGCCUUAAGAGUGGUUGAGAUUUGGCUUCCAUUGAGUAAAAGGGCCAGUUCCAUUGGACAUUGGAAGCGAUUACAGAAGGAGCGAAGUUCUCUAGGAUGUAAAAGUAACACCACUGCCUAAGCUCUGUUGUCAAGAGAUGCCAUUGUUAAUUGCCCAGAUCUCGAGAUGCUGCAGCCAGACAAUGAUGUCAGAGUUCUUGAGGUAUUAUUAAUAAUAAUGACAUCAGAUAACCAGUCUCAAUAUGAGUUUUUCAUCAAUAUUGAAACAGCAUUGCAUAUUAAUCAGCCCUGCCAUUCUGGAACGCAAGGCAAUAUCUUUUGAAGUUCCUUAUCUCCUUGGAAAUAAUUUGCUUGGGAAGAAGUUCAUCAGGACACCUGAUCAAAAUAGCUGCCACUUCUCUUUCUUCACAAGGGCAGGGGAAGAUCAUCAUCCUCCCCUCGACGUGAAGAAGAAGAAGAAGAAGAAGAGUUUGGAUUUGAUAUCCCGCCUUUCACUCCCCUUCAGGAGUCUCAAAGCGGCUAACGUUGUCCUUUCCCUUCCUCCCCCACAACAAACACUCUGUGAGGUGAGUGGGGCUGAGAGACUUCAGAGAAGUGUGACUGGCUCAAGGUCACCCAGCAGCUGCAGGUGGAGGAGCGGAGACACGAACCCGGUUCCCCAGAUUACAAGACUACCGCUCUUAACCACUACACCACACUGGCUCUUUAUCAAGGAAUUCUUGAUAAAGUUUCCUGUGCCACCUCAACCAGUGUGGUGCCAGUGUGGUGUAGUGGUUAAGAGCAGUAGUCUCGUAAUCUGGGGAACCGGGUUCGCGUCUCCGCUCCUCCACCUGCAGCUGCUGGGUGACCUUGGGCCAGUCACACUUCUCUGAAGUCUCUCAGCCUCACUCACCUCACAGAGUGUUUGUUGUGGGGGAGGAAGGGAAAGGAGAAUGUUAGCCGCUUUGAGACUCCUUAGGGUAGUGAUAAAGAGGGAUAUCAAAUCCAAACUCUUCUUCUUCUUCUCAACGGGUCUCCAGUGGCGCCAUCAUUUGCACCUCUCUGUCUCUGGAGACAAUGGAGGAAUGCACCUUUGAAGGUGAGGUCAAACCAACAGAGAGUUGCAGCGCCUGACUGAUGCGGGAGAGACAUGUUUUGUUGCAGCUGGGGCAGGCAUCUUCGUUGGACUCUGCGCUGCCAUGUGAUGCCCAAAAUUAUUCGUAAGUAGUUAAAACAUUAAUUAGCAUCUGGCUGAGGUCACAUGCCAUUCCCCCUAACCACAAAAAACCCACACGCGCUCAGCCUUGACUGAUGGGUGAUAACAGGGCCAGAUUCAGGUUUGAUGAGGCCCUCAGCUCCUGAAGGUAAUGGUGCCCUUUAUACGUCCAGCUGUCCUUUGUCAACAACAAAUUGUCACUGUUUUUUUUUUUGUUGAAUAUAUGCUAUAUGGUGAUUUAUGGACCUCAUAGGUAUCUCAAGCCAUUUGCACACAACAAAAUAUGUAUUUUAUCAAAGUAAUUGUUGAAUACAUCCAGGGUUUUUUCCUUUUUGGGGUCCCCCAGGGGAGUGGGGCCCCAAGCUAUAGCUUGUUUAACUUAUACAUAAAUCCGGCACUGAGUGGUAACUCCAAGAUCCGUCUCACUAAGAGAAGUCACUGAUCACCUAAUCCUCCAGGCGUUUGUCCAAUACUCUUUUAAAGUCAUCCAGAUUGGUGAUCACCACUGCCUCCUGUGGCAGGGAGUUCCAUAGUUGAACUGUGCACUGAAUCUAUUUGUCCUGAAUCUUUCAAUGUUCAACUUCAUUGGAUGUCUACAAUUUCUAGUGUUAUGAAGGAGGUGGGAGGGUGGGAAAUAUCUCUCCACUCUCCCCAUGCCAUGCAGAAUUUUAUAAGCACCUGUCAUGUCUCUUAUCCGCCCUUUCUCUAAACUGAAAAGUAAAAACAAAACAAAACACUGCCACCUUCCUUCAUAUGGGAAUCUCUCCAUCCCUUUGAUCAUUUCGGUCAUCCUUUUCUGAUGAAGAUUUUCAAACUCAGCAAUGCCCUUUGCCUGUUCUAAAAGCUCCUCCAUCGAAAUCUCUCUGUCUGAGCAAAGUUAGCAUUGUUGGGAAAGUAUUUCAGGAUUAGAACCCUCUUUCCACCCACAUGAAGGGAGAUCUCGAUGUGGGUGAGCAUUCAAAACCCAAAACUGUCCUCCAUUCUGAGUUGGUCCAGACUUCAAAACAUGAGAGUCUUCAGAAGUUUUCGGCAGAGGUUGGAAAUCUCUGUUUCAGGGAUGCAGCAGCGACAGGUUUCCUUCAUCAGCAGCUGUGGGUUUUGUCUGCAUGGCCAACUCUCCAAUUCUAUGACUGUGGUAUCCGGGCUUUUUCUUUUUUGGCUCUAAAUCCCAGAUUCAGUUUAAAUGAUUAAUAGACUAGGGCUUUGGGUUAAUUUACUAACUCUGCCAUUUGGCAGCAUAAUAAGAGUCAUCAAGAUAGUAUUAAAAUUUGCAUGCCUUACCACUUCAAGCCAAGGGAGGCCUCGUUCCCGUGAAUUUCCUAAUGAAGGAACUUUUCCUAAACCCAUUUCUUCCCUUUUAGAUUUUUUAAAAUCUAUCACAGGCCUUGGAAAGUUAUUCAAGUGAAUCCAGUCUUCUCAGUCUUUGGAUUUUGCAAAAUGUAGCACACAUUAUAUGUGGAGGCCAUAAACACAUGUUAUUUAUUUAGCUAUCGUUAAGUUAUUAAAGUAAUGCCUGUGGUACUGGCCACUAUUUUUGCAGACCCAAAGUGGCUAAAUGCCCUUCCCUGCCGGGAGGAUGCCCAGCUAAUAACAUCCAAUUCUGAUAAGACUAGGUUACCAGAUGUCCCCGUUUCUUGGGGACAGUCCCUGGAUUCACAAAUCUGUCCCCGGACAAAAUCCGUCCCCAGAAUGUCCCCGGAUCUCAUUUAAUGUCCCCGGAUUUAUAUUUUAAGUGUUGUAGAUUUAUUAGUAGGGAAUUAAUGUUGCGUGAUCGGUUCAACGGCACCAGACACAUCAUAUGGGGACUUCCUUCGAGGCAAAGUGGUGGGUACCAUGGCAGCGAGCAGCUCCUGAAGCCAGCCAGAGCCAACUGCGCUACCAGCCUGGCUCUGGGCUGCUGAGGCUGCCACUGCUGCCACCACUGCCGAGGGCAAAAUGGGGAUGCCUGUGGUGUCAACUGGGGGAACCACUGACCCCCCCAUGACCCAAAUCGAGCUGGGAGCAAGAGCGCCUGGCCACCUGGCCAGCUGCCCAGCGGCACUCCAGGGCCAGUAAAACCCCCGGAGCCGACGCAGGGAGAAGGAGGAAAGGAGAAGGAAGAGAGAGAAAAAGGAAGGAGAAAAAAGAGGGGAGCCCCAACCUUGCUGCAUUGCUGCCGCCGCCGCCACUGAGAAGAGGUAGGAGAGCACCGGGAGGGCAAGGACAUGUGGCCAAGCCCAGACCCGACCCGAGACUACUCCAUGGCAGAUAGCACUCCAAGAGAUCAGGCCGGAACCCAGAGGAAGGCCGCGCGACAGAAGACACCCAGAAAAGAAUAUAUUACUUCUCAUUUUUUAAAAUAAUGGUUUUUUAAAAAAUAACUUUUUUUCUCUUUUCAAAAAAAAAGUGUCCCCGGAUUCUUUGGAAAAAAUCUGGUAACCUUAGAUAAGACCAUAUCCAAAAAGAACAGUUUGAGCCUUCCAACAUUUUAUUUGCACCCCAUCUUUCCCACAAGGAACUUGAUGGGGCAUAUGGGGUUAUGCCCUUUGAGGUAGGCUAUGCUGAGAGGUAGGGAUGCGGGUGGCGCUGUGGGUUAAACCACAGAGCCUAGGACUUGCCGAUCAGAAGGUUGGCAGUUUGAAUCUCCACGACGGGGUGAGCUCCUGUUGCUCGGUCCCUGCUCCUGCCAACCUAGCAGUUCGAAAGCAUGUCAAAGUAGAUAAAUAGGUACCACUCCGGCGGGAAGGUAAAUGGUGUUUCCGUGCACUGCUCUGGUUCGCCAGAAGCGGCUUAGUCGUGCUGGUCACAUGACCCGGAAGCUGUACGCCGGCUGCCUCGGCCAAUAAAGCGAGAUGAGCGCCGCAACCCCAGAGUCGGCCAUGACUGGACCUAAUGGUCAGGGGCCCCUUUACCUUUACCUAUGCUGAGAGGUAGCAACAGGCUCAAGGACACCAGGUGAGCUUCAUGGCCGAGUGGGGAUUUGAACCCUGGUCUACCCAGACAUAUUAACCUCUACACCACAUUGGCCUUUGCACCUGAAAGGGGGUCAGCAACAUUACCUGGCCAUUCAAUAAGCUUUUGUGCAUGCAAGACUAACGCUCUAAGUUUGAUGGACGGAAAGCUAUCCUCUGGCAAGGGAGCUUUAUAAAUACAUAAGAAAUAUGCAACCCGCCCUUUGUAUACCUACAGGGCAAGCCUAGCCGUGUCUCCUGAAAAGGAAGUCUGGUUGUGUUCACUCCCAGGUAAACGGGGCUAGAACUGCAGCCUUCAAAAUGGUAAUUUCCACCAUUUCUUUCAGGCAGAAUUGAGCAAAGUCCCUAAAUGACUUUACAGGUAAUUAACUAGCAUUGCAUGGGAUAUGGAAAGCAGCUCCUUGUUAAGUGCAUUUCCUUUAAUUACAAUUUAAAAGGUUCAGAAGGAGAUAUUAAUUAUAGUUUUUUCAGCUAUCUUCACCCGCACUUGGCAAGCCUACAGCUUGCCAGGGGAUGCUCUGGAGAACAUCUUCUCAGCCAUUCGGUUAAAUAUCAGUUCUGAGUGCAGCCUCCUGACGGGCUGCUUCUACAUUUGCUGUGCUUUGCGCAACGCGGCCGAGAAACCCAUUUCACAGCUCUGGGCUAAUUAUAGCGGCAUCUGCAGCCCCCGCCAUCCUCCUCUCCCACCUCUGCUGUCUGGAUCACUUGCCUACUCACCAGUUUGCAUGCUCACCCUGAGCAGCUAAAAGAGGCCCUGGGAGGCCGGAGGGACAUUCCUCCAUCCAUGAAUGUGGGAAGGAAGACCUGCUCCCUGCUGCCAGGCCCAUUGCCACCUGGGACCCAUCUAGAGCAGGACCCAGACUCACCCUGGACAGCUAAAAGAGGCUCCUGGGAGGCCCCUGGAACAUGGCUGGAACAACUCUUGGCUUGCGGCAACUGGCUAAAAUGUCUUAAAAUGCUUUAAAUGGUUCUCCUUUUGGUUCCUCUGUUUGUUUUUGUCAGGUUGGUGUUGGUUAAAUGUUUAGUUGGUGGUUAUUUUAAUCUAAACUGUUUGCAAUGAUAAUAAUAAUAUUUUAUUAUCUAUACCCCGCCCAUCUGGCUGGGUUUCCCCAGCCACUCUGGGCGGCUCCCAAUUGAGUAUUAAAAACAAUACAGCAUUAAAUAUUAAAAACUUUCCUAAACAGAGCUGCCUUCAGAUGUCUUUUAAAAAAAGGAUAGUUGUUUAUUUCCUUGACAUCUGAUAGGAGGGCUUUCCACAGGGUAGGCACCACCGCCGAGAAGGCCCUCUGUCUGGUUCCCUGUAACCUCGCUUUCUUGCAGGGAAGGAACUGCCAGAAGUCCCUCGGAGCUGGACCUCACUGUCCAGGCUGAACGAUGGGGGUGGAGACUGCUCCGUCUCCAUGUUCAGAGGCAGCAGUGCUUCUGAAUGCACUCUGGACGUGCUCAGAGACACUGUGCAGCAAUGCAUUGAACCAAAAUGCCUUUUCACUCCCAUAACCGUGCCCCGCAGAGUGCUUGCAAAGCCGGAGCCGUGUCUGCCUUUCUGAGCAUUUUGCUAUGUACCAGACGCCGUGUUGGUAUUCUGUAAUCCGAGGAUUACUUCCCGGAAAAUCCAAUACAAAUAAAGCUAUCAUGUGCUAUCCAGAAUUAAUGCAAGGAUUCAAAACCCGCCUGUUGAGCCUCUCCCCUCCCGUCGCCCUCUCCUGUCAUUUUGAUAGAGUUAUGAUUUCAUCCCCAGACACAAGGAAGCAGGAUCUGUGUUUGGUGAGGGCUUCUUAUCAGCCUAAUAGAUUCCUCCCUCCCCAGGUGCCGCUGAUGCAUCAGUUGGAUAAUUAAAUGCAUGAAAGCUUCCUUCACUUGUUGCAGGAGGUCCCUUUGCAGAUUCCCAAAGCCUCCCUCUCCCUCUCUGGUCUGAAGGAGCCCCAGGGAACAUCCUGCCAGGACCCCCUUGCACCACCCAUGGGGGGGGGGCGCAGAUCACCAUUGCACAGGGCAGUGUAGUGGUACACUUGUGAAACGUUGUUGUUGUUGUUGUUUAGUCGUUUAGUCGUGUCUGACUCUUCGUGACUCCCUGGACCAGAGCAUGCCAGGCACUCCUGUCUUCCACCACCUGCCGCAGUUUGGUCAAACUCAUGCUGGUCGCUUCGAGAACACCGUCCAACCAUCUCAUCCUCUGUCGUCCCCUUCUCCUUGUGCCCUCCAUCUUUCCCAACAUCAGGGUCUUUUCCAGGGAGUCUUCUCUUCUCAUGAGGUGGCCAAAGUCUUGGAGCCUCAGCUUCAGGAUCUGUCCUUCCAGUGAGCACUCAGGGCUGAUUUCCUUCAGAAUGGAACAUGGACCACUUAUAAAGGCCAUCUCCAACUCCUUGAAAGAUUCCAUCAACGGGGUCUCUGAGAAAUGUUACACAUCACUUGGGAAGACAGUCUACUGGAAGAAGCAAAGAUCACCAGUGUUGAAGCAAUGAUUCUUCAACAUCAACUUCGUUGGACUGGUCAUGUUGUGCGGAUGCCUGAUUAUUGUCUUCCAAAGCAACUACAGUGGAUGUUCAGGUUGCGAACGUGAUCCAUGCGGGAUGCACGUUCUCAACCCGCAGCAUCCACAACAUGCAGCCGGAUUUAGGUUUGAUGAGGCCCUCAGCUCCUGAAGGUAAUGGGGCUCUUUAUAUGUCCAGCUGUCCUUUGACAGCAGCAAAUUGUCGCUGUUUUUUGUGUUGGGUAUAUGCUAUAUGGUAAUUGACGGACCUCAUAGGUAUCUCAAGCCAUUUGCACAUGUUACCCUGCAACCAGCCCAUGCAGAAUGUAGGCACCCUAUAUAUAAAGGUAAAGGGACCCCUGACCAUUGGGUCCAGCCGUGGCCGACUCUGGGGUUGUGGAGCUCAUCUCGCUUUAUUGGCCGAGGGAGCCGGUGUACAGCUUCCGGGUCAUGUGGCCAGCAGGACUAAGCCGCUUCUGGCAAACCAGAGCAGCGCACGGAAAAGCCGUUUACCUUCCCACCGGAGCAGUACCUAUUUAUCUACUUGCACUUUGACGUGCUUUCGAACUGCUAGGUUGGCAGGAAUAUAUAGAAAUAUAUAUAUAAAUGAGCAUACCUAUACAGUGGUACCUCGGGUUACAUACACUUCAGGUUACAUACGCUUCAGGUUACGGACUCCACUAACCCAGAAAUAGUGCUUCAGGUUAAGAACUUUGCUUCAGGAUGAGAACAGAAAUCGUGUUCUGGCGGCGCAGCAGCAGCAGGAGGCCCCAUUAGGUAAAGUGGUGCUUCAGGUUAAGAACAGUUUCAGGUUAAGUACAGACCUCCGGAACGAAUUACCGUAUUUUUUGCUCUAUAAGACUCACUUUUUCCCUCCUAAAAAGUAAGGGGAAAUGUGUGUGCGUCUUAUGGAGCGAAUGCAGGCUGCGCAGCUAUCCCAGAAGCCAGAACAGCAGGAGGGAUUGCUGCUUUCACUGCACAGCGAUCCCUCUUGCUGUUCUGGCUUCUGAGAUUCAGAAUAUUUUUUUUCUUGUUUUCCUCCUCCAAAAACUAGGUGCGUCUUGUGGUCCGGUGCGUCUUAUAGAGCGAAAAAUACGGUAAGUACUUUACCCGAGGUACUACUGUAUAUAGAAAGGAGCAAACCAGUGAUAUUUGAGGGAGCAGGCUAGCAGGCGGGGCCCAUGACUUACAUCGUAGGAGCCUACACAAUACAAAACACUGUUGCUGUAUGUAGGUUUUAUUGUAUUUGUUUUUUAUCUUACAUUUUGGAAAUGUACAUCCAGGUUUUUUCCUUUAACUUUUUUUUGGGGGGGGGGGCCAAGAGAGUGGGGCCUGAAGCUAUAGCUUGUUUAGUUUAUAUGUACAUCCGAGGGUGCCAAAUUUUAGUGUUGCACGGGGUGCCACUGAAAUUUGAGAACCCAAAGUCUGCCACUGCCCCUACCCUGUAAAACUGAACUAUUCAGAAUAUCGGUCCAAUUAAAACUGUGUUCAUGCCCUGAGCCUUUCUUGUCUCACAUCCCUAAAACAUGCGCAGAAGUUAGUAACCAAAGAACAGGCCUUCUCCGUGCCAGCUCUCCCUAGAAAAACAGUCCUGGCACCAAUUUUUCUCUCAUUUCAGCACCAGGUAAAAAUGUAUUUAUUCCAUAGCUGUCAACUUACAGAUUUGAAAAUAAGGGACCAGCAGCCAAAAUAAGGGACCUGCAGCCUCACCUGUUCCAGGCACUCCAGUCUUCCUGUCCUCCUGCAGUCUGGUCAAACUCAUGCUGGGUAGCUUCGAGAACACUGUCCAACCAACUUUGUAACCAGAGGUUCAACUGAAUAGAAUCUGAAUCACAUGCACCACAAGGCCUAUGCAGCCUCAACUUAAGAUGGCUCCCCGGCCUGGCUUUGCACUGCAAAGUUUGCAGCAGCACGUGCAAAGAAAUGGCGUCCAGCAUUCAAAACCCCCCUCAGCUUGCAUUAACUAGCCACACACAAGGCAUGCAAGCUCCACCCCCCCCAGUCGUUCUUAGACUUCUUAUUGGGUAAACAACACAGCCAAUCAACACAGUUGGAGCCUCCCUCCUCCCUGGCCAGCAGGGAGGGAGGAAGAGGAGCUGCUUCCUUUGAAAUUUAAGGGACAUCAUUUAAGGGACAUUUAAGGGACAUCCAUCAAUAAGGGACAGCAGCGGGACAUGGCGCUGGAAUAAGGGACUGUCCCUUCAAAUAAGGGACACUUGACAGCUAUGAUUUAUUCCUCCAGGCAUAUGGACAACUUUAAUCAUAGUGCUGUUAAUCCGCUUUUUCACAUGUGUUUUUAAUUGUAGUUGCACUGAUAUUGUGCAUUGUUUAAUGUGUAGUUUUGAUGUUUUUGUUUCCUUUUUUGUGAUUUUUUAAUAUUGUAAAUAACUUGGAGCCUCUUUUUUAUUUUUUUUACUACAAAGCAAUUUAUAGAUCUACUGGAUCAGAGCAAGGGAUUACCCUGCUUAAAAACAAACACCAAUUAAAUAUUAAUUGAUUUAAUUGAUUCAACAAGAUGGAUGAACUUGAUCCAGCAACAGCAGCUUCUCAAACCUUGAGAGUCAUUGACACCUCCACUGGUCCCCUGCAACCCCCUUCUCUCUUAGUGGCUCCAAGGGGAACCAAGGCAGUAUUCAGGAGCUCGGCCUUUCCCAACCUGGUGCCCUCUGAAGCUUUCGAACUACAAUUCUGAAACUAGAGGGCACUAGGUUGGGGAAAGUCUUCCCACCCUUUUCCCAGGCCCUCAGCGUGAACCCAACCAGCCUCUCCUUCUACUCCCUUCCUAGGAGCUCCUCGUGUGCUCUCAGAACGCAGGUGGGGGAGAAACUAGUUUAAUAAAUAACCCCAGACUUACAUAGCUCUGGGUACCCCAUCAACUCACAGGUGCCAUUUUUUUUUGCUGCAAUAAUGCCCUGAAAAACUAGACUAGAUGAGCAACAUACUUGGAGCCACAGCAACAGAUUCCCUCACAAGGCAGUGGGCCCUCCUUCACUGGAGGUGAAUGGCCAUUCAUCAGGGAUUCCCGCAUGCCAUGGGGUUGGACUAGAUGCCCUUUGUUGGCCCCUUUCAACUCCACAAUGGCUGAGUGAGUUUCAGAGUGGUCCAGAAAGAGUUAAGCUGUGUCUUUUGCCUUGUUCACCAGGAGCAGGGAGAGAUUAUUUAUUCCCCACUGUGGGGUCCUCUGCAAUGAGGUGUUUGCUUUGCACCGGUAUACCUCUGGAGCAUCCUCCAAGGGCUGAUCUGCCUUCUCAUUACAAGGACCUGUUUGUCCUCAUUAGCCUGGGCAGGAUCCUCCAAAGGAUGAACUGCAGUUGCUCAGGGAUAAACAUUUCAAUGCUCUUGUUAAGUUGUGGGUGAACAUAUCAGAUGACACAGCGAUUCUUCAGACAGCUCUUGUUUAUUCAUAGGCCAGAACAGAACUGAACUGAAGGUUCAGCCAAUCUGCUUAUAUAGAGCUCAGCUACAAAGCAACAGUAACAAUUUUCUGUAACUAUCCAAUCACUGAACGUCACUUUCAAUUCCUUAUUUGCAUAUGUAGACCUGAAUGAAAACUACCGUAUCUACAGUAUCCCCCUGCUGGCCCAGGGUGAAAGCUUCAGUACAUAACAGAUCUGCUGCCAGCAGCAUCGGCAGGAGUCCUGUGCGAAGAGUUGCACACGGCCUUAAACUCUGAAGUACCACAUAAGACCCAUUCUGCAACAUAACGGGACAUGGGUGGCGCUGUGGUCUAAACCACUGAGCAUAGGGCUUGCCGAUUGGAAGGUCGGCGGUUCAAAUCCCCACUUCUGCCAACCUAGCAGUUCAAAAGCAUGUCAAAGUGCAAGUAGAUAAAUAGGUACCACUCCAGUGGAAAGGUAAAUGGCGUUUCCAUGCGCUGCUCUGGUUCGCCAGAAGUGGCUUAGUCAUGCUGUCUGUGGACAAACGUUAGCUCCCUUGGCCAGUAAAGCGAGAUGAGCGCCGCAACUCCAGAGUCAUUCUCGACUGGACUUAAUUGUCAGGGGUCCUUUACCUUUACCUUUAACCUUUUAGUGAGACAGCACCUCCACUGCGGAACUCUCUGCCUAUUGACCCCAGUCAGGCGACUUCACUGUCCCCUUUUCUGCACCUGCUAAAACGUUUUUGUUCAGACAAGCCUGCCCAGAUCUUUAGAAGGUUGGCAGUUUUUAGUCUCCUGUCAUUUUAACUUUUCCAAAGUCAUAAAUUAUUGUGGUUAAUUUUUCUUAUUGAUUUUUUUUGUUUUAUAUUUUUUUGGGGGGGGGGCUGCUUUGAGGGUUUCUUUUUACAUUCAAGCAGUGUCUAAAUUUUAGGAAGUGUACGAAUGAGUGAAUUCAAGGAAUUCAUUCUUGGCUCAGACUCAACUAAGCAGUUGUGCUCGUAGGAGCCAGAGCAGUGCUUCUCGUUAGCAUGAUGGGGCUUCCCUCCUUCUCCUCCCCCCAUAAAAAAUUGGCUGACUCUGGGGUUGCAGUGCUCAUCUCGUUUUACAGGCCAAGGGAGCCGGUGUUUGUCUGCUUCCACAGACAGUUUUUCUGGGUCAUGUGGCCAGCAUGACUGAGCCGCUUCUGGCGAACCAGAGCAGUGCACAGAAACACCGUUACCUUCCUGCCAGAGCGGUACCUAUUUAUCUACUUGCACUUGACGUGCUUUCGAACUGCUAGGUUGGCAGGAGCAGGGACCGAACAACAGGAGCUCACCCCGUCGCAGGGAUUCGAACCGCCGACCUUCUGAUCGGCAAGUCCUAGGCUCUGUGGUUUAACCCACAGCGCCACCCGCGUCUCCGGGUGGAAAUACUGCCUUAUAAAAAAGAAAUCAAUAAAAAUUAUUUUAAAAAGAAAAAGAAACCCUGGCAUAAGAACAUAAGAUUCUGUGACCCGAAUUUUAUAACAAGGGGGAUUUCCCCACGGCAUCCCUGAAAUGUCCAACCUGCAUCUAGGAGUCCCCAAUUUCUCCUUGCAAUACUUGGCACAACAGGACACGGGAGGAACAAAAGCGUUGCCACCCCCUCUGUACAUGCAGCAAAUCUUAGUUCUCCUUCAGCCCAUGAAUAACUUUGAAUUCAGCUUAAGGGGAAAGGCUCUUUCUUGUUAUGCAUUUGCCUUUCCACAUUAUCUGACAAGGUAAUAUGCAGUAAAACAGGAAGGCUGCUCUCCAGAAUGUCUCAGAAGUGCCAGGAACCUCCAUCUUUCUGCAGACAUUUGAUCCAGAUGAUUAGACCUCUGGACAGUUUUUGGAGGAGGGGAACUGAGACUCGGUGUGCACAGGGAUGCAAUUUAUGAUCCAGGUGGCAUUAAGAAAAAACACACCUUCAGAAUCCUACCUCCAAGGGAGUGUUAUAAGAAUUCUAAGGUCUCAAAUAUAAAAUAAAUGUUCAUAAAUGUACUAGGCUAACACAUACAUAAGUAUAUAAACCAUGUGUCUGAAAUAGUACAGGAGAGUAAUUCUGAAGCCAUUUUGACUCUCCCAAAUUGACCUCAAAUGUUUCUCUGCAAGGAGGAAGGAAAUGGGAAAGCCUCUCCCUUGUCUAUUGCUUACCUGUCUUAAGGGCAUAUUUGUGUAGGAAUAGGGUGAGCCUGUGACCUGGACUCAGGAAUUAAAGUAUUUACCAUUACAAAAGCAGACACAUCACCUUGCCAACAAAGGUCCUUAUAGUUCGAGCCAUGGUUUUCCCAGUAGUGAUGUAUGGAAGUGAGAGCUGGACCAUAAAGAAGGCUGAUCACUGAAGAAUGGAUGCUUUUGAAUUCUGGUGCUGGAGAAGACUCUUGAGAGUCCCAUGGACUGCAAGAAGAUCAAACCUAUCCAUUCUGAAGGAAAUCAGCCCUGAGUGCUCACUGGAAGGACAGAUCGUGAGGCUGAGGCUCCAAGACUUUGGCCACCUCAUGAGAAGAGAAGACUUCCUGGAAAAGACCCUGAUGUUGGGAAAGAUGGAGGGCACAAGGAGAAGGGGAUGACAGAGGACGAGAUGGUUGGACAGUGUUCUCGAAGCUACCAGCAUGAGUUUGACCAAACUGUGGGAGGCAGUGGAAGACAGGCGUGCCUGGCGUGCUCUGGUCCAUGGGGUCAAGAAGAGGCGGACACAACUAAACAACUAAACAACAACAACAAACAGAGGUUGGGUUUCCACCUGUCUGGGAUUCUGUAGGUGGGAUUCCUGCAUUGCAGGGGGUUGGGCUAGAGGGGUCCAUUCCAACUCUAUAGUUCUAUGACUCUAUGAUUAAGCAGGAAAGGAACAGAGUUAUAUGGUGCCAUCAGUGGCAACCAACGCUCUGAGUGAGAAGCACUUGUCUUGAAGACACACACACACACACACCCCACCCCCACCUCACUGCACAAUGUCUUCUGUCCCAGGACGUCACGCAGAAGCAUAAAUGCCUCUCUCCGCUUCUGGCAUCAAAGCUUUCUUCUUCUCUUUCUUUCUUUUUCGGAUGACUGCUCGGAAGCGCCGCCAUGCCAGAGUUUAAUAAGAGAGUCUCUCAGCUUCUGGAAGUUAAUAGCACAUUUUUAUGGAGACAGGAGUGCGCACUUUGAAAGAGCUGCCUGAGAUUAUGCAUGUUUCUAACUUUCCAAAAGAAUUACUAACCUCAAGAAAUCCCAUAAAUAUCUAAUGGGUUUCUCUUCUGAAAUGCCAGGGAAGAGUUGUGCACGAAGCCCACAGGCAGGAAAGGUAAAGGGGAGGGGGCUGGGCCAGGUGGAACAGCUCUACCUGGGCAACUGAGGUGUCCAGAUUCAACCCUCUUGCUCACUCGCGUCAGCGCAUCCCUUGCCGAGUUGCAACAACACUCUCUGGCCACGGGCAGCGGUGGUGCUGCAGAGCAGCAAAGAGACCUAACAGCGCCCUUCACUGGCACAGGGAGCAAAUGCAACUGUGUCUCUGUUUUGGUCACCCUGGGCAUCUCUCAGCCUCCUGGCUCUUUCCUCUUUUCAAACAGUCCCAUAAGCUCAUCCUGUUUGGCAAAAAGAGGGGAAACGGAUGCAACCACAGACUACUUUGCAUUGGGCAGGCGGGUGUGGAGGACUCCCUGAUCCUGAAUGGGGCAACUGUGCCCCUGAAGAACCAGGUGCACAGCCGGGGAGUCAUUUUGGACUCACAGCUGUCCAUGGAGGCACAGGUCAAUUCUGUGUCCAGGGCAGCUGUCUACCAGCUCCAUCUGGUAUGCAGGAUGAGACCCUCCCUGCCUGCAGACUGUCUCGCCAGAGUGGUGCAUGCUCUGGUUAUCUCCUGCUUGUACCGCAAUGAGCUCUGUGUGGGGCAACCUUUGAAGGUGACCCGGAAGCUACAACUAGAGUGGUACCUCGAGUUAAGUACUUAAUUCGUUCUGGAGGUCUGUUCUUAACCUGAAACUGUUCUUAACCUGAAGCACCACUUUAGCUGAUGGGGCCUCCCGCUGCCGCCACAACACCUGGAUGAACGUUGUGGGUCCCUCUCAACUAUUUGAUUCUCACCAGUGUGUGAUCUGCCAUGUAUAAGCUUCCUGGGCCCGGAAGGCCCAUAGCUGCUGUACCAACUGCAUUUGGAUAUGAAAAGGAAAGCUUGCACAGGGACAAUCCUGGAAGCCCAGGCCCUACACCUUUGCUUGGCACCCCCCCUCACCGCCCCCCACCCACAUCCGGAACAUGCUGUUGCAGAGGCUUCGCCAGCUGCGAGUGGUGACCUGCAUAGAUCUGGACAGGAGCGUUUAUGGGGCUGACGCGCUGCCAAGUCUCCAGUCUGGGAACAUGAGGCAAUUUAAAAGCUGUCAUUUUCUGCAGGGAUUAUGGCUUUGUUAUCAGGGGAGACAGUGUUGCCUGGGCAGCCUGCCCUUGAGGGGAGAUGGGUCACCGUGGAGGGAGGAGGAGGGGAGGGAAUGUUUGACUAGGGGGCACAGAGACAGUGUUCAACUAGGGGGCAUCUCUUCCCAGGUUUGCCAUAAGCCCAAGGCCAGAGGUGCAAAUGGCCUGGUUUCACUAGGGAGAUGAGAAACUCUGACUUCAGUUGUGUUUUGCAAUGUGCCCUCCGCAGGGGCUGUGCCUCCAAAGGUCUUGCUAAAACAAAUACAAUACCUUGUUACGCAGAUGCAAUAGUUACAACAUAUAGAGUGCAACAGGCUGAAUGGUAAUGUUUGUAACAAAUUUCUUUACUGGUUACUUCCUAACAUACAAAUAAAGUCCAGGAUGUUACGGAAAUUAAGCGGGGGGGGGGGGGGACAUCUUUAAAGUUGUUAAAUGUUACAAAUAUUAUGCCUGAAUGUAUCCUUUCGACUUGACAGCUCAGGGAAGUUACCUAGCUUUAACAAUCAUAUAAAAUCAACUCCUUUGCCAGUUUCCUCCAUUCCAAAGCUAUUUUCCCCUUGAAAAAGGACUCCAGGAAGUGCCCAGGGGUGACAACUGCUGAGCUGAUUGUUGGCCAAGGAAAGCCUAAUCCCAUCACCAGACUUGCCAAGGGGUCCAGACAUGCAAAGGAACUUCUAUUGUACUUUGGGUGGUCUGACUUCAGAGGUCUUUGCCUAGGCUAAUCUUAUACCUGGGUCUUGCCCUGACAUGUCUGCUUAUGCUAAUCUUGUACCAAGGACUUGUCUGGACAUGUUUGCCAAGGUAAAACUAGUGUAACCCCUGUCUACCCCUCCCCAUUUGUGACAUGUCAGUGAUGUAGCAAUGAUGUAUCAAUGAUGCUGUACGAACUGUAUUCUGGGAUAUGGUGGGAAGGUUUUAAAAGUCCUUGUCACCCCAUCCUCAGGGUUAAAAAUUCCUCUUUGAACCUGUUGCGCAAUAAACUAUGGUCUACAGCUAUUUGCUCCGGUUGGUGGCUGGACUCCUUCCUUUAUUCCUCAGGGACUCACGAUGAGCUGGGUGACUGAGCAGCCUCACACCUAGAUUUUUCCGUAACAAGGAUGUACACCGUAUACAAUAACCUAUUUAAUUAAAUCCAAUGCAGAUGUUUUUCUUCCUUUCUUCAUGCAUUCUUGUUUGAGUUCAUAUAUUACACAGUCCUCAAAUGUGGUUAAGGAAAGGUCCCUGGAAUGUCCCUGACAAGGUUUCCGGAUAUUUCCUUGUUUUGCCCCAAAGGGCUUCCUCAGCUGUUAAUAGUUCAUUGAAGUGUGUAACAGAUUACGUAAACAAUGAUUCUUGGACGAUUCUCAAUAGUGAGAACUACCCAACGCAGCUGCCUGAGCCAGCCAGCCUGUUUCUGCUACCUAUGCUAGCCAACCUCAUCAGCUAGAAUAGAAUUUUAUUAUUACGGUCACAGACCAGUUCCGGGUCACUUAUAAUAUCAGGAAAAUCAUAAAACCUCAUCAGCUGUAUUGUCGGUGUAAUAUAUAAACUCAAACAAGAAUGUAGGAAGAAAGGAAGAAAUAUAUCUGCAUUGGAUUUAAUUAAAUAGGUUAUAUACCUUGCAUUUGUGACAUGCUAGUGAUGUAGUGAUGAUGUCUCAAUGAUGCCCCUCAAAGUGUAUUCUGGGGAAAACAGGGAAGUUUAAAAGAGGAGGUCACCCCAUGCUUGGGGUUCUUACUCCUGGGGAGACCUGUUGUGCAACAAUAAAGAUCGUGGUCUUCUGACUGCUGUUUUGCUCCAAAUUACUUGGCUGGAACUUCCUUCUUUUACUGACCACAUGGACCUGCAGGGGACUUGCACCCCGAGGAGCUGGGCUGUUGAGUGGUCUCUCACCCCAGAAUUUUUCCCCCAUAACAGCAGGAACUCCAACAUUCCUCAGAUGAAAAUAGGAACAUUUCUCACUCCCCCCAACUCACCCUCCUCAACCCCCCAUUUUCUGUGUCCCCUCUGUCCCCGCAGAAGCAUUUUCUAUCAGAAUAUGGCCAAGUCCCACUGACUCUGUGCCAACAGGACUCACUCAGCAAAAAUGCCCUCUGCCCUUCUGAGAAAACCCCUUAAUCCUGAUUUUAUUUUAUUCUUUGGUAGAUUUAACCUUCCCCCCCCCCAAAAAAAACCCACACCAAUAAAUAAAUCUUAGAAAGGGGCAAGAUGAGAUGCAGGUGGACAAUGCAUUCAGGACUCCUGGUGCUCUGCUCUGCUUCACCUGACCUCUGCUUAGGCUGGAAAGUCUACAACAGGGGGCCCCAAACUAAGGAUUAGGAUAAGGCCCCAGGGACUCGUUUAUCCAGCCCGUGGCGACCCCCGCCACCCGCUGCCACUGCCUGCUCUUACUGGCGCUGUGUUGCAUGACUUCCCACUUCCCGGUCAGAGGAGCUCUGGAAAUAGAUUGUGCGCAUGCGCAAGCAUUCUUUCCAGUGCACAUCCGGGUUGGAGGAGGCCUGUGCACAUGCACACAAGCUAUUUCUGGUGCACCUCCGACCCAGAAGUGCACCGGAAAUAGCGUGUGCACAUGCGUAUGGGCACGCGCUCCCCCACCCUCUGGCCUGCAGUGUGAUCGGCGCUGGAGACACUGGCCCGAGGCGCGGUAAGUUUGCUGACCCCUGGUCUACAUCCUCCUGAGGAAGAUCGUUCCACUGUCAAACAGCAGCUCUUACUGUCAGAAAGUUCUUCCUGAUGUUGAGGCGGAAUCUCCUUUCUUGUAACUUGAAGCCACUGGUUUGAGUCCUGCCCUCCAGAGCACGAGGAAACCAGCUUGCUCCCUCUUCCAUGGGACAGCCCUUGAGAUAUUUGAAGAUGGCCCUCAUGUCUCCUCUCAGUCUCCUCUUUUCCAGGCUAAACAUCCCUAGCUCCUUCAACCAUUCCUCAUCAGGCGUCCCUUUAUCAAAAAUGAAGAUAGAAAAAAAUAACAUCAAUAACAACCUCUCACCGCACAACAUCCCCCCCCCCCAAUACCCCAGUCAAUAGUCUGUUCAUCCGCCUCAGCUUUCGUAGCUGAAGUCAGCCAGGUGAGUGUAAUAAACGAAAAUCUGCCCUUAUUCCCUUAUGGGGGUGCACAAGAGCCCUUAUAGAGUCCUUUGCAGGUUUUCCAUUGGUCGGAGAAAAUAACAGAGGCCAAGCAGAGAAUAUUGAAAAGCAAAGCAGCUCGUAAGCCUGAUUUUUAUUGAACUGUUGCAACAGGGUGCUCCCCUCUCACACAGGAAAGGAGAAGGACCCCGAACCAAACUGUGCCUGCUCUUAUAUAGACAUUUCAAAUUGGCUGCCUUGGAGUCCAAGACCACCCCCCAGACACAUCAUACCUACAUCACAGAAAGGGCUGUCUACAACAAAAAUCUGAGUGCAUUGUUUAUCUCCUUUCUGGUAGACCUGUCAAUGCUCACUUGAUUGGAUACCCUGGGGAGCCUGGCCAGUCUUUUGUAGUGACAAAUACAGUGGUGCCUCGCAAGACGAAAUUAAUUCGUUCUGCGAGUUUUUUCGUCUUGCGAUUUUUUCCGUCUUGCGAAGCACGGUUUUAACGGUAUUAACGGUUUUAAGAAAAAGGAAACAAACUCGCAAGACGUUUUCGUCUUGCGAAGCAAGCCCAUAGGGAAAUUCGUCUUGUGAAGCAACUCAAAAAACGAAAAACUCUUUCGUCUUGCACGUUUUUCGUCUUGCGAGGCAUUCAUCUUGCGAGGUACCACUGUACUUAGUUCCUAAGCCAGGUCACAGGCUCACCCUAUUCAUACACAGACAUACCCUUAAGACAGGUUUUGUGAAUGACAAGACAAUGGGGAGGCUUUUCCAUUUCCUUCAACCUUGCAGAGAAAACAUUUGGUCAGUUUGAGAGUCAAAAUGGUUCCAGGGCUGUUUUCCUGUGCUGCUUCAGACAUGUGGUUUUUAGAUUUAUGUAUGUGUUUGUUUGGUACAUUUAUGAACAUUUAUUGCACACAUAAGACCUUAGUUUUUUUAUUUCAUGAGAAAAGUCCUGCAAGGAAGGGAGCAGGUCUUCCAGGACUCUCAGCCAACAUUAGGAAUAAUGUUGUUAUUCCAGUGGAAUGGAUUCCCCUGGAAGGUGGUGGGCUGCAUUAAACAGAGGUUGGGGGGAGGGCAUCUGUCAUGAAUGCCUUAGCUGUGAUCCCUGUAUUGCAGGGGGUGGACUAGAUGACAUCUGGGGAUCCCUUUCCAAGCCUACAAUUCUAUGAUUCCUUUUUCUUGGCAGCACCAGGUUUUUUGGAAAUGGAGGCAUAGUACAUUUCCUCCUCUAAGCCAGGAAGUGGGAGUUCUUCUUCCUGCUGCCACAACUCUUUUAAUAAAUGAGUAGAAAGCACUUGGGAAGGAGACGGAUGAUGGUGGUCGCGAUUAACCCAGACACCAUCCAUGAAUAAUGAUAAUUGUGGCUUUGCUCAGCUACUCAGAUAAGAUCAAUUUAAUCAUUAAACAGCCUGACACAGAAAUUGCUUCCCAUCCAGACUCCCAUUCAUCUGCGGCCACUACUAUAAUUUUACUGAAACAGGAGCUUUUCUCACCCUGUACAAUUCUGCUCUUACUUUUGGUGCCAGUUCUGAGAUGUAUAAUAUUGACAUCGAAUGUCAGCUCAAUUCUGCCAUUUCAGUUUUCUGGAAAACCAAAAGCAACAUCUACAUGCAGAGGUACAUGGGCAUAAGCCAGGCAUUUGGACAUUUAUGGACAGAAAUAUACAAAGUGGAAUACGGAACUGAGAUUGAAAGUGCUCUGCCUGUAGCCCAAGAUACCCUCUAGACUUCCACAUAUCGUAUGUCCUGAGGAAGAGUCUGGCCAACACAGAACACCAGUCAGAGGAGAAGGUGGUUGCUAGAUUCAUAAAAGGGGAGAUAAGAACCUAAUGAGAACCUGCUGAGUGAGACCAAUAGUAAUAAUAAUAAUAAUAAUAAUAAUAAUAAUAAUAAUAAUAAUUUAUUAUUUAUACCCCGCCCAUCUGGCUGGGCUUCCCCAGCCACUCUGGGCAGCUUCCAGCAAAAUAUUAAAAUACAGUAAUGCAUCAAACAUUAGGGCUGCCUUCAGAUGUCAUCUAAAAGUCUGGUAGUUGUUCUUCUCUUUGACAUCUGGUGGGAGGGCGUUCCACAGGGUGGGCGCCACCACCGAGAAGGCCCUCUGCCUGAAUAUUACUGGCCCAAAAAUGGAAACAGGAGGAACUACCGACGCUCGAAGAAUGGAGAAUGAAGCUGAUGGAUUAUGCAGAACUGGAUAAAUUAACCGGGAGGAUUAGAUAUCUACGAGACCAAAAGUUCAUUGAUGACUGGGGAAAAUUUGUAGAGUAUCUGAAAAGUAUAUAUGAUGAGCAAACAACGCUGGUGGGGUUUCAAGAAGCUCUGUGAAUUGGAGGAGUAUUGUAAAAAAGAUAAUAUGUUUGGGAGGGUAUACCUAAAGGCAAUAUUAAAUUAAGGAAAUGCGUAAUUAAAAAUUAAAUACAGAUGAUUGGCAGAGAAGCUGAAGGAAGUCCAAAAGAGAAAAUCUGUGACAAACUCUGAUAUGGAAUUAUAUGUAUGUUUGUUUUGAAAAUUAAUAAAAAAUAUUUUUUAAAAAAGAGAGAAGGCCCUCUGCCUGGUUCCCUGUAACCUGGCUUCUCACAGAGAGGGAACCGCCAGAAGGCCCUCGGCGCUGGACCUCAGUGUCCGGGUAGAACGAUGGGGGUGGAGACGCUCCUUCAGAUAUACUGGCCCGAGGCCAUUUAGGCAUUGAAAGGUCAGCAUCAACACUUUGAAUUGUGCUUGGAAACAUACUGGGAGCCCAUCUACUUCUCACAGCGGAAACUUCCUCUGCCCCAGCUGCAACAAAACAUGUCUCUCCUGCUUCGGUCUCUACAGCUUCAACAGGCACUGCAACCUUCCAACAGUUUGACCUCACGCCCAAAGGUGCAGUCAAGAGAGACAGACUGAUGACAACCAAUUGCAACACCCUCUAUGUGGGGCAAAGCUCAGGAUCUGGGUGCAACAAUGGAUUAUCAGUCCAGCAAAAAGUUCUAUCGUAGCUCCAGGGUGGACCACGUAGUGCUGGCCAUGCAGAGCAUCUCACACCGAGUAGGUAAACACGAGCUUUCCCCAUCUCCUUUGAAAAAGGUCCAAGCAUGACUUCGUAACUUAUCAAGUAGCACUCUAUGUGUUAGCAGCUAAAAAGAUCAGGAGAAAAUAACAUUUAAGACAUUUAAGCUGGCAAAUUCUACCUGAGAACCCUCUGCUAUUCUAUCGGAUGCAACAAAUAAUUUCUAGGAAGCAUGACAGCGGUUUGUUGCGUUUGCAGUGCCUGAUGUUUUUAUGUUUUUAUGUGCCUGAUGUUUUUAUGGUUAUUGUUGCUUUUCUUUUUGAUCCCCUUGUGAAUGAUGCCAUGGCCUUUGGCUAGUGCAAUAAAGUUUAUGAUGAUGAUGAUGACAUCCAAGCAAGAGGUGAUGGGGGGAAAGCCUCUCUUUUUUCUGGCUGUGCUCCCCUGAAGAUCUCCUGCCAGAACUCAGAAUGGACAGUCCUGGGCUAGAUAGACAGACCUGCUACAUGGCAGCUUCUAGUCAACCAUCCUGCACAGGGCCGGAUUGAGGUUUGAUGCAACCCUCAGCUCCUGAAGGUAAUGGGGCCCUUUCUAUGUCCAGCUGUCCUUUGUCAGCAACAAAUGGUCACUGUUUUUUGUACUGAAUAUAUUGUUGUUGUUGUUUAGUCGUUUAGUCGUGUCCAACUCUUCGUGACCCCCUGGACCAGAGCACGCCAGGCACUCCUGUCUUCCACUGCCUCCUGCAGUUUGGUCAAAUUCAUGCUGGUAGCUUCGAGAACACUGUCCCACCAUCUCGUCCUCUGUCGUCCCCUUCUCCUUGGGCCCUCCAUCUUUCCCAUAUAUAUUGAAUAUAUGCUAUAUGGUAAUUGAUGGACCUAAUAGGUAUCUCAAGCCAUUUGACACUGUUGCUGUAUGCAGGUUUUAUUUUUAUUUUUUUAAUAAUAUUUAUUGAGAUUUCAAAAGAAAACAAAAAAUACAAAAAUUACACAAAAACAAAAAAUAGAAAAUACAAAAACUUGCACACAAUAAGAAAAAGAUACAAAAGUAAAAAAAUAAAAAUAUGAAAAAGUAAGAAAUACAGAAGAAAAAUAAUAGUAGAGAAGAAAAAACAUUAGACCUCCUCCUCCUCCCUUCCUUUGUAUUCUAGUUAUUAAUUAUCCCAGCAAAUCCUUUCCAUCUUUCUAUUAUAUAAUAAACCUUACAAUUUAAAAUUUAAAUCUUAACUAUACCAACUUCUUAUAUUCAUAAUGUUCUUUCAUGAUUCUUUAAUAGUUUUUAAUUAUCCCAGCAAAUCCUUUCCUUCUAUUAUAAAAUAAACCUUAAAAUUUAGAAUUUAGAUCUUGACUUUACCCACUUCUUAUAUUCAUAAUGUUCUUUCAUAAUUCUUUAUACAUCUUUGCUAAAGCCAGGUAAAUUCUUCCAACAUUUUCCUAUCAUUCAUUUUUCUCUCAUUCUAUCAUUCAUCAGCUUUAUAAAACAUUCUAUUAGUUAAAAAACAAAACAAAAAAAACAAAGAGAAAGAAGCAUAUAAUCAAAUCCAAUCUUAAUCCAACGUCCCUUCCUCCUGGUUUCGGGAUUUGUCAGUCCUUAUUCAUCAAACUAACCCGGUGACCUUAUGUCCGAGGCCCUCAAGUCACUUCCAUGGCCCUUCCGCAGCUUUUCUUCAUAUUUGUGGCUGUAGUCACUUGCUCGUAGUAGCUCCAACUUAAUAGUGUUUUUAACCCUUCUCAUCAGAUCAGAUCCUUUUCCCUGUUCAUCGCUGCAUUCCAUGUAGUAUUUAAGAGCAUACUUCAAGGGCCCUCCGAAUUUGUGGACCCCCACAUUUCCAAACAUGUCGCAGCCUGUUACUGAAUUUAAAAAGUCCAAAUAUCCCAACAUAGGGGGGUCAAUCCAGCCCCCCAUUUCCAAACCACACCGAACUUUCCCUUCCCAUAUCUGAUUUUUUCCAAGUUCCAUUAUCAAGUCCGAAGGAUCAAGCUCCUGUUGAGACUGUUCUGUCAAGCCACACUCCUGAUUUAAUGCCACAAACCCCUGUUCUGUCAAAACACACUCCUGGUUUGAAUCCUGGAUAGACUCCACAUAUAUUCCCACAGUUUGAUCAACGCCUUCCACUGCCAGUCCGAGAUUUCCAGUCGACUUGGCCAUCUGGUUCACCUUAUCAUGUAGUUCUUCCAGUAGAAUAUUUGUUUUAUUGAGCAGGCAAACCACAACUUCUGAAAACAUUGUUGCACUCUCCCACGGUUCUUUGUAACAACUGUCAAGUCCUUGGCAUUUAGUUACAGUUUCUAAGGCUCCCCCUAGGGAGAAGACUUAUAUUUGUUUCUGAUACAUUUCCAUGUUACUUAAAAUCCUUUAUCCUUAUAUAUUCCUUUAAAAUGCGAAAGGGAACAGUAGAGUCACAAAAAUUCUCUUCUUUUAACUAUCUGACACACACAGAUACCUUGAUUUGUUCACGUCAGUCCUGACUUCCCCGCUCCAGGAUCAGGACGAAAGUAACUUCCUUUUACUGCUUCAAAUAGUCCAAAAAAAAAAAAAUAUUCCCAAUUUAAAAUGUUGGAAUCCACUCUUUUGAAAGCAAUUUUCAAAGCUCUAGUACAAAUUGUCUUUGCUUUGUUAUAUUUACAAAAGAACGGAAGGGUGACUUCCUGUUUAGCCCUUACCGCUCCGUACCAAAUUCAAUCAAUUUUUCUUUCUUUUUUUUAUAGUCCAAUUCUGCCCUUUUCACUAAUCUUCAUUUAAUGUCCCAAUUUGUCCAAAUUCUGGGUACUCACGGAUAUUUGUUUUAAAGUCCGAAUUGUCCAGGAAGAAAGGCAGCGCUCUCCGGCAACAGCUACGCGGCUUCACUCCACAAAAGAAGCAGACGACUCACAGCACAGCGCCUUCACUUCCCCGCUCUGUUCCGGAGCCCGUUGCCGGGUUCCUUUGCAGAUUGGGGGGGCGCAAACAGUGCCCGCCGAGUCCCAGGGUCACAGGCUUCACCCGCCUGUGGUUUGAAGGGUCCCCGCUGCGCCGAAGCGGUUUUAGACCCGAUUUAUGUGGAGCGGUCUCCCUCUGGAUUAGAGGGAUUCCGCCAUUGCCGUUGGCGCCACCUCCGGAAGAGGGGGGCCCAAGAGAGUUUUUUGGGGGGGGGCCAAGAGAGUGGGGCCCUAAGCUAGAGGUUUUUUUUUUUUUUAAAUAAAUAUUUUUUUUGUUUUUUAUCUUAUAUUUUGGAAAUGUACAUCCAGGUUUUUUUUUUCCUUUACAUUUUUUUGGGGGGGGCCCAAGAGAGUGGGGCCCUAAGCUAGAGGUUGUUUUUUUUUUUAAAAAAAAAUAUUUAUAAAAUUUUCCAUAUAUAACAAUAAAGGAAAAACAUUCCAUCCAAAAUUUACAUCCAAUUCUAAUCUUUCUACUUUCAGACUUCCCUCAGUCUAUCUGGAAAUUUUCCAUAUUAUCACAAUUAUUCACAUUUCUUCCAUCUAUAUUGUUUUUUUUUUAACCAUAUUAAUCUUAACAAUUAUUAUAGAACAAUAUUUCUUUCCAUUAUUAUCACAGAGCUUCUUGAAAACCUACAAACAUUAAUUGUUCUUCACAUAUAUUUUUAAUAUACUCUGUAAAUUUAUUCCAGUCCUUGGUAAAUCUUUGGUCUCGCCGGUUCCGAAUUCUUCCCGUUAAUUUAUCUAGUUCUGCGUACUCCAUCAACUUCAUUCUCCAUUCUUCUUUCGUCGGGAUUUCUUCCUGUUUCCAUUUUUGUGCCACCAAAAUUCUUGCCGCUGUUACUGCAUAUAAAAACAACUUCUCAUCCUUCUUUUUUAUAUCAUAUCAUACAAGCUAGAGCUUGUUUAGCUUAUACGUAAAUCCGGCACUGAACCUGCAUCCCAGAUGCUUCCAUGAAGCCUGCAAGCAGACCGUGAAGGCAACUCCCCCUCUUAAGAACAUAAGAAGGGCCAGUGGCCCACUGAGUCCAGCAGCCUGCUUUCACUGUGGCUGAAGAGUUGCCUGCGGGAAACCAGCAAGCAGGAUCCAAGCACAAGAGCAUGACUGGCAUUCAGUGUGGGAUGUAAUCCACUGAGAGCAGUCAAAUACAACAUUCCUUGUUUUCCUAGAGUGGACAUGCAAGGGGAUGUUUGGUCCAGCCUGUCAAAAACAUCCUGUUUCCUCCUGGGCUGGAGCAUCCUUCCUUUUGCAUGUGAUAGAAGGUGGACGUGACCUUACCUGUCCAGGUAACAAAAGGAUGAGUCACACCUCCCUCUUUUUCACUUCCUUCGUCAUUUGACCAGCUUCUAGUUAGGACUGCUCUGCUAGCUCUCAGCUAGCAGAAGCACUGGGAUUAUUCCCCCAUAUGGGGUAGAUCCACACGUACAUAUUUGUAACUAAGUCUGCCUUCAGGGGUCCAGCUGUGUACUGAUGUAAGUAAACUUCUUUUAUUAACUUUGAAUAAGAUUGUGGCGUCUUUAUUCUUUUAAGAGGGAUUCAAGGGAACUUACCAGGAACGUACAUUUCAAUCUGAGACAGACUGAAUUAUAUAAUAGUAAGAGGCUUACAGUGGGUGGCACUGUGGUGUAAAGCACUGAGCCUUGAGCUUGCCGAUCAGAAGGUCAGUGGUUCGAAGCCCCACAAUGGGGUGAGCUCCCGUUGUUCAGUCCCUGCUCCUGCCAACCUAGCAGUUCGAAAGCACGUCAAAGUGCAAGUAGAUAAAUAGGUACUACUCCAGCAGGAAGGUAAAUGGCAUUUCCGUGCGCUGCUCUGGUUUCGCCAGAAGCGGCUUAGUCAUGCUGGCUACAUGAACUGGAAGAACUGUCUGCGGACAAACGCCGGCUCCCUUGGCCAGUAAAGCAAGAUGAGCGCCGCAACCCCAGAGUCAUUCGUGACUGGACUUAACUGUCAGGGGUCCUUUACCUUUACCUUUAAGAGGCUUACACAAGCCUGCAACCAGCUGUCUGCUGUGCAUGUAAAAAGGGGAAUGUAUACUCUGCUAAGUAAGGAAACUUGCUGGUGCAUGUUAGGAAGGAUAUUAAUAAACAAUAUAUCCUCUCCUGCCACCCUGACUAUUCCCACAUUCAGAAGCAAUGCCGCCUCCAACUGUGGGGGCAGAACAGAGCUGUCCUGGCUAAUAGUCUUCUCCUCCAUGGAUGCAUCCAGUCCUCAUUUAAAGUCCUCUGGGUUGGUGACCAUUCCUGCCUCCUGUAGGAGCAAGGGCCAGAGUUUGACCAUGCACCGCAUGGAGGGCUUUCUUUGUUGGGUGUCCCCGAGUUCUCAUGUCAUGAGAGAGGGAGAGAUGCUUCCCCUCCCUGCUUUCUCCUUGCCAUGUGCAAUUCAGGAAGUCUCUCUCUUGUUUCCUCUUCCUCGCCUUUUCUCUAACCUGAAAGGUCCCAAAGCACCUGCAACCUUUCCUCAUAGGGCAGUCGCUCCAUCCCCUUGAUCCUUUGAAUUGCCCUUUUCUGAACCUUUCGAAACUCUACAAUAUCCUUUUUCAUGUGAGGUGACCAGAGCUGUACGCAAUAUAUUCCAACCACGUUUGCAGCAGUGUAUUUAUAGGCUGCAUUCAGGAGGACUCCAGACAAAAGCAGCUCAGAGUCCAGGCACAUUUAAAUUUAAGCAAGUACUUUUUCUGGCUGUUUUUUGAGUUUGCAUUUCAAAAGAGGGUUCUGGGGAGGAUGAUAGCAGACCACUCAAAGCCUCCCUCCAUCUGAGAGCACCAGGCAGCCUCAGAGGAGGAGUCUGUUUUCUCAGAGUCCUGAUUGGGGUUUUGCUUAAUGCCAUGGUCUCUGAGAGCUACAAACCAUAAGUCCAGAUUUGCAACAUAAUCAGGCAAAGAACUGUAAACAGGCAACUCUCCCAAUUUUCAUGCUGAAGCUCUUCAGCGAGACUUGGGAAAUAUCCAGGCCAGGAAACAACAACAAAAAUAUUUUCCUUGUCAGCUCCUUGCAGAAAAUGUGGUGAAACAAGCAUUUGUGUCAGGUUCGUUGUUCUGUGGAUUGUCGAAAACCCCAGUGCAAAGAGAAUUCAAAUAUUAACUCAGACAAGGAGUGGGUGCAUUGCCAAUAUGGGAAGUGGGUGGGAAGGAGAGAUUUGCCCAACAAACCCAGCUUCCUCUGGGUUCUCCCUUGCAGUCUCUGUGAAGGAAGAUGACUGUGACCUUCAAACCGCUUUGAUACAUUUGUAAAUAAGGUAUAAUGAAGCUGGCAGAACAAGGAUGGGUGUGUGUGUGUGUGUGUGUGUGUGUGUGUGUUGUGUUGUGUUGCAAGAUACAGCCUCACACCUCUCCUGGUUGCAUUUAGGUCACAACCAGUAGAGAGUUGGGGGGGAUUCUGAAAAGCCUAACUGGGGAUGCAACAGCAUUUUGUAAACAAAUUACUUAAUAUUUCCCAUAUCCCCCUUUCUCUCCAAUACACUUCCUUUUACAUUUUAACAAUCCUCUUUCUCAGGUGUGUGAAGAGUGUGUUCCGUGAGUGAGCUUCUGGUGCUAAAUAGUUUGCAAGCUGGGAAACAUAGUCUUUUGCAAUUUUGUAUGCAUUUAACCCAAUACAGUGGUACCUCGGGUUAAGAACUUAAUCCGUUCUGGAGGUCUGUUCUUAACCUGAAACUGUUCUUAACCUGAAGCACCACUUUAGCUAAUGGGGCCUCCUCCUGCUGCUGCUGCUGCACCACUGCUGCACGAUUUCUGUUCUCAUCCUAAAGCAAAGUUCUUAACCCAAGGUAAUAUUUCUGGGUUAGCGGAGUCUGUAACCUGAAGCAUAUGUAACCUGAAGCGUAUGUAACCCGAGGCACCACUGUAUACACAUUUUGCCUGCUUCUUGCAAGAAAAGCAAUGACAAACUAGACAAACUAGACAAACAAUGUCUAGACAGCAUCUUUAAAAACAGAGACAUCACCUUGCCAACAAAGGUCCGUAUAGUUAAAGCUAUGGUUUUCCCAGUAGUGAUGUAUGGAAGUGAGAGCUGGACUAUAAAGAAGGCUGAUCGCCGAAGAAUGGAUGCUUUUGAAUUCUGGUGCUGGAGGAGACUCUUGAGAGUCCCAUGGACGGCAAGGAGAUCAAACGCAUCCAUUCUGAAGGAAAUCAGCCCUGAGUGCUCACUGGAAUGACAGAUCCUGAAGCUGAGGCUCCAAGACUUUGGCCACCUCAUGAGAAGAGAAGACUCCCUGGAAAAGACCCUGAUGUUGGGAAAGAUGGAGGGCACAAGGCGAAGGGGACGACAGAGGACGAGAUGGUGGGACAGUGUUCUCAAAGAUACCAGCAUGAGUUUGACCAAACUGCGGGAGGCAGUGGAAGACAGGAGGGCCUGGCGUGCUCUGGUCCAUGGGGUCAUGGAGAGUCGGACACGACUAAACAACAACAACACAUUUUGCAAGGCUGUUUCCCUUAAAAUGAUGCUUUUUAAUAGAUUGCAUGCUAUUUUAAGAAAGAAAUGUAUUUUUAUGCAUGGUUCACCCCAUUGUGUGCGUUUUGGUAUGUUUUACUUGACUGGAGAAUUGCACUGUAUAAUUAGGAGAAGUGCAAAUUUCAAAGGGCAUCUUUGGUUUUUGUGUUGUUUUGGAAACUGCAAAUUGGGUGGAUUCACAUGCAAAUGGAAUCCAAUUCCUCCCCAUCUCUAUUGACCCUUGAUGGUGGUGGCCCCAUCAAAGUCUCUGUGGCUGAACAGGGACCCCAAAGCAGGGAAGAAGCACCACCCCCUUAUUUCACGGCAGGGAUCUCCUUCCCUGGGGCACUUGAUAGAACAGUGAGAGGGUUGAAGAUAACCCCAUCUGCACCUCCAAUACUUUCUUAUCCAGAUGGGUAGGCCAUCCAUCAUCACAUCGACAUGAUCCCAGGACAGUUUCCCGCAAGACCACAAAAUACAACAAGCAGAAAGCAAAAACAAAAAUUAAAGCAAUCCAGUUAAUAAAGCACCAGCAAGGAAACAACACAAGACCAAAACAGUCGCUGGUGUUUGAUUCCAAAAUCCCAGCAAAAUAAAAUUGUUCUUUUCACUCUCAGUGGAAACUUUUCAGAAUCUCCCCCGGCUGGGCUUCAAGGGGGGAAGGGGAAUCCAGAGUUGGGGGACCACAGCAGAGGAGACCCUCUCACAGAUGACCAUAUGUGACCAUAAGGAAGAGGUUUUCAACCUUUUUGAGUCCACGGCUCCCUUGACCAACUACAUUCUUUCUGCAGCUCCCCUGUAGGGCUCAGGAGCCCAGUCAUGUCACCCCUUCCUGCAGAAAUGGCAGCCUCUCACCCUUUUUCAAACACCCUCCCUUGGGGAGUGUUCCCUCAGCCUCCUCUCCCCUCUCCUUGGAAGUCCUCUGGGCAGCUGCUGCCACCACCCCUGGUCUCUGAGCCCCCACCCCAAAGAGAGGUGCCUCUCAGAGGCGCUAUUCGCCUGCAGAGCUUGUAGUCAGGACUGCUGCAAUAAACAGCUGUGCAAGCUAUAGGUAGGUAGCCGGGUUGGUCUGCCGUAGUCGAAACAAAAUAAAAAAAUUCCUUCCAGUAGCACCUUAAAGACCAACAAAGUUUGUUAUUGGUAUGAGCUUUUCUGUGCAUGCACACUUCUUCAGCUGUGCAAGCCUUUGGGAGGCAGAGACACGAGAGGAAAUCAGAGGAGGAGAAGAAGAAGAAGAGUUUGGAUUUGAUAUCCCGCCUUUCACUCCCCUUCAGGAGUCUCAAAGCGGCUAACAUUCUCCUUUCCCUUCCUCCCCCACAACAAACACUCUGUGAGGUGAGUGAGGCUGAGAGACUUCAGAGAAGUGUGACUGGCCCAAGGUCACCCAGCAGCUGCAGGUGGAGGAGCGGAGACGCGAACCCGGUUCCCCAGAUUACGAGACUACCGCUCUUAACCACUACACCACACUGGCUCUCUAAAUGGCCUUCAGGGUCCUUGUGCCAAUUCUACCAUUCCAGGAUUUGGUGGUGGGGAGGGCUGGGGUGCCUGGGGGGGGCGCCUCCGUGGUGAACUCCCUAAGCCCCCUCUUUUGGGUCUCUUGGUCGCUCUUCUGCUCUCCUGCCAGCCUCUCCUGGGACCAACAUCCUCCCCUCCCAGUCAAGCCUCUUCCUCUUCAUCCCUAAGUUGCCCCUCUGCUCAAGUGGUAGCCAUUUCAGCCUCCCUCCAGCCAAGUCUCGCUAGCCAUGCCAUGCCAGGCCAAGCCCCAACUCUUCUCCUUGCAGGAAAAAAGUGAGACAUUUCCUCCCUCAUUCCAAAAGACCAAACACCAAACAUCUGGAUGCACUGGAUGCAUCUGGAUUUCUGCACUAGGACGCCCAAAUCACAAGCACACCUGGGAUGUCCAGUCUCCACCAUCUAUGAAGAGAAGAAGAGUUUGGAUUUGAUAUCCCGCCUUUCACUCCCCUUCAGGAGUCUCAAAGCGGCACACUUUGCGGCACACAACAAACACUCUGUGAGGUGAGUGGGGCUGAGAGACUUCAGAGAAGUGUGACUGGCCCAAGGUCACCCAGCAGCUGCAUGUGGAGGAGCGGGGAAUCGAACCCGGUUCCCCAGAUUAUGAGACUACCGCUCUUAACCACUACACCACACUGGCUCUCAGGAGGGAGAGAAGGAAAGAGGGACAGAGAAUAUUGCUGCCUGCAGCACCUCUGACCAUCAUUCAAGGCAGCCCAGGGUGCCACAGCACACGGGUUGAAAACCACUGCCAUAAGGGAUGACCAGAAGGGAUGGCAAGAAGGUUGGCCGUUAAGUCUAGGGUGGAUUAUAUGGGAGAAGGUGCAGAUUGCAGGUCUCUGAAUCUCAGCUACUGAGGAUGGUGGGUGAGAGAGGGGAAUUGCAGUUAUGCAGUAGGAUAUGUCAGGAGUGCUCUGAUGGUGUUUCCUGCUUGGCAGGGGGUUGGACUCGAUGGCCCUUGUGGUCUCUUCCAACUCUAUGAUUCUAUGAUUCUAUGAGUUCCCAGUGACCUUGCAGUUAUGUGUGGCAUGGAGAAAGCGGAAAGUGAUACGGAAGGGGGGGCAUGUCUUCUUCACCUUCUUCUUCGCUACAAUAUAUCCAUUUAUUUCCGAGUCCAAUUGUCAAAAUAAAAUUGGGCUAAAAUCUAUAAAAAUUCAUAUUAAAUCAACCGUAACACCGAUUUUCUUGCUUUCGGUGCCAAUUUGCUCAAUUUCUCUAGGACUCCAUGACACCUCCAGUGUCCUCCAUAAUCCCUCAAGCGAGGUGUCAUGUACACUCAGGAAGACCCUAAUCUUCUCAAAUCACCCUGCCAAGCCCUUCCUCCGGGCAGUGCCAGGUGGCAGACUAUGCAUACCUGGACUAUUGUCCUCUCAUCACCGGUACUUAGGAUGUGGUUAUCUGCGCAUAUCUCCAGCUCUGCAUAUUCCCCCUUCCUCCUCCAUAUGUUAAUCCUGUGUAACCCAACCUCUUCUUAAGGUAUUCAUGAUGUAACCGUGAUGUAUUUUGCACUGCAUCCUCGGAGAUGGAGGGAAGUUUUAAAAGUUCAUGUCACCCCUUCCUCAGGGUUCAAUCUCGCCUUGAACCUGUUGAGCAAUGAACUUGGAUCUUCUGCAGCUUGCUCCUGUCUCCGGCUGAGCUCAUUUUCUUCCGCAGGGACCCGCGGACUUAGUCCGACGAGCUGGGUGGCAGAGCAGCCUCGCACCCAGAUUUUACCGUAACAAAAGAGAAAAGGUUUUCUCUUCUCUCAUGACGCUAGAACUCCUGGGCAUCCAACGAAGCUGAGUGCUGGGAGAUGCAGGAUGGACGAAAGAAAUAACUUCUUCAAGCAGUGUGAAGUUAAGCAGGAGGCCGGGCUGGCCACCCACCACGAUUGCCUUAAAAGAGGAUGGAGGAAAGGCGUGGAGGGGAGGGCUAUGGCCCCUAGCCAGGAUGGCUCUGUUCUGCCUCCACAAUUGGAAGCAGCGGUGCUUCUGGCUACCAGUUGCUGGAAGCAACAGAAGGGGAGAGUGUGGCCCUUGUGCUCGGAUCCUGCUUGCAGGAUUUCCAUGGGGGAUCUGCUUGGCCACCGUGAGAAGAAGAUGCUGGACUCAAUGGGUCAUUCAUGGGCCUGAUCCAGACGGGCUCUUCUUACAGUCUUGGGGCAAAGGCAGCUUCUUUGUCAUUCUUAAACACCCCCAAGGGAUGCUUAGGACAGCUUGGAUGGCCUCUGCUCAGUAGGCUGGCUCUGGGAGAAGGAGAAGAAGAGGAAGAAGAGGAAGAAGAAGAGGAAGAAGUUGGCUGAUCCUUCAGAUGCAAGAGGAAGCAUCCCUAUAAAUAAACAACUCGGCUGCUUUCUCCUGCCAAAGAGCUGCCUUCAAAUUGGGCUUUGGGGGUGAUUUGCGCCAGGGAAUUAAUCUGUUUUUCUCAUCUCCUCUGCCCUCCCAUCAGGCGUUGAGAUCCUGGGUGUGGAUAAAGGUGCCUUUUGAAAAGAGUUUCUCUUUCCCUUGCAGGAUUUUCUCAUCUCUCCCUGGCACCAUUUUUAUCGCUCUUUCUGAAGAAGUGUUUAAUUUGCCUCUUUUAAGUUUCCUUUCCUCUAAUCUGGGGGCCGUCUGCAUCUCCCUGACUUGUCAGAUCUCCUUUGUUAGCCUGCAGUUUUUCUUAUCUUGCUCGCUUGCUCUUUCCCUCCCUCCCUCCACUCACAAUCUCAGUUAUUAUUUUUUUGGCCGGGCUUUGGGCGGGGGGAGAGGGGGAAAAUGAUUUCUGGAUUUGCAGAGGCAAGUUAUGAGAUGGGUGCGGGGUGGUGGAGGAGUGAGAAGGAAGAAGAGAUAUUGCGGAUAGCAAAGGUGACUAGCCUUCUCUCGGAGGGCCUCUUGGAAACUUUCACCAGUCCAAAAGCUCCUACAUUGUGGGGGGCUGGACUAGAUGACCCUCAGGGUCCCUUCGAAUUUUAGGGGGGCAUGUGGUCCCCACAUGCAGGAGGCCUCUCCCAGGUUCAUUUCUGGGUGCUGUAGGUCAAAAGCAUCUCUCCAGCAAUGUUCAGAGGCAGGUUGCCUGUGACCCUGGAAGAAGCACACAAAGCUAUAAUGGCUGGGGGAGUGGGGGUGGCUGCAAUGAUCUGGAAACCAAGCCUUAUGAGGAAUGGUUGAGGGAGCUGAGUAUGUUUAGCCUGGAAAAAAGGAGGCCUACUGAGAUUCCUGCAUUGCCAGGGGUGGACUAGAUUAUGCUUGGGGUCCCUUCCAACUCUACAAUUCUAUGAUUCUGUAGUAGUAGUAGUAAUCAUCACCAUCAUCAUCAUCAUCAUAAUUUAUUUGUACCCCUCCCAUCUGGCUGGGUUUUCCCAGCCACUCUGGGCAGCUCCCAGCACAAUAAAACAUCAAACAUUAAAAGCUUCCCUAAACAGGGCUGCCUUCAGAUGUCUUCUAAAAGUCUGGUAGCUGUUUUUCUCUUUGACAUCUGGUGGGAAGGCGUUCCACAGGGCGGGCGCCACCACCGAGAAGGCCCUCUGCCUGGUUCCCUGUAACCUCGCUUCUCGCAGUGAGGGAACCGCCAGAAGACCCUUGGAGAUGGACCCAGGUGUCUGGGCAGAAUGAUGGGGGUGGAGACGCUCCUUCAGGUCUACUGGGCAGAAGCUGUUUAGGGCUUUAAAGGUCAGCACCAACACUUUGAAUUGUGCUUAGAAAGUUAAUGUGAAUUUUAACCUGUUUUUAGUAUUUUAACUUCCUAUAUUCUAUCGUUGCCAAUUUUUCUUAGUGAUGAUUUACCGUAUUUUUCGCUCUAUAAGACGCACCAGACCACAAGACGCACCUAGUUUUUGGAGGAGGAAAACAAGAAAAAAAUAUGCUGAAUCUCAGAAGCCAGAACAGCAAGAGGGAUCGCUGUGCAGUGAAAGCAGCAAUCCCUCUUGCUGUUCUGGGUUCUGGGAUAGCUGCGCAGCCUGCAUUUGCUCCAUAAGACGCACACACAUUUCCCCUUACUUUUUAGGAGGGAAAAAGUGAGUCUUAUAGAGCAAAAAAUACGGUAAUCAUUUUAUCUUUCGAUAAACCUCUUUGUGUUUAGUUUUUCUUUAACAAUCAAGAUGUAGAUUCUUUGUUUCAUGAUGUAAAAAAAAAACAAAAAAACAACCCAAGGUAUUAUUCCCUGAGAUUCUGUACAUCUAUGGUAGGACAGAAGCCAAUUUUGCAACCCAGCACAUCUGUCCUGCAAUCAAUGCAUUUUGUUCCACAUCAAUCGCCGCACUGCCUCCGAAGCGGAAUCCCGCUGGCAGCCUGGAAACCACCACCCCCUGCCCUGCAUUUUCCUGUGGGGGGGGGGGCGGCCUUGAUGCAUUUAUCAUUGCACAAGCUCUUCUGGAUCAAAAAGAGAGAAGAGGCCCCAAGCAGAGUGGCUUGUCAGCACUGCGGAGGAGCUGAUCCCAGCAGCAACUUGGCUAUUUCCUGAGCUUUGGAUUUCUGCCUUUGUGGGUUUCUGAGCCUGAAGCUGUGAGCCUGGGAAAUCCCGUUGAUCAAGCCUGGGUACCACAAAGCACCCCGAAGCAUGUUCAGCAUCUCUCAGGGUGGAUUAGCUGCCCUUCCUGCAAAUUGAGCUCUGCAUCAACCUCUCUCUCUGCAUCCUCUUCCCUUAAGCACUCGUAUUGAUCCGAAUCCCCAAAUCUCUCAAGUGGCAAUGGAUGGACGGAGAAACCACUCUCUUUUUUUAUCACAAAAGGCAGAAUCGCCUCCUGUACAGGCUCUGAAGAACAGCUCUGCCUUCAGAUUCAAGAUCUGAGGGGAGGAGGGCUAAACCAUGGCUAGGCAACCUAAGGCCCGGGGGCUGGAUCCGGCCCAAUCGUCUUCUACAUCCGGCCCGCGGACAGUCAGUGUGUUUUUACAUGAGUAGAAUGUGUCUUUUUAUUUAAAAUGCAUCUCUGAGUUAUUUGUGGGGCCUGCCUGGUGUUUUUACAUGAGUGGAAUGUGUGCUGUUAUUUAAAAUGCAUUUCCGGGUAAUUUGUGGGCCAUAGGAAUUGGUUCAUUUCCCCCCCACCAAAAAAAAUAUAUAGUCCGGGCCCCCACAAGGUCUGAGGGACAGUGGACUGGCCCCCUGCUGAAAAGGUUUGCUGACCCCUGGGCUAAACCAAUCAAUAAAGAAUGAGAAAAUAAAGAAUAGAAUUGUGGGGUCCCCUAAGGACCAUCGAGUCUAACCCCUUGAAAUGCAAGAAUCACUGCUAAAGAAUUCCUGACAGAUGGCCAUUGAACACUGAUUUUAUCACAGGACAUACACUGCCACGGGGGGCGGGUUAAAUCAACCAGUGGGCCAGAUUAGGCCCCUAAAGCAGACUUUGGACAUGCCUGGUGAAAUAUACUCAGAGUCGAGAGUGGAUUUCAUGCUCUUUAUUCAGCUCAUAGUGGUGAGGAGGGAAUGAAUGUCCCCUCAAAGUAUCUGCUUUAUAUACAUUAUUUACACAAUAGGCUGAACGUGAUUGGCUAAUUCCGGAAUUCUCCUGUAGGCCAAUCAGGUUGUGGAUUCACUUCUAUCUGGAGCUGGAUUGGGUGGCUCCUGCCGACCAAUCAUACUGCUGCAUUGUUCUAGGACCAAUCAGACUGCUGCAUUUUGGAUCCUAUUGUUCUAGGACCAAUCAGACUGCUGCAGUUUGGAUCCUAUUCAACACAGUACAUAACACCUGGUUUAGGUCAUUGGCUGUGAUGGCCUGGGAUUCGGACUCGGAUGCCCAACCUGAGGGAUCCCAGCCUGCACAGGAUUCCCCGCCUCCAGAACCAGCUGAGCCGGGGCUGGGGCUUGAGCCUGAAAGGGCCUCACCUGUGCUGGGUCCUCAGGUCCUCAGGUGCAGGCAUCAGCUGAGUCCGCUCUGGUUCCGGAGGAGAUGGAGGACCCAUUGCCUGCAGGUGCUCCACUCUCAGCCCCGUCAGAGGAAGGUGAGGUUGCCUCUGGGUCCGGUCACCCUCCAACCUCUCCUGAGCUGCAGAGGCUCAGGGCAGAGAGGCGGAGGGAACUAAGUUCCUGCAGGAGGAGGGCUCGCCUCCAGGCCAGGAGAGGCGAGUCACCAGGGGAUUGGGGCUGCCCUAUGCCUCAGGGCAAAUAAAAGCCAGCCAGCCCCAGUCCCAAGUUGCGGGAGCAACAUUGUUGGUUGCCAGUUCCUGCCUGAACCCUGUCCUGCUUUCCUGCCUGAGCUCCUGACCUGCCCUGGCUCCCUGCUUGCAAGCCGGUUCCUGACUUCACCCGACUCCCUGCCCUGCACCCAGCUUCAACUACUAUGGACUGCCUCCAUGUUGCACCUUCGACCAUGGACCGGUCUUGGACCUCGCUUCUCGGGUAACCCAUGGGACCAACACAUUGGCACUGCUCAUAUCUGUGGGAUGUGAAACAGAGCAGUCAAAUACAACAUUCCUAGAGUGGACAUAAAAGGGGAUGUCUGGACCAGCCAGUUGGAACUUCCUGUUUCAUUCUGUGCUGGGACAGACUUCCUCAGCAUGUGACCUGAGGUGGGUGUGACCUCACCUGGGCAGGUAACAAAAUACCUCAGGGGAGGCAGCCCUAUCUCUCUCUGAUGCCAGUCCUCAAAGAAGCAACAUCUCCUUAGCCUGAGAUGCUCUCUUGGCUUCCAGCCAAGAGAGGACAAAGGAACUAGCUCCUUAUGGUAUAGAUUCCAGGUGUAUAUAUUUUGUAACUUAAGUCUGCCUUCUGGGAUCCAUUUGUGAACAGAAUGUGAGUAAACUCUUUUAUAUACUUUUAUACAAGACUGUGUCGUGUCUAAUCUUUUUAAGAGGGAAUAAAGGGGAAAUUACCAGGAAACUUAUUUUAGAGGCUUAAACAAGCCUGGCAAAGACGUUAUCGGCUGUACAAGUUUAAAAAGGUGAAUGUUACUCUGCUAAAUUGUAGAACUUGUUAACACAAGUUGGGAAGGAUAUAAUUUAACAAUAUAUCCUCUCCUGCCUCCCUGAACAUUCCCACAAAAUCUCCCCCCAAAUCCUGCACCUUCCAUCUUUCCCAACAUUAGGGUCUUUUCCAGGGAGUCUUCUCUUCUCAUGAGGUGGCCAAAGUAUUGGAGUCUCAGCUUCAGGAUCUGUCCUGUACACUUCCGGGUUCUGCUUGCAAAAACCCGGACAUUUUGCCGAUUUCCCAAAAUUCCCCCCGCCCCUAUUUCCCCCCUUGGAAUCCCCGACAUGUCUGGGGAAAUCCGGACGUAUGGCAACCAUGUGAGCUUCAUGGCAGGUCUGGAUUUGAACCCUGGUCUCCGAGGUCCUAAUCUGACCCCCUAACAGCUCUCCCCCCCCCCCGCUUGGUGUGUCCGCUCCUAACAGAUUCAUUGCUGCUGGGGGGAUCCCUUUUCCAUCCGGGCUGUAGGAUGCUCCUUCUCCGUGCGCAGUCUGGGGAUUCCAAAGGGAUCCUGGCGGCGGCGGGGGCUUCAAGCGCAGCAUAGCCCGCAGGCCUGACCGUGGCCGCUGGGAUAACGGAGUGGAUGCCUCUUAUUUCUCCCUGUUGCUGAAAGAAAGAUAAAUCUUUUCUUCCUUUUAAGCCCGUGGGUUGCAAAGUAAGACGCACAUCAGAAGCUGUACUAGCGGUGUGGGAAACGGCUUUUGAUCGCCAAAGACGUUCUUCAAAAGACAAUAUGCUCUCCCCCACCCCCCGGCUGCCGCCUCCCAACACCACCUCCCCCCCCCCCGCAAAUGUUAACUUCGCUGCUGCCAGCAUCUGCGGGAUUAGAGGGAUGAGCCACAGCGAGCGGCUCCCCCAGGAGGGGCGCACGGAUUUUCCCAGAGCACCUGCCAGGCCCUUUGAAGUAGCUUUCCCUUUUGCUCAGAUAUCAGAGGCCUGUAAGGGGAGCCUCAGUUUCUGCAGCAAGGAUUAGCAUCCCAAAGGGGUGCGGGGGGGGGGGAAGGCCUGGUGGCGAGAGGACUCGCGAGCACCCACCCCCGCACCCAUCCCUGCCAGGCUGCGGAGCGCCCUGACAAGGAUUCCCCACCACAAAUGGAUGGUGCUGUGCUUUCAUGUCCCUUCCAGAGAUUUAUUUAUCCCCCCCCCCAACCCAUCUCUGUCCUCAGAGCCGGCCAACACCGGGGGACGUGCGCUCUGCCGAUGCAAAUAUUAGCAUACAAGGCGCAGCUUCGUCUGCCUAGUGCCGGGAGGGUGGGCAUUUCUGAGGCGUUCUCCCUCCCCAAAGAGGACACAAAUCUGCAUAGAAUUUGCAUAUGGAUUCUGGGUAAUAACUGAAUGGUGCAGGGAGGAGCCACUUCUGAGCAGGUUUCGGGGGUGGCCCUGACCUUCCUUGUCAUUUGGAUUUCAGAGAACAACAUGUUAUCUCCGGUUUUUCGACUGCCUCUCCUGUUACUGCCUCCUCGCCUUGCCUCCGCUGUGCUUUUUUUAAAAAAAUAUAUGCCUCCCCAUUUAUCUGUCAGCCAGAGAACAUCAUCCUUCGCCAAUGGCCUGUUCCUGCUGGAAUUAUCCUAAUUGUGCAGGGCUCACUUUAAGGUACUUUGAGACUCACUUCAGUUAGAAUGGCGGAGCUCCAAACAAGCCACCUUUGAUGGCCAGAAAAGAAACACAACUGUCUAAUUAUGCAGCUUCAUGUGGGCAUCUUUUGGCAUUUGUCUUUAGUGACAGGAAAACAAAAGCAACCACAUGCGGUUGAAGAAAUUGUUCUGACUGCAGCUUGGUAGCCCAGCCCAGCUCACACCAGGUGCCUUUGAACUACAACUCCCAUAAGCCCCGGUCAGUGAUGAUGGGAGUAGUAGUUCAACGCUGUUGUUGUUUAGUCGUUUGGUCAUGUCCGUCUCUUCGUGACCCCCUGGACCAGAGCACGCCAGGCCCUCCUGUCUUCCACUGUCUCCUGCAGUUUGGUCAAACUCAUGCUGGUAGCCUCGAGAACACUGUCCCACCAUCUGGUCCUCUGUCAUCCCCUUCUCCUUGUGCCCUCCAUCUUUCCCAACAUCAGGGUCUUUUCCAGGGAGUCUUCUCUUCUCAUGAGGUGGCCAAAGUCUUGGAGCCUCAGCUUCAGGAUCUGUCCUUCCAGGGAUGAUUUCCUUCAGAAUGGAGAGGUUUGAUCUCCUUGCAGUCCAUGGGACUCUCAAGAGUCUCCUCCGGCACCAUAAUUCAAAAGCAUCAAUUCUUCAGCUAUCAGCCUUCUUUAUGUAGCCCCGGUAGCUCACCAUGUUAGGUACUAGUCUAUGAAUCCAGGUGGUUACUGGUUCUACUCCUGGGAGUUCCUGACACUGAAUUUCCGGAUGGCAGGUUUUUCCCCUUCAUAGAUCACUGCCUUGCUGUGGUGAAGGGGCAUGAAUAACUAUGCCGAGAAGGGACCCAAGAUGGACAGGUCAUAGUGGAGAGUUUUGACCAAACGUGAUCCACCUGGAGCAGGAACCGGCAAGCCACUCCAGUAUCCCUGCCAAGAAAACUCCAUGGACAAAGACAACAGGCAUAUAAAAGUUAUGAUGCUGGAAGGUGAGUUCAAUGCUACCUGGAUAAAAAUGUCUGCUCUGGUGUGAAUCUCCUUAUGUUCUUAAUGUGUUGCUUCCAUAACCCACAGCUUCAUUGCAAUCGAAUGACCCUGGGAGCCCCGUUUUGCCUAGCAGGCUCCUUCCUUGCAGUCAUCUGCGUUAAUGUCAGAUAUCUUAAAAUGAGGAGGAGGAGAGAAGGGAGUCCUGCGUUGUCUCCAAACUUAGCUAAUCCACUCAGACCCCACAAGGUUCAGAGAGUUCUGUCCCUGCCUCUUUAUUGCCCAUAUGGUUCCUUGAAUAAUUCAUAGGAAAUUAUUUAAUUGGCAAAAUGAAUGUCUGUCCCCAAGCCUCUCAGACUUGCAGUUGAAAUAAUUUGCUGACUAAUUCUUCCCUGUCGCCGUGCAAAAGGAGGAGGACAGAGGGCUCUGGAUCUGAGCAAAGAGCAAGGAUGCCGAGGUGAAGUUGGGAAAUCUUGGUGUGCCAAACGUUGGUUCAUGCAGGAGUGAGGCAUUGUGGGAGAGAUAGAAUUGUGGCCUUCUGGGGAAUGAGUGUUUGGUCUCUUUAAAUGUAAAACUCCCUGCCUCUAGAAGUGUGAGUCAGUUACAUCUUGACUCUAGGCAGGAUGAGAUGUUAUCUGAUUUGCAGACCCUGGCACAGCUGGGGGCCUGAGAGUGGACUGGGUUGUUAAAAGGCACAGGAGGCUAUCAAGUAAUUUACACUUUAGGAGCCUGGUAAGUGUAAUAGCUGUGGGUGGUGCUGUGUGUUAAACCACAGAGCCUAGGACUUGUCUCGGUUCAAAUCCCCGCAAUGGGGUGAGCUCCCAUUGUUUGGUCCCUGCUCCUGCCAACCUAGCAGUUCGAAAGCACAUCAAAGUGCAAGUAGAUAAAUAGGUACCGCUCUGGUGGGAAGGUAGAUGGCAUUUCCGUGCGCUGCUCUGGUUCACCAGAAGCGGCUUAGUCAUGCUGGCCACAUGACCCGGAAGCUGUAUGCCGGCUCCCACGGCCAAUAAAGCGAGAUGAGCGCCGCAACCCCAGAGUCGGCCACGACUGGACCUAAUGGUCAGGGGUCCCUUUACCUUUACCUAAGUGUAAGAGAGGCCUGGGAACUAAGGAAGAGCCUUUUGAUCUUAAGGUCUCUGAGUCUAAACAAAGUUCAGCUGUGCUGGUCUCCUGACAAUCAGGAGGUAUAGUCUCAUCAUACAGCCAUUGGUAAACUGGUAAUUAACCUAAAGAAACGAUUGGUCCCUAACCUGUCCUCCAUGUGGGAUUUCAAGGAUAAAGGAUUUGGGAAUUCAGAUGCAAAGGGCAGAACAUCUUGCCCUGGUACUUUGCCUGGGGGCGUUCGACCAGUGAAAGGACUCUUGACUGCUCACUGUGUUUUGAACUAUUGUUGCUGUGUGAGUAUGGUUUUAGCUAGUUACUGUAUAUUUUACAAUGUUUUUAUUUUUUGUUUGUAACCUUUGUGCAACUUUUUGAAUGGCUUGUUCAAUAAACUUGGAAAAGGACUUUUUGUCUUUUGUACUCUGUGCCUUUGCUCAGGGAAGCCAAACUGGUGCCUUACCGUUUGGAUACCUACCGGUUGAAUUUCUGUCUGCGUCACGGUAAAGUGACUCAGGGCUGAGCCAACCCAGGAAAUAUCGAAGGGGGGGUUCUCCUCCUUGAACCCCAUUCAAGGGUGGUCCAGAAAAGGAGGUGGUGAUGGUACAUAACACCAGUCAAGCUCGCAAAAAUUUACCAUUUGCCCGAUAAUAAAUGUUGGAAAUGUAAUGAAACUGAAGGUACAUUCUUUCACCUUUGGUGGACAUGCCCAAAGAUUAAGGCAUUCUGGGAGAUGAUCUAUAAUGAAAUGAAAAAGGUAUUUAAAUAUACCUUUCUAAGGAAACCAGAGGUCUUUCUCCUGGGCAUGGUAGGCCAAUUGGUGCCAAAGAAGGAUAGAAUUUUUUUCAUGUAUGCCACAACAGCAGCAAGAAUACUUAUCGCAAAGCACUGGAAGACACAAGAUCUACCUACCAGGGAAGAAUGGCAGAUGAAGCUGAUGGAUUAUAUGGAAUUGGCGGAAAUGACUGGCAGAAUCCGAGACCAGGGAGAAGAGUCGGUGGAAGAAGAUUGGAAAAAAUUUAAAGUAUAUUUACAGAAAUAUUGUAAAAUUAAUGAAUGUUAGAAGGAUGCUGGAAAGAAGUUAUAUGACUUUAGCAGAAAUGUUAUAAAGAAUUAAGUAUGAAUAGAUUGACUAUGGGUAAAGGUGUAAACUUAAGGUUAAAUUGCGUUAAGAUAAAUUAUGGAACUAAAUUUGAGAAAGAGGGAAAGGACUUGCUGGAACAAUUAAUUGAACUAGAAUACAAAAAAGGAGGUAUGAGGAAGUUGAGGAAAUAAGCAAAUGAAAGAUAAGGAUAUGAAAAUACGGGGUCUCUUUUUUGUUUUUUUCCUUCUAUAUUUUUUUAAAGGUUGGUGUUUUUUAAAUGUUUCCGUUUCUUUUCUUUUUUAAUGUUUUGAUGUACUGUUGAUGUUUUGUUUUAUUGUAUUUUCUUUUGUUUUUGAGGUUUUGUAACUGUUCAUUGCUUGUAUUUCUUUUUUUCCUUUUCCUUUUGUAAUACUUAAACUCUAAUAAAUAUCUUUUUUAAAAAACAACAACAGAAAAGGAGGUGGUGGCAGCUUUACCAUUUGGCUUGUGAUUUGCAACAACUAGCGAUCUUUCCCCCUUCCUGGCCAAGUCCUGCCGGUGUCUAGGAGGAAUGGUCAGGGGGGUGGAUAGUCCCGCUCACCACAGAGGCCCCCAGCAACUUGAUGCAGGUCGUUGAACGAGACUUGUUGCCUUUUGGGCCUGGAGAUCUCUCUGCAAACAGAGCAACAACCUUCUGCUUUAUUGGCAAGCAAGUGAGGGGAGGAGGCCGGACUCAGAUGGACCAAGCUGCCGGCCACAGCGCUAUGCUCUGCCUCCACAGUCUGAAGCAGCAACGAGUAAUUCUAUAACAUUUAGGAGACAUCUGAAGGCAGCCCUGUCUAGGGAAGCUUUUUGAUGUUUUUAUAUAUGCUGGAAGCUGCCCAGAGUGGCUGGGGCAAACCAGUCAGAUGGGCGGGGUACAAAUAAAAUAGUAAUAGUAAUAGUAAUCAUCAUCAUCUUCUGAUGCUACAUGCUUUUUUCUCAGUGCAGGCUUGAAAUAGAGCUGUGGGGUUAUAUCUAAAGUGUGAGUCCCUGUGACCUGUAUGUAUGUACCGUAUGUACAAAAGAAAAAAGUGGGGUUUUCCUUUCUUCACUCCCUCCCUCCACUCUCCUACCUAAUCUGCUUCUCCAACCCCCUGGAGCGUUUGUUUGUUUGUUUAUUAAAUUAUUAUAUUUAUUAAAUUUGUAUACCGCCCUUCAUUUGUUGAUCUCAGGGCAAUUCACAGCAUAAAAAUACAAGAUAAAAACACAUUGUGAAAACAAGAACAACAGCAAAACAAAGCAAUAGCCAAUAACCCCCAUCCCACCAUGAAAUUUUAUUUUGAAAACUUAUGCACCACUUGAUUAUAGAAAAAUAACAACCUCAAAGCAGUUUUCAAAGAGAUAAAACUAUAAAAUUAUUAAGACAAAUCUACAACAGUUAAAAACCCACAGCAAUCAACCUGCUAAGAUAUCUAAGCAUCUGGACAGACUUAUCUAAGCAAAGCUUUUUGCAGGGAAGGUACCUGCUUGGUGUCAACAGGCAGGGAGUUCCACAGGGUAGGUGCUGCCACACUGAGCGAUCAAGUUCCUACAAAUGUGGAGCGGGUCUUACGUGGCAACUGAAACAAUGCCAGCUCUGCCAAUCAAAGCAGCUGAGUGGGCACCUGUGGGGUAAGGUGAUCUCGUAGAUAAACUGGUCCCAAGUUCUUAAGGGGUUAAGCACCUUGAACUUGGCCAGGCAGCAAAUGGGCAACCAGAUCUCUGGACACAGGCAUUCUAUGUGGUCAAGGCCUCCCUCCUGUCAGCGACCGCGCUGCAGCAUUAUGUUGCAGGGAGGUGAAAUGAGGGGGACUUUUCCAGUGUGCAAGCAGAGGUCUGUUGCACGAAAAGAACGGCAACACUGUGGGAAUGCUCAGGGAGACAGGAGAGGAUAUAUUGCUUAUUAAUAUCCUUCGUAACUUGCACGAGUUAGUUCCUUUACUUAGUAGAGUUUACAUUCCCCUAUUAAACGCACAGCAGAUAGCUGGUUGCAGGCUUGUUUAAGCCUCUCACUAUCGGGUUCCUGGUAAGUUCCCUUAUAUCCCUCCUAAAAGGAUAAACACGCCACAAUCUUGUUUAAAGUAUAUAUAAGUAGUUUACUCACAUUCUGUUCACAGCUGGAUCCCAGAAGGCAUCUGUUACAAAGUGUAUAAAUGUGGAUCUAUCCCAUAUGGGGAUAAUCCCAGUGUCCAUUGUUGGAUAGAAGCCAAGAGAGCAUCUCUAGCUAAAAGCUGCUCCAAUGGAGGAAGUCAAAAAGAGAGAGAGUGCUGCUGCCGUGUCCCUUUUCUUACCUGGGCAGAUAAGGUCAUGCACACCUCUAGUCACAUGCUAAAGGAAUUAUUUCCCACCCAGGAGGAAACAGGAAGUUUUUGACUGGCUGGACCAAACAUUCCCCUGCACGUCCACUCUAGGAAAACAAGGAAUGUUGUACUUGACUGCUACUUAUGUAUCACAUCCCACAAAAACUAGGAAUGACCCUCAGAGUUGAAUUAAUAUAUGGUAAUUUAGUGCUAGCUGCUAGGUAUUCAUCUUCCUCUGUGUAAAAUUGGUAGCUUGGGUUUUUCUUUUUUUAAUAUACCACCCUGCCGUGUCUCUACAGCUUUCGAAGUAGCCCAAGGCCACAGGAAAUCAGCCUCAAAAUCAUCCCGCAACACAGGAAUGGGAAAAAAGUUUCACUGGCUUGAUUCCUGAGUUUCAGGGUUUUUUUUAUUAAAGGUAGAGGAGCAGGGCCAGGGAAGAGAAUGGAAAGGUGGCAACUGCACUUCCUGCCCUGAAGAAUGGCCUUUCUGUGCUGCAGUUUUUCUAAGAGGCAGCUGGAGCGCCACUGAUCAGUUCCUCCUUCUCCACGGGGGAUGUCUUAUGCAACUCGAGGUGCGUUCCAAAAUGAGUCUGCAUUAAUGGGAUGCAGCUGAUAGGUGAGGAAGCACCUGGAAACAUCACUACGAAGGGAGGGGACAGGAGCAUCAAACACCACCCCCCCUCACUUUGGUGUGAUACACCAGGUGCCUCUGGAAGAGAGCAAAGCAUUGAAAAGCUAAACCAAUAGUCAAGAAGACCUCAAAAUCUCAGCAGCUCUCUGGCAUACCUUUUCUUUGCAGUGGAGAAAAUAAACUCGCCAGUGGGGAAACAGUCGCUAGCGUAGGCCUGCAAUGGAGUUAGCUGAGAUUCCUGCAUCGCAGGGGGUUGGACUUGCUGACACUGUGGGUUAAACCACAGAGCCUAGGACUUGCCGAUCAGAAGGUCGGCAGUUCGAAUCCCCGCGACGGGGUGAGCUCCAGUUGCUCGGUCCCUGCUCCUGCCAACCUAGCAGUUCAAAAGCACGUCAAAGUGCAAGUAGAUAAAUAGGUACCGCUCUGGCGGGAAGGUAAAUGGUGUUUCCAUGCACUGCUCUGGUUUGCCAGAAGCGGCUUAGUCAUGCUGGCCACAUGACCCGGAAGCUGUAUGCCUGCUCCCUCGGCCAAUAAAGUGAGAUGAGCGCCGCAACCCCAGAAUCGGCCACGACUGGACCUAAUGGUCAGGGGGUCCCUUUACCUUUACCAAUUCUACAAUUCUAUGAUUCCAUGAGUCCCCUUCCCAGGGUAAAGAAGGGGAAGUGUGUGAGAGCAUCGCCCCUUGCAAUGCCCUAUGCUCUAAAGCAGAGUCGGCAAGGUUUUGUAACUGUGGAUUUGUAACUGGCUGACUGACCGAACCCAAAGGGUGCUCAUCAAUGGUUCCUCUUCAUCCUGGAGAAGAGUGACUAGUGGGGUGCCACAGGGUUCUGUCUUGGGCCCGGUCUUAUUCAACAUCUUUAUCAACGACUUGGAUGAUGGACUCAAGGGCAUCCUGAUCAAAUUUGCAGAUGACACCAAACUGGGAGGGGACCCCAGAGGACAGGAUCACACUUCAAAACGACCUUGACAGAUUAGAGAACUGGGCCAAAACAAACAAGAUGAAUUUUAACAGGGAGAAAUGUAAAGUAUUGCACUUGGGCAAAAAAAAUGAGAGGCACAAAUACAAGAUGGGUGAUACCUGGCUUGAGAGCAGUACAUGUGAAAAGGAUCUAGGAGUCUUGGUUGACCACAAACUUGACAUGAGCCAACAGUGACACGGCAGCUAAAAAAGCCAAUGCAAUUCUGGGCUGCAUCACUAGGAGUAUAGCAUCUAGAUCAAGGGAAGUAAUAGUGCCACUGUAUUCUGCUCUGGUCAGACCUCACCUGGAGUACUGUGUCCAGUUCUGGGCACCACAGUUCAAGAAGGACACUGACAAACUGGAACGUGUCCAGAGGAGGGCAACCAAAAUGGUCAAAGGCCUGGAAACGAUGCCUUAUGAGGAACGGCUAAGGGAGCUGGGCAUGUUUAGCCUGGAGAAGAGGAGGUUAAGGGGUGAUAUGAUAGCCAGGUUCAAAUAUAUAAAAGGAUGUCACAUAGAGGAGGGAGAAAGGUUGUUUUCUGCUGCUCCAGAGAAGCGGACACGCAGCAAUGGAUCCAAACUACAAGAAAGAAGAUUCCACCUAAACAUUAGGAAGAACUUCCUGACAGUAAGAGCUGUUUGACAGUGGAAUUUGCUGCCAAGGAGUGUGGUGGAGUCUCCUUCUUUGGAGGUCUUUAAGCAGAGGCUUGACAACCAUAUGUCAGGAGUGCUCUGAUGGUGUUUCCUGCUUGGCAGGGGGUUGGACUCGAUGGCCCUUGUGGUCUCUUCCAACUCUAUGAUUCUAUGAUUCUACCUUGCCUGGGCUGGUUCACUCCAGCAGAGAUCCCACCCUGGGCUGGAUCGCGCACCCGCCCAUGAUUUCCAGCGUCUGUGCAGACGCGAUAUCCAGCGCCGCGAAAGUGAGUCCCCGUGCUGCACUGCGCAACUUGGAGGGCUCCAGGGUUACGUAACACUUGACACAACCUUUCGCCCAAGUUCUCCCUGCAUUCCUUAUGCUAGGAAGAGGUGAAAUGAUAAAGGUUUAUAAAAUGAUGCCUGGCAGGGAGAAAAUAUUUAUUUAUUUAUUUAUUUAUUUAUUUAUUUAUACCCCGCCCAUCUGGCUGGUUUUCCCCAGCUACUCUGGGUGGCUUCCAACAAAAGAUUAAAAAGACAUUAAAACAUCAGUCAUUAAAAACUUCCCUAAACAGGGCUGCAUUCAGAUGUCUUCUAAAAGUCAGAUAGUUGUUUAUUUCCUUCGCAUCUGAAGGGAGGGCGUUCCACAGGGUGGGCACCACCACCGAGAAGGCCCUCUGCCUGGUUCCCUGUAACCUCACUUCUCGCAGGGAGGGAACCACCAGAAGGCCCUCGGAGCUGGACCUCAGUGUCUGGGCAGAACGAUGGGGGUGGAGAUGCUCUUUCAGGUGUACUGGUAUAUUCAGGUAUAAAGUGGAUAGGGGAAAAGUUUCAUCCCUCUCUCGUAGCACUAGAACUCUGGGAAUCAUAGAAUCGGAAUAGACCACAAGGGCCAUCGAGUCCAACCCCCUGCCAAGCAGGGACACAAAGUGAAGCUGAAAGUGGGACGAUUUGGGACAGACAGAACAAAGCAUUUCUCCACACAGCACACAAUGGAACUAUGGAACUCCCUGCCACAGGGGGCAAUAGUGGCCAACAACCUAGAUAAUAUUAAUAAUAAUAGUAAUAAUAAUAAUUUAUUAUUUAUACCUCACCCAUCUGGCUGGGUUUUCCAGCCACUUUGUGUGGCUCCCAACUGAAUAUUCAAAAUAGAAUCAAACAUUAAAAACUUCCCUAAAAACUGCCUUCAGAUGUCUUUUAAAGAUAACAUAGCUGUUUAUUUCCUUGACAUCUGAUGGGAGGGCGUUCCACAGGACAGGUGCCACCACCAAGAAGGCCCUCUGCCUGGUUCCCUGUAACUUGGCUUCUCACAAUGAGGGAACCGCCAAAAGGCCCUCGGAGCUGGACCUCAGUGUCUGGGCUGAAUGGUGGGGGUGGAGACGCUCCUUCAGGUAUACAGGAUGGCUCUUUUAGAUGGCUAUAAAAGAGAAUUAGACAGAUUCAUGGAGGGCUAUCCGUGUCUCCUAGCCAGGAGGGCUCUGCUCUGCCCUUCACAAUUGGAAGCAGCGAUGCUUCAGAACCCCAGAUGCUGGAAACCAGGGGAGGGGGAGACUUGGGUCUUGCUUGUGGGUUUGCCUUUGGGGCCUCUGGCUGACCUCUGUGGCAACAGGAUGGGGGACUAGAGGGGCCUCCUUUGGCCCCAUCCAGCAGGCUUUCCUUGUGAAUCUGAGCCUCCCUUUCCCUUCCUGCUUGUUUCCAGCUCGCUAUCCCCACAUCCCUUCCUGGGAAGGCGCCACUCAGUGCCUGCGGGGGCUUUUCGCGCGCGCGCACACACACACACACACACACACACACGCACGAACGAUAGAGCAAUAUAGGCCUGUUGUCACUCUGCUGCACGCUUCUCUAAGCGGCAGUGAUGCCUCCUUUAAGAACAGUGUUUUCCCUCCGCGGGACUUCCUAUUGAGAAGCGUUCCCAUCUCAUUAUCCGGCGGGGGGGAGCGCGCCAGGGAUCUGCGCUCAGCACAGGUUGCGUUAUUAAGAGGCUCGGCGCCCGGCUGGGAGAAAGGAGGGCGAAGAAGAAGAACAGGGAAGAAGAGGGAGCCUUGCCCUGCCGCAUGCAUUAGGGAGGGAGGGAGAGGGGACAACAGCAGCAAGCUGCGGGGUUUUUUUGGGGGGGAUGAUGGAUUCAGCUCUGGCCCUACCACUAGGUGGAAAAAGGCAGGUGCCUCAGGCGGAAGAUGCUGCGGGAUGGGCAGUAAUGGGGAGCUAUUAUUAUUAUUAUUAUUAUUAUUAUUAUUAUUAUUAUUAUUAUCAGAUUUAUACACUGCCCUUCAUCUGGAGAUUACAGGGUUACCCAGAGCGCAAAAACACAAAGGCAAAUGACAUAAUUACAAACAAAACAGUAACACGCACACACAAACCAUUGUUUAGGGAAGUUUUUAAUGUUUUAUGUUUUAUCGCUUUAUUAUUAUUAUUAUUAAUCUGUUGGGAGCCACCCAGAGUGGCUGGGGUAUAAACAAUAUAUUAUUAUUAUUAUUAUUAUUAUUAUUAUUAAAGAUUGGGAGGCCUGGGAGAAGAGGAAAGUCUCUACACCCAUUGUUCUGCCCAGACACUGAGGUCCAGCUCUGAGGGCCUUCUGGCGGUUCCCUCCCUGCGAGAAGCCAAGCCAAGUUACAGGGAACCAGGCAGGGGGCCUCCUUGGUGGUGGCGCCCGCCCUGUGGAACGCCCUCCCACCAGAUGUCAAGGAAAUAAACAACUAUCAGACUUUUAGAAGACAUCUGAAGGCAGCCCUGUUUAGGGAAGCUUUUUAUAUUUGAUGAAGCCACCCAGAGUGGCUGAGGAAAACAGAUGGGGAGGGUAUAAAUAAUAAAUUAUUAUUAUUAUUAUUAUUAUUAUUAUUAUUAUUAUUAUUAUGUGAAGGUGCCAGAAAAGCCUCUCUGUGAAUAGGAUACCACAAGUGGGGAGCCACUGCAGAAAAGGCCCGUUCUCAUGUUGCCACCCUCUGGACAUAGAGGAGGGUCUGUGGUCUGAGAGCCAGUGUGGUGUAGUGGUUAAGAGCAAUGAACUCGUAAUCUGGUGAACCGGGUUCGCUUCCCCGCUCCUCCACCUGCAGCUGCUGGGUGACCUUGGGCCAGUCACACUUCUCUGACGUCUCUCAGCCCCACUCACCUCACAGGGAAAGGAGAAUGUUAGCCGCUUGGAGACUCCUUCGGGUAGUGAUAAAGCGGGAUAUCAAAUCCAAACUACUCUUCUUCUUCUAAACCACUGAGCCUCUUGGGCUUGCCGAUCAGAAGGUCGGUGGUUCAAAUCUCCACAACAGGGUGAGCUCCACUUGCUCUGUCCCAGCUCCUGCCAACCUAGCAAAUCGAAAGCACGCCAGUGCAAGUAGAUAAAUAGGCACCGCUGUGGCGGAAAGUUAAAAUGGCAUUUCCGUUCACUCUGGCUUCUGUCAUGGUGUCUCAUUGUGCCAGAAGCAGUUUAGUCCUACUGGCCACAUGACCCGGAAAGCUGUCUGUGGACAAAUGCUGGCUGCCUCUGCCUGAAAGCGAGAUGAGUGCCACAACCCCAUAGUUGGCUUUGACUGGACUUAACCAUCCAGGCGUCCUUUACCUUUUCCCCUUUUACCUUGCCCAGCAAGAAAGGGAGUCAAGGAAUAUCAUAUACAGUGUUACCUCUGGUUGCAAACGGGAUCCGUUCCGGAGCCCCGUUCGCAACAUGAGCAGAACGCAACCCGCAUCUGUGCAUGCGUGGGUCGUGAUUCGCUGCUUCUGUGCAUGCGCGUGAUGUCAUUUUGAGCGUCUGCACAUGUGCGAGCGGCAAAACCCAGAAGUAACCCUUUCCUGUACUUCUGGGUCACCGUGGGACACAACCUGAAAAGAUUUAACCUGAAGCAAAUGUAACAAAAGGUAUGACUAUGUUGUGGUUAAGGUCAAGUGAAUGCGGCUUUGGAAAUUGGCGGUGGGAGUUUGUUGGAUAAAAAAGGGAGAAGUCCUGGAGACAAGCCUGAACUCCUGGAGCUGGCAACUGCCAAGGCACAGAGAUUGUGUUUAGCCCCAGAUCCUUGGGACUCCUCCAGGCUGUUACCUUGGCCAGACAGCAGCCGAACUCCAGCCUGGCUUCUCCUGACUCCGAUGACAAGGAGAAACAGAGCUGGGAGUCUUCAGCAUACCAAUGGACAUGCAGCUGAAUGUUGGAAGAUUCAAGCAGAGAAAUAAUGGGCUUCUUCAUGCAGCCUAUACCGUAUUUUUUGCUCUAUAAGACACACCUUUUCCCCUUCAAAAAUUAAGGGGAAAUGUAUGUGCAUCUUACGGAGCGAAUGCAGGCUCCUUGGCUUCAGCGAUAGCAAUGCGAAGCCUCCAAAGCGCAGAGGGAGAGUUCCUGCUGCGCUCCGAAGGCUUGCGGAUAGCCACCUGAAGCCUGGAGAAUGAGAGGGGUGGGUGCACACCGAUCCCUCUUGCUCUCCAGGCUUCGCUUCACUGGAGAGGCGCUGCACAGUUUUCCCUCUCUGCGCAACGCCCCUUCAGCGAAGCGGGAGGAGAAAUGGAAGGGGCUCCGUUUCUCCUGCCGCUUUGCUGAAGGGGCGCUGAGCAGAGAGGGGGAGAUUUUUUUCCCCCUGUUCUCCCCCUCCUAUGGUCCGGUGCGUCCUAUAGAGCGAAAAAUACGGUAAUUAAACGGUGGAACUCUGCUGAAAGCCACAAAUGAGGAUGGCUUUCAAUUCUCCCACUGCUGGAAUUUACUGCCUCUGGCAGGGACUUUAAAUAAAGCAUUGUUAGAUUACGCUUUCAAAGUUUAAGGUUUCAAUGCUUCAUUUAAAAAACAGCAACAAUGGAAGAGAACCUAACCUGAAAAAAUACUUUUAUUCCUUGUUUCCUCCAUUAUCCCAUAAUUUCCUUUAAUGGUUGGAGUGAUGGACUUUGGGCCAAUUGCUGCACCUCAGCCUAACCUACCUCACAGGGUUGUUGUGGAGAUUAAAUGAGGAUGGGGAAAAUCAUGUAAGCCACCUUGAGCUCCUUGGAUAAAAAGGUGAGCUAUAAAUGCAAUAAAUUUUGGGCAGAGGCGAUUUGAUGUUAGUUGCUGCUCUGCCUCACAGAAUCAUCAACUCAUUAAGUUCAAAGUUCCCAAAAACUGUGUGGGGGGUGCAUAUCUUACAGUUAUUGUAAUUUUGAUCCCAAGGUGGUGAUAAUAGCCAAAGGAAAAGUUCAAGAUUUGAGAACAAGCGAGGAUUUUGCUUUGAUUUUGCUGGCUUUGCAUUGGGGAGCUGGGAGAGAGCUUUACCUGCCACCUUGUGGCUAGGCUGAGAAUUGCCACCACCUGUCUUGGCAAAUAUCAGUGGAUUUUAUCUAGAUUCAAGUAGGUAGCCGUGUUGGUCUGAUGCAGCACCUUAGAGACCAACUAAGUUUGUUCUGGGUAUAAGCUUUCAUGUGCACAAAAGCUUAUACUGAGAACAAACUUAAAGGUAAAGGUAAAGGGACCCCUGAUGAUUAGGUCCACUCGUGACUGACUCUGGGGUUGCGGCGCUCUUCUCGAUUUAUUGGUCGAGGGAGCCGGCAUACAGCUUCCGGGUCAUGUGGCCAGCAUGACUAAGCCACUUGUGGCGAAACCAGAACAGCGCACGGAAAUGCCAUUUACCUUCCCACCGGAGUGGUACCUAUUUAUCUACCUGCACUUUGACGUGCUUUCGAACUGCUAGGUUGGCAGGAGCAGGGACCGAGGAACGGGAGCUCACCCCGUCGUGGGGAAUCGAACCGCCGACCUUCUAAUCAGGAAGCCCUAGGCUCUGUGGUUUAGACCACAGUGCCACCCAUGUCCCAGAACAAACUUUGUUGUUGUUUUGUCGUUUAGUCAUGUCCGCCUCUUCGUGACCCCCUGGACCAGAGCACGCCAGGCACUCCUGUCUUCCACUGCCUCCCGCAGUUUGGUCAAACUCAUGUUUGUAGCUUCAAGAACACUGUCCAGCCAUCUUGUCCUCUGUCGUCCCCUUCUCUUUGUGCCCUCCAUCUUUCCCAACAUCAGGGUCUUUUCCAGGGAGUCUUCUCUUCUCAUGAGGUGGCCAAAGUCUUGGAGCCUCAGCUUCAGGAUCUUAGAACAAACUUAGUUGGCCUCUAAGGUGCUACUGGACCUUUCGACUUGAUUUUAUCUGUUCCUUUAAUAUCCAACAUAAAAGUCAGAUGGGAACAGUCCUUCCUUCCUUCCUUCCUGUUUAAUGCAUGCUCACAAUCUGAUUUGUUUGCAGAGAGAUUUAGAUAACACUGACUAUUUAAUUGAGCAUGCAUCUUAAUGUUUUUGUGGGGAGGUGAGAUGGCCUUGCAUCAAGCACUUGUCACCCAACACUCUCCUGGACAUUUUCCUUAUCCCAAAAAGUGACUUGGAUUCACAAGAGCUCUGAACUAGCUUUGAUUGUGCAGCCUGGGUUUGCAGGGAUGUGAUUGAGCCCCACCAGAAAAGAGUGGGGUCUUGAAUCCUAAAACUAUGGAGAUAGGAAGCACAAAGCUACCCAUUGACACCCCCAAACCACCCAAGUUUAACUCUUUAAAAGCUUACCUGAAACGUGGCAGCAGUCGGUGCUUAGAAAGCAUCAAGCAAGCAGACCUGAGCCUGAAGUCUAGCUUUAAAAAUAUAUAAAAGGAUAUAUAUAUAUAUAUAAAUAUAAAAUAUUUAAUAUAUAUAUAAUAUAAAAAAUAUAUAAAAGGAUAUAUUGUUCAAAUAUAUAAAAGGAUGUCACAUAGAGGAGGGAGAAAGGUUGUGUUCUGCUGCUCCAGAGAAGCAGACACGGAGCAAUGGAUCCAAACUACAAGAAAGAAGAUUCCACCUAAAGAUUAGGAAGAACUUCCUGACAGUAAGAGCUGUUCGACAGUGGAAUUUGCUGCCAAGGAGUGUGGUGGAGUCUCCUUCUUUGGAGGUCUUUAAGCAGAGGCUUGACAACCAUAUGUCAGGAGUGCUCUGAUGGUGUUUCCUGCUUGGCAGGGGGUUGGACUCGAUGGCCCUGGUGGUCUCUUCCAGCUCUAUGAUUCUAUGAUUCUAUGAUUCUAUUCUAUGAUUCUAAACAUGGGACAAAAGGGUCAAUGUGUUUUUAUCUUCUUUAAAAUUCCUAUUUUUAUUGUUUUCUCAUGUUGAAAUCCAUCCAAGAAGGUAAAAACAAACAAAACCACCCUCCCCGGAGAUGUUUUAACCUUUUUCUCACGGUUAAAUUUAAUAUAUUGUUUCACUUUCUUUUGUAAAUGUUUUUAUUUCAUUUUCUGAUGUAUAUGAAACAGAGAACAGCUAUAACAAUAGAUGAAAGCUUAAAAAGACGAAAAACAAGACUAUAAAAUAGGCACAUAGAAUAAGUACAGCUGCACGUGGGUUAAUAGAGUAACAUCUGAUUAUCAUGUCCAGUUCCAGAUUUUCCAGGCUUGUGAUGAAGGUUGUAUUGAAAAGGAUGGUUCUAUUGCCACAUGGCAAUAGAUCUCACAUGGGUGAGAUCCCAUGGACAGUAAUACUAAAAGGAAAGGGAGUUCAUGAUGGCUGGGAGUUUGUUAAGAGGGAGAUACUAAAAGCACAACGUCAGGCAAUACCAAUGAGACAGAAACAUGGAAGGUGCCUAAAGAAGCCAGGGUGGCUAUCUAAAGAUCUUUUAACUGAGUUAAGAUUAAAAAAGGAUGUGUACAAAAAAUGGAAAAGGGGGGAAACCACCAAAGAGGAAUUCAAACAAAUAGCCAGCACGUGUAGACACAAAGUCAGAAAAGCUAAAGCACAGAAUGAACUCAGGCUUGCUAGAGAGGUUAAAAGCAACAAAAAAGGCUUUUAUGGGUAUGUCCGUAGCAAAAGGAAGAACAAAGAAACAGUGGGGUCACUCAGAGGAGAAGAUGGUGAAAUGCAAACAGGGGACACAGAAAGAGCUGAACUCCUCAAUGCCUUCUUUGCCUCAGUCUUCUCCGAUAAAGAAAACAAUGCCCGACCUGAAGAAUUUGGAGCAAAUGAUUCAGCAAAGGAAACACAGCCCAGAAUAACUAAGGAGAUAGUACAAGAAUACUUGGCUAGUUUAGAUGUAUUCAAAUCUCCAGGGCCAGAUGAACUGCAUCCAAGAGUAUUAAAAGAACUGGCAGAUGUGAUCUCAGAACCACUGACAGUCAUCUUUGAGAAUUCCUGGAGAACGGGCGAAGUCCCGGCAGACUGGAGGAGGGCAAAUGUUGUCCCUAUUUUCAAAAAGGGGAAAAGAGAGGACCCAAAUAAUUACCGCCCAGUCAGUCUGACAUCAAUACCAGGGAAGAUUCUGGAGCAGAUGAUUAAGCAAACAGUCUGUGAGCACCUAGAAAGGAAUGCUGUGAUCACCAAUAGUCAGCAUGGCUUUCUGAAAAAUAAGUCAUGUCAGACUAACCUGAUCUCGUUUUUGACAGAAUUACAAGCCUGGUAGAUGAAGGGAACGCAGUGGAUGUAGCCUACCUUGAUUUCAGCAAGGCAUUUGACAAGGUGCCUCAUGAUAUUCUUGUAAAGAAGCUGGUAAAAUGUGGUCUUGACUAUGCUACCACCCAGUGGAUUUGUAACUGGCUGACUGACCGAACCCAAAGGGUGCUCAUCAAUGGUUCCUCUUCAUCCUGGAGAAGAGUGACUAGUGGGGUGCCACAGGGUUCUGUCUUGGGCCCGGUCUUAUUCAACAUCUUUAUCAACGACUUGGAUGAUGGACUCAAGGGCAUCCUGAUAAAAUUUGCAGAUGACACCAAAUUGGGAGGGGUGGCUAACACCCCAGAGGACAGGAUCACACUUCAAAACGACCUUGACAGAUUAGAGAACUGGGCCAAAAAAAACAAGAUGAAUUUUAACAGGGAGAAAUGUAAAGUAUUGCACUUGGGCAAAAAAAAUGAGAGGCACAAAUACAAGAUGGGGGACACCUGGCUUGAGAGCAGUACAUGUGAAAAGGAUCUAGGGGUCUUGGUUGACCACAAACUUGACAUGAGCCAACAGUGUGACGCGGCAGCUAAAGCCAAUGCAAUUCUGGGCUGCAUCAAUAGGAGUAUAGCAUCUAGAUCAAGGGAAGUAAUAGUGCCACUGUAUUCUGCUCUGGUCAGACCUCACCUGGAGUACUGUGUCCAGUUCUGGGCACCACAGUUCAAGAAGGACAUUGACAAACUGGAGCGUGUCCAGAGGAGGGCAACCAAAAUGGUCAAAGGCCUGGAAACGAUGCCUUAUGAGGAACGGCUAAGGGAGCUGGGCAUGUUUAGCCUGGAGAAGAGGAGGUUAAGGGGUGAUAUGAUAGCCAUGUUCAAAUAUAUAAAAGGAUGUCACAUAGAGGAGGGAGAAAGGUUGUUUUCUGCUGCUCCAGAGAAGCGGACACGGAGCAAUGGAUCCAAACUACAAGAAAGAAGAUUCCACCUAAACAUUAGGAAGAACUUCCUGACAGUAAGAGCUGUUUGACAGUGGAAUUUGCUGCCAAGGAGUGUGGUGGAGUCUCCUUCUUUGGAGGUCUUUAAGCAGAGGCUUGACAACCAUAUGUCAGGAGUGCUCUGAUGGUGUUUCCUGCUUGGCAGGGGGUUGGACUCGAUGGCCCUUGUGGUCUCUUCCAACUCUAUGAUUCUAUGAUUCUAUUCUAUGAUUCUAUUGCAGAUGUAAUUCACACCCCAAUGCUUUUAACUCUUUUUAUUGAUCACUUUGAUAUUUCUCACAAACCGCAUACAGGUUUCCUGCAGUAUGAACUUUGUUAAGCACAUUUGGUGAAAUAAAUAAAGAUCAGCUGUCAGAUGGGAUUUCUAACACUCUGGGCAGGUUGGCACAUUUUCAUCCCUACGUCCGGGUUCUGCGGGCAAUUUUUUGCUUUUGCGUUGGGUUAUUUACCAAGCACCAAGACUUUAUGUCUCUAACUCGGACUGUCCAGGAUGGAGACAGCUGGCAGCGGAGCCAGGAUCUCUUCCAGAGACCUCCUUUGUAUGCAUGGACAAUACAUACAAAUUGCAGCCAUCAGCUGCCAUGAAGGAAGUCUUUCCGGCAGCAAUUUCAAAGAGAUUACCCUGACGGCACUAAUGAAACGCAAGUCAAGAGUGUGCAUAAGGAGCUCGGGAAAUGGUAAGUGGUUUGACAUCAACACGCCAAAUUUCAUUUCCAAAAGUAUUCUGUUCUGAAUCACAGUGGGGGGGGGGGGAGGUUUGAAAGCACAUCAAAGUGCAAGUGGAUAAAUAGGUACCGCUCUGGCAGGAAGGUAAACGGCGUUUCCGUGCGCUGCUCUGGUUUGCCAGAAGCGGCUCAGUCAUGCUGGCCACAUGACCUGGAAGCUGUACGCCGGCUCCCUCGGCCAAUAAAGCGAGAUGAGCACCGCAACCCCAGAGUCGGCCACGACUGGACCUAAUGGUCAGGGGUCCCUUUACCUUUACCUUUAUACCCAAACAGUAAGGAAUCAGCCCUGAGUGCUCACUGGAAGGACAGAUCGUGAAGCUGAGCCUCCAAUACUUUGGCCACCUCAUGAGAAGAGAAGACUCCCUGGGAAAGAUGGAGGGCACAAGGAGAAGGGGACAACAGAGGACAAGAUGGUGGGACAGUGUUCUCAAAGCUACCAGCAUGAGUUUGACCAAACUGUGGGAGGCAGCGGAAGACAGGAGUGCCUGGCGUGCUCUGGUCCAGGGGGUCACGGAGAGGCGGACACGACUAAACGACUCAACAACAGCAUUCCCAAACUGAGCAAAGACUCUGUCAAAUAAGACCCUCAUUUGGAAAAAGCCAGAUGAGAAACCUUGCUCGUCCCCACUCUGGGCUGAAUGUGCUCUGCAAUUAAGACUCAAAAGUGGUGCUUUGGGUGGCACCUAGGAAGUUUGUGGGGUUUGGGGGGAAUGUGGUUGUUGCUGCUGGUUUUUUGCAUCUUUAUUUUAGAUCUUGCUGUGGAAAUUGUUCAGCUUAGUUGUGUAUCUUUUUAAUGUUUUAUUGGUUGUUCAUUUCAUUUUCUUAUGUCGCAGUUAUGUAAUUGUUUCAUGUUAGAAGAAGCCCAGAGCCUGGUUUGAACUCUGAAAAGGUAGCAUACAAAUAAAAUUAUUUUUAUUUUACAAAUAAAAUUAUGUAUGUAUGUAUGUAUGUAUGUAUGUAUGUAUUUUAUCUCAGAGGGAUUGAGACUAUGAUCACUGCUUGGAAUUUGUGUUAAAGGUAGCCUAUGCAGAACAUACCAGAUUAUAGGGAUUUUAAACCACUGCUAUUAGAACUGCUGUUAAGGUUAAUGAAACAUUUUUAGUAAAGUUACACUUCAGUCGCCUCUUCCAAACAAACAGUCAGUUGAUUUUCUCCUUCCUGUGAGGUCUCCCCUACACUUGGACCUGUCUCUCAUAAUCUGCUGCACCGUCACCUCUAAAUUCCUGCAGUUCCUAGAACCUAACAAACACCAGGCUAAAUUUUCACUGAAUUCUUAGGAAAAGACAAAGCGUUAGCCCAAAUGCUUAAAUCAGAGGCGGGAGACAAGGUCCCAAGUCAGCAACCAGCCACCUGCUGUCUCCAAAGCAGAGAUACGACGCGCACCAUCAGGCAGCCCCAAAGAGUGGGACGAUUCAGACAGGAAUGCAAAAUGUGGAUGGAUUCAGCACAAAUGAAUCUAUCUGAAAACUACUCCAAGUCCAGCCGCUGAAAUCCUUCAGUCAGCGUCUGCCCCCUCCCUCCCUUGCGCUUUCUUCAUAAGCCAGUUAUCUGUUGUGGAAUGAUGUGUUCUUAAUUGUCUGCCAAGGCUGGAUGGAAGAGGAAGGUUUUCAGCAGCAGCUUCUGGACCCAAGUCCAAGGGCAGCCCCAUGUGGCGUGCAUUGCAGUUGUCCAGCCUCGCGGGUGCCAACACACGGACUACAAUGGGCAGGCUGUCCCUGCCCAGAAAUGGCUGUAGUUGGCAAAUAAUAAAUUUUAUUUGUACCCCACCCUACCCAGCCAAGACGGGGCUCAGGGCGACUAACAACCAAUUUUAAAAACAAGUUGAUUAAAAUACAACUUAAAAAACAAGAUUAAAAUAUAACAUUAAAACAUUAAGAUGCAGCCUCUUCACACGAGGAGAAAGGAAAAAAGAAAGAGGGGGAGGGAAUCAAAUUGACUCCAAGCCAAAGGCCGGGCAGAACAACUCUGUCUUACAGGCCCUGUGGAAAGAAAUCAGAUCCCACAGGGCCCUGGUCUCAUGAGACAGAGCGUUCCACCAAGCCGGGGCCAGUGUUGAAAAGGCCCUGCCUCUGGUUGAAGUAAUCUAUCUUCCUUAGGGCCCGGGACCACCAGGGUGUUGCUAUUUAUGGACAAAGCUGGUAACAGGAGCUCCUAUUAUUAUUAUUAUUAUUAUUAUUAUUAUUAUUAUUUAUUAUUAAUGCACUACCCAUCUGGCUGGGCUUCCCCAGCCACUCUGGGCAGCUCCCAACAGAAUAUUAAAAACGCGAUGAAACAUCACCAACUGCUUUGGUAUGUUUUGUAUGGCACAGCAGUAUACAAAUACUUUUUAAAAUAAAUAAACACACUUCUCCUUUGUUCUAAGCUUUGGCCAGCCUGGAAAAAGGACCUCAACCUCUGUCCAUCACACCAGGUUGGUGAAGGAGAAGAGCCCUGCCCCCCCCCCGCACCCCCUCCUGCCAUGCCCUGUGUUGCAGUUUGGCAAAGAAAGGGACUCCUCCACUGUGACACUGGCCUCGUGGAAUUAAGUCCUAUUAGGAACAGUGGAACUGUGUAGGAACGUCACUGGUGGCAGGAUCAGGCUCUGUCUUCAAGCCGCGAUUCCCUCUGUUUUGAAGCAAUUCCAGGACUGGCAGAUUUAAUCACAGAUAGCCGCUCUGCUUGGGGCUGCAUCUUAUCUGCGGCUUCCACCUUAUCCCCCCAUUGCAGAACUUCCCGUGUAUGUAGAACAUCUACACUCCCUUUCUAAGCUUUCCUUAUCUGCUUUCUUGGGGAUCAAAGGAUUCUUUAAAAAAAGAAAUCAAUAUAAUUUGAGAUCUGUCAAAAUGAUUCACAGCCAGCCUUACUUUGAAAUGUCAUAGGAAGUUUCAGCUGCUGGUUCCAGAGCAGAGUGGGGAACGUUUAUUGUGCUCCUACCCCAUCACUGUGGACUCCCAGCCCCCCAUUAUUAUUUUUUUAAAAGGAAAAUCUCCUUUCUGAUAUAGCUAGUCCUUUUUUGUGCAUCUAGUGCAGGGGGCAGCAACCUAAGGCCCAUGGGCUGGAAGGGGCCCACGGAGGUCGUUUGACUGGCCCCCGAGCUGCCUGCUCAUGCGCUGUGCUAAACUGGCACAGCACGGAGCAGGGACUCGCUUCCGCGGCGCUGGAAAACGCGUCUGUGCAGACGCAAAUGCCGAAAAUCGCACCUGCGCAUGCGCAGACACAGAAAAUCGUGGGCGUAUGUGCUCACACAAGUGAUACGGCCCACGGAGGGAUCUCCACGGAACCGAUCCAGCCCAGGCAAGAUAAACCUUGCCGACCCCUGAUCUAGUGAAUGAGGUCCUCUAGUUAUACUCAGCAAUAUGAGGUCCCCUAGUUAUAUAUCAGAGCUUAAAUUCUUAUAACAAGAUUCUUGCUGGAUCUGACAAGGCCUUAAAAGUCUGGCUCAGUAGCUUUGGCCAGCUGAUCCUGUCAGAAGAGCCUGUGCUGGAUCAGGCCAAUGGCCCAUGGAGUCCAGUGUCCUGUUCUCACAGUGGCCCACCAAAUCAUAGAAUCAUAGAAUCAUAGAGUUGGAAGAGACCACAAGGGCCACCGAGUCCAACCCCCUGCCAAGCAGGAAACACCAUCAGAGCACUCCUGACAUAUGGUUGUCAAGCCUCUGCUGAAAGACCUCCAAAGAAGGAGACUCCACCACACUCCUUGGCAGCAAAUUCCACUGUCGAACAGCUCUCACUGUCAGGAAGUUCUUCCUAAUGUUUAGGUGGAAUCUUCUUUCUUGUAGUUUGCUACAAGAUGCUCCAAAGGAAAACCCACAAGCAGGAUUCGAAUACAAGGGCAGCUAGACUGGUGACUGGGAGCAGACACCGAGACCAUAUAACACCAGUCUUGAAAGACCUACACUGGCUCCCAGAACGUUUCUGAGCACAAUUCAAAGUGUUGGUGCUGACCUUGAAAGCCCUAAAUGGCCUCGGCCCAGUAUACCUGAAGGAGCGUCUCCACCCCCAUCCUUCAGCCCAAACACUGAGGUCCAGCUCCGAGGACCUUCUGGCGGUUCCCUCAUUGCAAGAAGCCAAGUUACAGGGAACUAGGCAGAGGGCCUUCUCGGUGGUGGUGCCCGCCCUGUGGAACACCCUCCCACCAGAUGUCAAAGAGAACAACAAUUACCAGACUUUUAGAAGACAUCUGAAGGCAGCUCUGUUUAGGGGAGCUUUUAAUGUUUAAUAGGUUAUUGUAUUUUGGUAUUCUGUUGGAAGCCGCCCAGAGUGGCUGGGGAAGCCCAGCCAGAUGGGCGGGGUAUAAAUAAUAAAUUAUUAUUAUUAUUAUUAUUAUUAUUAUUAUUAUUAUUAUUUAUUCAACUCUCCCUUCUUGCUUGUUUGGAGCAACUGGCUUUCAGAAGCUCAACAGAUGGAGCCACACGUCUAAAAGAUAAAGAAGCUAUUUGCACUGCGCUGGAAAAAGCACCACCAGCAUCUCCUUAACCGCAACUCCCCCGUAGCUGCUGAGGUCCUCUCACAAGUUCUGCAAAAACAAAUUAGACGGUGAUGGACUGGGCCUCAAGACCUGGAUACAGAUGGCCAAGAAUACUCCUUUGCCCAAGAAAAGAGUUGAGACCGUCAAGCCCUCCCCACCCCGAUAUAGGCAGGGGCGAACUAGGGCUAACCGACACCCGGGGCGGGGCAAACCGCCAGCUGCGCAUGCAUGGCGUCGCUAUGUACAGCGCAUGUGUGCGACACCGCGCAUGCGUUGUAGGUAGCGGCUUGCUGCCAGCACUGCUCAAGCACGGUACGGACGGUGGCAGGAUCCUCUGCCCACGGGGUGCCUUCUUGUCACCCCCCUGGGGUGAACCGCCCCCUGCCCCCUUGUGACGCCACUGGAUACAGGUCCACAUUGAUGGCAGCCCAGCUCUGUGCGGUAUCAAGGAGCCCCAUAGAUCUGCUUGGCACGAGGCGCCUCGGGCCGCUCUGUGUUUCUCGUCUGCCUGCUAAUUUAUGGACAUGCUCUAAUCUCCGUAAGAUUAGGAGUGUAAUUAAUAAUAAUUAAUGGGUACAUUAAUCUUCCGCUGGCUGUGAUAAGACCUAUUCAGACAGACGUGGCUUAGUCUCUGUUUGCAGAGACGCAGAAUCGGCAAAAAGGCAUGGGUGGGGACUGUCAACGCAAGGACUUCAUCUCAGAGUUAUUGAGAUCUGUUUCCUGUGUGUGUGUGUGUGUGUGUGUGUGUGUAUUCAUUCUGAUUUAUGCCCACCAGGCUGCCUCCCAAAGUGGAAGGCAGAGCAAUGCUAUGUUGAUUAUUAGUCAUCCAUAGCCCUCUCUUCCUCCACCCAAUCCUCUUCUAAAGCCAUUUAGGUUGGGGGGCAUCCUGUGGCAGGGAGUUCCAUAGUAUUGUUAUUAAUUAAAUUGAUAUAAAGAAGCACUACUUGAAUAAGUACAAGAAAUACAACCUCAGGAGCUGGUCUGCUGUGUUUUUUCUGCCCACAUCUUGACAGUUCAGUACUAAAUAUGUUUCAAGUGAACGUUUUAAAUGCAGAAUGUUUUUCCCUUCAUUCUUUGUUAGAAACGAAGCCUGAUGAGGAACGGUUGAAGGAGCUGGGUAUGUUCAGCUUGGAAAAGAGCAGACUGACUGAGAGGAGAUAUGAGAGCCAUCUUCAAAUAUCUCAAGGGCUGUCACAUGGGAGAAGAAACAAGCUUGUUUUCUCCUGCUCUGGAAGGUAGGAUUCGAACCCACGGCUUCAAGUUCCAACUGGACAUCAGGGACAACUUUUUGAGGGUAUUAGCUGUUCAGGACUGGAACAGGCUCCCUCGGGAGGUUGUGGACUCUUCUUCACUGGAGGUUUCUAUGCAGAAGAUGGAGCCCAUCUGUCUUGGAUGCUUUAGCUGAGCUUCCUGCAUUGCUGGGGGUUGGACUAGAUGACCCCGGAGGGUCCCUUCCAACUCUACAAUUCUAUGAUUCUAUCUUACUCUUUAUGUGGAAAUUGUUUGAUUUGGUUGGUGUGCUUUUUGAGGAGGAGGAGGAGGAGGAGGAGGAGGGGCUGCCACCCCUGAGGCCCUGCCCCACCUGACAAGCUGGCUCUGAGGGUCCGGGCAGAGGACAGGGGCUGCGCUGGGUGGGAAGAACGGUGAAGCAGAGCAGAGCACCAGGAGUCCUGAAUGCAUUGUCCACCUGCAUCUAAUCUUGCCCCUUUCUCAAAUUUAUUUAUUGGUGUGGUUCUUUUUUGGGGGGGGGGGGAGGUUAAAUCUACCAAAGAAUAAAAUAAAAUAAAAUCAGGAUUAAGGGGUUUUCUCAGGAGGGCGGAGAGCGUUUUUGCUGAGUCCUGUUGGUGCAGUGUCAGUGGGACUUGCUCAUCUUCUGAUAGGAAAUGCUUCUGCGGGGGCAGAGGGGACACAGAAAAUGGGGGGUUGAGGAGGAUGAGUUGGGGGGAGUGAGAAAUGUCCCUAUUUUCAUCUGAGGAAUGUUGGAGCUCCUGCUGUUAUGGGGGGGGAGGAAAUCCGGGGUGAGAGACCACUAAAGGAGUGUCUCCACCCCCAUUGUUCUGCCCGGACGCUGAGGUCCAGCUCUGAGGGCCUUCUGGCGGUUCCCUCCCUGCAAGAAGCAAAGCUACAGGGAACCAGGCAGAGGGCCUUCUCUGUGGUGGCGCCCUCCCUGUGGAAUGCCCUCCCAGCAGAUGUCAAAGAGAUAAACAACUACCUGACAUUCAGAAGACAUCUGAAGGCAGCCCUGUUCAGGGAAGUUUUUAAUGACAUCUUAGUGUAUUUUGGGUCUUUGUGGAAGCUGCCCAGAGUGGCUGGGGAAACCCAGCCAGAUGGGCUGGGUACAAAUAAUAAAUUAUUAUUAUUAUUAUUAUUAUUAUUAUUAUUAUUAUUAUUACUCAACAGCCUAGCCUAGAUAUUGCAAUGCAAGGCAUCCCUGACAGAUGGCCAUUCAACCAGAUGAGGUGAGCUUCUCUCCAAAGCACUGUGCUAGGUUCCUAAGCGAUUCUCCACCCCCCAAACAAAACUCCUACCCUUAAACUUAAGGUUGCAUCCUUUGGGGAUAUUAAACGUCCCUCCCAUCCCAGGCUCAUCCCAAAUGACAGCUCAGCAUUAAAUGGCCGGCUGGCUUAGACAGCCAUAAACAUCCCCGGAGCCAGAGCCAUUAAGGAGGCUGUCAGGAGGGCGAGAUUAGCUGAUCUACUGGAAUUCGCCUGGGCUCCAACUCAGAAGAAGCCGGACGGGGCUUGUCAAGGCUUUCGGCUUUUGGGAGGAAGGAAGUCACCGAGCAAAAAAGGACGUGAUGCUCAUGGCUCUCAAGGUGGCCACUUAUGAAGCCGUUUCAGCGCCAAGGUGGCUUCUUGCCCUUUCGUGUUCAAAAUUGCGAUUGCUUUCUCUUCUUAAUAAGAGAAUCACCCAAGUAAAUAAAAAUAGGUAAUAUGCAGGGCUACAUAUUUGGCAUAUGGAUCAGAAAUGAUAAUUAACUAAAUGUCUCUAACACACAUUCUUGUUAUUCCUACCUAAAUAUUAUUGCACAAUGUUUCUGCUAAUCUUUUACAUACUUGAUUGAUUGAUUGAUUGAUUGCAUUUUGAUUCCGCCUUGUCUCCCUGGAGCUCAAGGUGCCAUUGGUGGUUCUCCUCCUCAUUUAAUCCCCACAACAGCCCUGAGGUUACGCAGAGAGGCAGUGACCAUAACCGAAGGACACCCAGUGAGAUUCAUGUCUUAGGGGGGGAUUCGAACCCUGGUCUCCCAGAACCUUGUCCAAAACUGUGACCACUACACUGCACUGAAAAGUAAGGCAAAUGGGGAGACCUCUGCCUCAGGCUCUUAAUAUAGCAGUGCAAGGAAUGUCUUCUUCUUCAUCAUCAUCAUCAUCUUCUUCUUCUUCUAGCUGCUGUGAAUGGCAACUGAGUUAUUUGCAUAAAACUAAAAACAGUUGCAAUACUGUUGUUGUUGCUGCUGCUGCUGCUGUCAAUACCCCGCCUAUCUGACUGGUGCUGACUGGGCCUCCAGCACAUAUUAAACAAGAUAAAACCUCAAACCUUAAAAAGCUUCCCUAAACAGGGCUGCCUUCAGAUGUUUUUUCAAAGUCAGGUAAUUGUUUAUUUCCUUGACAUCUGAUAAGAGGGUGCUACUACCAAGAAGGCCCUCUGCCUGGUUCCCUGUAACCUCACUUCUCGCAAUGAGGGAACCGCCAGGAGACCCUCGGCACUGGACCUCAGUGUCUGGUCAGAACGAUGGGGUGGAGACGCUCCUUCAGGUAUACAGGACCGAGGCCGUUUAGGGCUUUAAAGGUCAGCACCAACACUUUGAAUUGUGCUCGGAAACGUACUGGGAGCCAGUGUCGGUCUUUCAAGACUGGUGCUAUAUGAUUCCAGACGGUGGCAAAGCAAGCCGAUCGGGCACCUGGGGCAGUGCCCAGGGGGUGGAGCCAGCCACCUGUGGGGCGGGGUGAGCUGGGGCAGGUUGCUCCAUGAGGCUUCUGAGGAGUCUGCCUGCCUUCUCACACUCAGCCGCCCCACAGCUGAGGGGGAGGUGGCAGCGGGUGGGCAGUUUGGGGCAGCGCAGAGCCUGCAAGCACCCAAGCCAUUGCGUCACUCCCAGGAAGGACACGUGGCUCUGCAAGCCCCACGGUGAGGGCCGCCUGGCAUUUUGUCACCCCUCAGUGGUGACACCCGGGGCAGACCCCCCACCACCACACACCCUUCCUCUGCCCCUGGUCCCGGUGGCUGCUUCCAGUUCCCAGUCUAGCUGCCGCAUUCUGUGUUAAUGAGCACUGAAGACGCCUAACAACAAAGUACAAAACAGCCAAAUAUCAACGAAAACACCCACCCACCCCAACCUCGCAUGGGGUGGGGCAAGCAGGUGAAAAAGACUGCCCUUGGUGGUGCCAGGAGACUCUCCCCUGUAGCUCUUCGUAUGGGAUUUAUUUAAAGGCAAAACCCAACCUGCCUGAUAGAAAAUCGAUGGUGUUUCAAUUUGGGGAUUCCUUGAUAGGUUGGAAGUCCAAAAAGCAAGGAAUCGUGGCCACAUCUUCAACAGAGGCUGAAUACUGUGCUUUAUCAGAGUUGUGUAAUGAAAUAAUUUUUUUCGUUCAAAUUCUCAAUGAUUUAGAUAUACAAUGUGAUUAUCCAGUUCAAAUAUGUGUAGACAAUCAAGCUGUAAUAACUUUGGCUGGGUCUGAGCAGUUUAAAAAUAAAUCCAAACUUUUAGAAAUUAAGUAUCAAAAUGUAACUGAAAAUGUUAAACAAAACCUGAUAAUGCUAAAAUACUGUGAGAGCAUGCAAAAUGUGGCUGAUAUAUUUACGAAAGCACUAACUUUUGAGAAACAUGCACAACUGGUGACAAAAUUAGGAAUUGUUGUGCGUGAUGUAUAAAUAUGUUUUGUAUAUGUUUACUGUUUUGCUUUCUGUUUCUGUUUGAAAACCCCCCUCUAAAAGGUCCUCAUCACUCUGCACAUGCUCAGAGGUGCUUUGUCAUCAAGAAGUAGAGGCAUUUGGGACAUCUUCAGAGGAAUUGUGCAGAUCUUAAGGAGGCGGCUCAGCAACUAAGCGUGAACAGGACCCUAUAUUCUGCAGCCUGCGUCUUUUGCCAAGAGGAAGGGGUGGCGGAGGCAGGCAAGUUCGCCUGGAAAGGGUUGUCCCCAUUUUCAAGGUUUCCCCCAGCUGCAGGCUUCAGUGAGCUUGGCAGUUGAUUAAUGCCUCCGCUGUGGAGUGGCAGUUUGGCCGUACAGCUUCAUCCAUCAUCCGCAGGCCAUUUCCUCUGGGUUUGGAGACCCUAACAAAUUGUCACCUAAGCGGCUGGGACACUGUCUCUUCCGUCGCUUGCCUGCUGCAUCGGGAAAAUGCCCCAGUUUGGUGUGACGCUGGAGCGGGGAGAAUGAAAGGAGCUCAGGAAAGCUCAGCAGCAUCGUGUUGUGCCAACGCCGGGAUGUUCAAUGGUGUUAUGGAGUUUUUAUUAGGGUUACGGAUUCGGUGUUUGUGCAUAUAAGAAUUUAAGGAGAGCCUGCUGCUUUGGGCCAGUGGUCCAUCUAGGACAGCAUCCUCUUCUCACAGUGGCCCAAAAGCAAGAUCUGACCACAAGAGCCCCCUCCCUCCCUGCAAUCUGCAUUGCUGCCCCCCAACUGUGGAAGUUGAGCAAAGCCGUCCAUAGCCCUCUCCUCCUCCAUGAAUUUGCCCCAUCCCCUUUUAAAACCAUCCAAGUGACCAUCACUGACUCCUGUGGGAGGGAGUUCCACAGUUUAACCAUGUGCUGCAUGAAGCGCUUUCUUUUAUCUGUCCUGUGUGCAUGUUUGUAUGACAAAAAAUGUCAGUUCUGGUAGAGAUGUUCAUUUAAAAUCAACCAGAGCUGAAUUCUGUGUUGUUUUGCAAGCCUGUUGAAUGGACUGUUAUCUAUCUACCUAUCAUCUAGCUAGCUAGCUAGCUAGCUAUUAUCUACACACACACACACACACACACACACAGAGAGAGAGAGAGAGAAUUGGGGGGUAAGUUACAUAAAGAGCCAUAAAAAGGAGGUAUUUACUAGAAACAAAUAAAAGGUUUUCAAGACCACAUUAUUAUAUUAUUAUAUUGCUCAUGAAAUAAAACUAAAUGAACAUUACAACAUGGGGGUGGGGGAGAACCACACAAUGAUUUUAUUUUGAAACUUAAUACAGUGGUACCUCCGGUUACAUACACUUCAGGUUACAGACUCCGCUAACCCAGAAAUAGUACCUCAGGUUAUCACAGGAACCCCCCCCCCCCCAAUCAUUCAGUUUGUACAAACUUCACACACACUCGCACACUACAUACGCUACGCUUCUGUUAUAAAUUCAUAGAAAACCAACCAUACAUCGGAUCUGCACUGUUCCACUUUUAUUUUACUCCAUGAAGGAAGGACUACAAAAUGGGGAAGGUUUGAUACAGGGCAGCCAUAAUCCCUUCAGCAUACCAGCACAUCCACAGGAGCCCUGCCCAGUUGCUAUGCCAACCCUGAUGGUCCUAGACAGAAGACCAUCAAGAUCACAAAGAACUUGCAUAUGGGAGUGGAUUCAGCACAGACUGGAACAAAGGACAACAAUCAGCUCUUCCCUCUGGGGGCAGGAAACUGCAAACUCCCCUCUGUCACCUGGAAAGUACUCAUGGGGAGGGGGGAAAGGAGGAACCAGCCAGGUGACAGGACACUCAGGUUACCUCCACAACUCCUCCCUCAACCCCUCCUUUCUGUGAUGUAUGCAUGAUGUUUCUGGGGGUGGUCUUGAUCUACAGGGUGGCAAUUUCAAAAGUCUUUAUAAGGCCUUGCAUGCCAUUUUUCUGGGUCCCUCCUCUCUCCUGCGGGUGAGGGAGCACCCUGUUGCAACAGAUCAAUAAAAGCCAAGCCUACAGGCUGCUGUUUUGCUCCAAGUUAUCCUGGUUGGUGUCUUUGUUUUUGUCCAAGGGAGCCCUCGGAUUUUUCCGUUAACAGGGUUAAGAACUUUGCUUCAGAAUGAGAAGAGAAAUCGUGCUCCAGCGGCGCGGUGGCAGCGGGAGGCCCCAUUAGCUAAAAUGGUGCUUCAGGUUAAGAACAAAAUUUCAGGUUAAGAACGGACCUCCGGAAUGAAUUAAGUACUUAACCCAAGGUACCACUGUACUCAAAAAUUAAUAAAGACACAAAGGGUUCCUUUUUGUGUGUGGUUUAAAGGUAAAGGGUAAAGGGACCCCUGACUGUUAGGUCCAGUCGUGGCCGACUCAUGGGUUGCGGCGCUCAUCUCACUUUACUGGUCGAGGGAGCCGGCGUACAGCUUCCGGGUCAUGUGGCUAGCAUGACUAAACCGCUUCUGGCGAACCAGAGCAGCGUACGGAAACGCCGUUUACCUUCCUGUUGGAGCAGUACCUAUUUAUCUACUUGCACUUUGGCAUGCUUUCGAACUGCUAGGGUGGCAGGAGCUGGGACCGAAAGACGGGAGCUCACCCCGCCGCGAGGAUUCGAACUGCCAACCUUCUGAUCAGCAAGUCCUAGGCUCUGUGGUUUAACCCACUGCGCCACCCGUGUGUGUGGUUUAGAGGGCUGGAAAUGAAGAACUCUGCAUUUCUAAAAAGACAUGUUCCUUUUGAUGUAUUUAUCGCAUUGUUUUUCGAUGUGGGGGUGCCUCUCCCUUGCAGCUUAGAAGGCGGGAGGACAGUUUCCCUCUCGCUUUGUGCCAAUUGUAUGCAGCCUUUUAACGCCGUAACUUUUUGAUCUUGGAGGGAAAUGUCAGUUUUGAAAGGAGUAGGAAGAGGAGCUGAACCAGAGUUGAGCUGCCCUUUGCAUCUGCAUGAGAGAGAGAGAGAGAGAGAGAGAGAGAGAGAGAGAGAGAUCCCAGCCCAAGGGGAAGAAGAGGUUCAUUUCUCAUUUUUGUUUUGUUUUGCACAGUGCAAAAUCACACAGAGCCAGUGUGGUGUAGUGGUUAAGAGCGGUGGACUUGUAAUCUGGUGAACGGGGUUCGCUUCCCUGCUCCUCCACAUGCAGCUGCUGGGUGACCUUGGGCCAGUCACACUUCUCUGAAGUCUCUCAGCCCCACUCACCUCACAGAGUGUUUGUUGUGGGGGAGGAAGGGAAAGGAGAAUGUUAGCCGCUUUGAGACUCCUUCGGGUAGUGAUAAAGCGGGAUAUCAAAUCCAAACUCUCCUUCUUCUUCUUCUUCUUCUUCUUCUUCUUCUUCUUCUUCUUCUUCUUCUGCAAUGGGGCAGGGGGAAAGCGUUGCCUGAACAGCCUGCUUUAGAAGCAACAGCAAAGAGAUGUGUGGCAGCCGAAAGAUUUUGGGUUUUUUUGUUUCGAUAUAUUCUUCUGCAACAUGUCAUUUGCAGGACACAUAGGCAAGAUACAAGACCUGGCCACAAGACUGAUAGGAACCAGUUAAAGAAAUUUUAUUUUAUUUUAGACUAGUCUAUUGUGGUUUUAACUUUAUGUAUGUUUUAAAUUACGGUCGUAAAUUUUGUUGUUUUCUCUUUUUUGGAAAUUGCUUUGAGGGUGUGUUUUUUUGCUGCAGUCAAGCGGUGUGUAAAUUUUAUGAAACAAAUGAAUCAAUAAAAUCGACAUCUGGCUGCAAAAGUGAAAAGAAUCCCCGUGCAAGGUAAGGUUACCAGACGUCACUGUUUCCCGGGGACAGUCCCCAGAUUUGUGAAUAAGUCCCCGGACAAACUCCAUCCCCAGAAUGUCCCUGGAUUUCAUCUAAUGUCCCCAGGAAACGCAGCAGCCGCAGUCUCUCAGCAGCCCGGAGCAGUUGGCUCUGGCUGGCUUCAGGAGCUGCUUGGAAGUCCCCAUCUGAUGGUGGUGCAGGGGCUCAAAGACGCAGCUUCCGGGCUGCCUCCACCUUCCCUGACCCCAGCAACUCAGCUGUGAAGGAAGGCUUCACGCUGCCUAUCAGAGCUUGCGUGCAAGCAGGAGGGGGGCAGGGAUCUCUCAGUUAGGCAAUGGGAAGCCUCCCUUCCCAGCUGAGGGAUCCCUGCCCCCUCCUGCUUGCACGCAAGUAGGAGUGGGAUUGGGGCUGCUCCAGUGGGAAGGGAGGCAUCGCUCUGCCCGAGCCUCGCCACUGCUGCCACUCUCGGCCCUCCUUGUCCGCCUUCCAUGCCUGACCCACUGCGCACCGCUUCCCCACCACCACCACCAAAGAACCAACAAGUCAGGGGCUGCUCAGGCUCAUGGAAAAAGAAGAUAGAAGCCUCAGAGGAAUGAGAAACGUGGCGGUUGAGGUCAAGGCAGCAGCCACCCCUCUGCCACUGCUAUUGCUGCAGCAUCAACGUCCUGAACGUGUAGUAUUUAUUUAUUUAUUUAUUUAUUUAAAGUGUCCCCAGAUUCAUUGAAAACAAUCUGGUAACCUUAGCGUAAGGCACAAAGAGGGUUCCCCUGUGUGCAGUGAAAAAUGGGUUGAGUAAGUGGUUAGAGGAGAGAUGGUGGGGUGCUGGGGUGGCAGAAGGGGGUUGGGUAGAGGGCAGACAGCUGAGUUGCCAUGCAUGUGGCUCCAUAGGGUGUGUCCUAUAUAGGGCAAUGUCCUUGCAGACUCUUUGGACUCUGCCCAGUAAUGCAUUGCUGAAAUCGACUAGGAAUUUGGUGUGAACCUCUGUACUUGAACCCCCAAGUGGAAUUUCUCUCACAGUUCCCAUGUUCGUGAGACAGGCAAGUGACCUGUUUUGGAUGGAGUUGCUCUCCCUCUGAAGGAGAAAGCGUGUCACUCAGGGGUGCUCUAAGACAUAUCUCUGUCACUCAAGGCCCAAGAGUCCUCUGUGGCUAGGCGUAUACCUGAAGGAGUGUACCUGGAGGAGCAUCUCCAUCCCCAUCGUUCUGCCCAGACACUGAGGUCCAGCUCCAAGGGCCUUCUGGUGGUUCGCUCAGUGCGAGAAGUGAGGUUACAGGGAACCAGGCAGAGGGCCUUCUCGGUGGUGGCACCCACCCUGUGGAACGCUCUCCCAUGAGAUGUCAAGGAAAUAAACAACCACCUGACUUUUAUAAGACAUUUGAAGGCAGCUCUGUUUAGGGAAGUUUUUAAUGUCUAAAUUAUUAUUAUUAUUAUUAUUAUUAUUAUUAUUAUUAUUAUUAACCGUCCUUGCUAGGAGCCAGCCAGAAACCUCUCCUCCUCCACGAAUUUAUCCAAACCUCUUUUAAAGCCACCCAAGAUGAUGGCCAUCCUGUGGGAGCAAGUUUCAAAGUUUAGCUUGGACUACUGCAAUGCUUGGACUAUUGCAACAUGCUCUACGUGAGGGUGCCUUUGAAGGUGACCUGGAAACUACAACUAAUCCAGAAUGUGGCAGCUAGACUGGUAACUGGGAGCGGCUGCCAAGACCACAUAACACCAGUCUUGGAAGACCUACAUUGGCUCCCAGUACAUUUCUGAGCACAAUUCAAAGUGUUGGUGCUGACCUUGAAAGCCUUAAACGGCAUCAGCCCAGUAGACCUGAAGGAGCGUCUCCACCCCAUCAUUUUGCCCAGACACUGAGGUCCAGCUCCAAGGGUCUUCUCGUGGUUCCCUCACUGCGAAAAGUGAGGUUACCGGGAACCAGGCAGAGGGCCUUCUUGGUGGUGGCACCCACCCUGUGGAACGCCCUCCUAUCAGACAUCAAGGAAAUCAUAGAAUCAUAGAGUUGGAAGAGAGCACAAGGGCCAUCGAGUCCAACCCCCUGCCAAGCAGGAAACAGCAUCAGAGCACUCCUGAUAUAUGGUUGUCAAGCCUCUGCUUAAAGACCUCCAAAGAAGGAGCCUCCACCACACUCCUUGGCAGCAAAUUCCACUGUCGAACAGCUCUUACUGUCAGGAAGUUCUUCCUAAUGUUUAGGUGGAAUCUUCUUUCUUGUAGUUUGGAUCCAUUGCUCCGUGUCCGCUUCUCUGGAGCAGCAGAAAACAACCUUUCUCCCUCCUCUCUGUGACAUCCUUUUAUAUAUUGGAACAUGGCUAUCAUAUCACCCCUUAACCUCCUCUUCUCCAGGCUAAACAUGCCCAGCUCCCUUAGCCGUUCCUCAUAAGGCAUCGUUUCCAGGCCUUUGACCAUUUUGGUUGCCCUCCUCUGGACACGUUCCAGUUUGUCAGUGUCCUUCUUGAACUGUGGUGCCCAGAACUGGACCCAGUACUCCAGGUGAGGUCUGACCAGAGCAGAAUACAGUGGCACUAUUACUUCCCUUGAUCUAGAUGCUAUACUCCUAUUGAUGCAGCCCAGAAUUGCAUUGGCUUUUUUAGCUGCCGCGUCACACUGUUGGCUCAUGUCAAGUUUGUGGUCAACCAAGACUCCUAGAUCCUUUUCACAUGUACUGCUCUCAAGCCAGGUGUCCCCCAUCUUGUAUUUGUACCUCUCAUUUUUUUUGCCCAAGUGCAAUACUUUCCAUUUCUCCCUGUUAAAAUUCAUCUUGUUUGUUUUGGCCCAGUUCUCUAAUCUGUCAAGGUCGUUUUGAAGUGUGAUCCUGUCCUCUGGGGUGUUAGCCACCUCUCCCAGUUUGGUGUCAUCUGCAAAUUUGAUCAGGAUGCCCUUGAGUCCAUCAUCCAAGUCGUUGAUAAAGAUGUUGAAUAAGACCGGGCCCAAGACAGAACCCUGUGGCACCCCACUAGUCACUCUUCUCCAGGAUGAAGAGGAACCAUUGAUGAGCACCCUUUGGGUUCGGUCAGUCAGCCAGUUACAAAUCCACUGAGUGGUAGCAUAGUCAAGACCGCAUUUUACCAGCUUCUUUACAAGAAUAUCAUGAGGCACCUUGUCAAAUGCCUUGCUGAAAUCAAGGUAGGCUACAUCCACUGCGUUCCCUUCAUCUACCAGGCUUGUAAUUCUGUCAAAAACGAGAUCAGGUUAGUCUGACAUGACUUAUUUUUCAGAAAUCCAUGCUGACUAUUGGUGAUCACAGCAUUCCUUUCUAGGUGCUCACAGACUGUUUGCUUAAUGAUCUGCUCCAGAAUCUUCCCUGGUAUUGAUGUCAGACUGACUGGGCGGUAAUUAUUUGGGUCCUCUCUUUUCCCCUUUUUGAAAAUAGGGACAACAUUUGCCCUCCUCCAGUCUGCCGGGACUUCGCCUGUUCUCCAGGAAUUCUCAAAGAUGACUGCCAUUUUAUAAACAAUAAAAUGCAAUAAACACCAUAUUAAAAGGUUAAAAACAGACAGGAAUCUCAGCUGCAGAAUACCCUGACCGACGGCCAUCCAACCUCUGCUUAAAAACCUCCCGUGAGCAGGAUCCUGUUCCCUCUUGGCUCCCAGCUCUGCCUGUCCUUCAGCUCAUUGAGUUUUUCCUCCCUCUAACUUGUUUGCAGUGCUUGAUUUGAUUUUUGUUUAUUUGGCUGCAGCAUCGGAGUCUGUUAUUGAUUUCCGGCGCUCAGCCCUCCUCCAGUUUGGCCUUGGUCCGCAGAAUUGGAGGCCACCAUCCGAAUCUCAAAUGCCAGCGGGAGUCUGUGCGUCCCAUACGGACCAUGUCUCUCUCCACAGAUGACGGGUCUCCAGCUCCCUUGAGGGGCUGCAUUCUCAGCCUCCCUCUUAGAAUCAUAGAGUUGGAAGGGCCACUGAGGGCCACUUAGUCCGGCCCCCUGCAAUGCAGGAAUCUGCCCUGGCCAACCAACCUCUGCUCAGAAACCUCCAAGGAAGGAGAGUCCACCACCUUCAAAGGUGGUCUGUUCCACUGCUAAACCCUCAGAAAGUUCUUCCUAAUGUGCAGUGGGAAGAGAUAGCCCUCUCCUCCUCCAUGAAUCUGGCCGAUCCUCGUUUAAAGCCAUCCAAGUUGGUGGCCAUCAUUGUCUCCUGUGGGAGGGAGUUCCACUGGAUUUCUACAAAUCUGAAACUACUAUAUUAUCAUACGCCACCCCCAAUCUCCAAGCGGUUAUUUGGCCCACUGUGUGUCACCCUGAACAUUCCCAAAAUCCAGCAGGCUCUUCUUAAUAUGUGGGAUACAGGAUCACAGGCCUGGAAGGAUCUCAUCCAGACUGACCACCCCAAAACUCCUACCAGGACAUUCUUUUUUCUGCUUACCACUAAAUUCACUUCCUUCUCCUUUUUAUGUUGUUUGAAUUCUAGACCACAUAAAAAACUCUCAUCUUGUCCAGUAACCUUGCGGGGGCUUUUUGGGUUCAUCCUUCUUUCCCCUGUUUCUUGCUUUCCUUCCCUACUCUUAAAAUACGAAGGUGGUUUUGGGCAGGUGAGCUGCCAGCAUUUGCCUGCCCCAAGAAAGAUGUUCUACACAGAACAUUUCUGGCAGGGGAGAGACACACAGUGGACCAAACUACAUUUCUCCCCCUGGGGGAUUUAAUGGGACAGGCCUAAGAGCAAAGAUUUGAGCUUACACUGGGGGUCCUUGGCUCUCAAGUAUUGAAAACAGGUUAAUACACCGGCAGGAUUUGAAGAAUACUUGUAAUUUUAGAAAUAAUACAGGAAAGUUGAGGUAGGAAAAUAAUUUGGAGUAGAAAUGAUAUGCAGUUGAAAAGGAAAUUUAAGGAACCGGGAAGGGAAGUCAAGGGAUUCGGAGAAUCCCAUUUUAUGGAUUUGAUAUUGCUUUUGUGUAUAUUUUCCUUUGCUUGUGGUUGUUGUUGUGUUUGCUGUUGUUUGUUUUUUUAUUUUUGUUAUUUCUGUUGAAAUUUAAUAAAAAAUAUUCUUAAAAAAGAGCAAAGAUUUGAGUUUACACAGGGGAUCCUUGGCUCUCAGUCGUGCCCUGAAAGAGGGGACCAGUCCCUCAAAUGGGGCAGAGGACAGAUGCCACGAUUCCAGAGCAAUGACAUUUGCAGGGGAAUUAAGCAGAGAGCCCUCGCCCAGGCACCACAAGCUCUGUUGGCAACCCCAGAGGGAAAUCUCACCAUCAGCCUGAAAGCUCUGGGAAGUCGCUGAGUUUCUCCGGCUGAGAGUCGCAGCCUGCUUGCUUAAAAGGAUUGGAGUUCAGAAGUGCCUCCUGCGUGGGUGUCGGGUAAAAUACGACCAGCGCCAUUUAGCCUUAAUUAAAGCUGCCACCGCGACGUGACACAGCCCUGCCAUCGCCACCAGCAUUCCAUAUGCAUUUUGGACGUUUUGUCCUAGACAUCCGAAAGGCAGGGAAUCCACGCCCAGCAGUGUGGCGCUGUCUGGAAUCAAUCACCCAAGAGGCACAGGGAGGGCCUUUUCUCGUCUUUGCGAGCGUGUGGGGAGAAUUGCUAAGAGGGAAGAGGCUAGCGCAAUGCCACUCGCCUCUUGGCCCAAAAUGGUCCUCGCUGCCCAGGGGCCAUGGCAGGAAAAGGAGCUGACGGCAGGCGCAGAGGAGGGAGAAGGAAAAUGAGAACACAAGCAGGAUUCUUCAUAUUAGAGCAUAGCAGAAGCCAGUUACUCAGAGGGGACAGUGCAUCAUAAGCCCCUCUCUCAUGGAGCUCAGGUCUUCCAUAGCAUAACAUGCCACACAACUCUCUAAAUGGUGAUCCCGCCCAUCUGGCUGGGUUUCCCCAGCCACUCUGGGCGGCUUCCAACUGAAUAUUAAAAACAAUACAUCAUCAGACAUUAAAAACUUCCCUAAACAGUUGUCUUUUAAAAGUAAAAUAGUUGUUUAUCUCUUUGACAUCUGGUGGGAGGGAGUUCCACAGGGCAGGUGCCACUACUGAGAAGGCCCUCUGCCUGGUUCCCUGUAACUUGGCUUCUCGCAGGGAGGGAACUGCCAGAAGGCCCUCAGAGCUGGACCUCAGUGUCCGGGCAGAACAAUGGGGUGGAGACGCUCCUUCAGCUGAGAUUCCUGUCUGUUUUUAACUUUUUUUAUAUGGUUUUUAUUGCAUUUUAUUGUUUAUUUCCUUCACAUCUGAUGGGAGGGCAUUCCACAGGGUGGGCACCACCACCAAAAAGGCCCUCUGCCUGGUUCCCGGUAACCUCACUUUUCGCAGGGAGGGAACCGCCAGAAGGCCCUCAGAGCUGGACCUCAGUGUCCGGGCAGAACAAUGGGGGUGGAGCCGCUCCUUCAGGUAUACUGGGCCAAGGCCUUUUAGGGCUUUAAAGGUCAGCACUAACACUCUGAAUUGUGCUCGAAAACGUACUGGCAGCCAAUGGAGAUCUUUCAGGACCGGUGUUAUAUGGUCUCAGUGGCCACUCCCAGUCACCAGUCUGGCUGCCGCAUUCUGGAUUAGUUGUAGUUUCUGGGUCACCUUCAAAGGGAGCCCCACGUAGAGGGUGUUGCAGUAGUCCAAGUUAAAAGAAAGUCCUUCACUCCCUCAAGAGGCAGUGAUGACUACCAGCUUGGAUGGCUCCCAGUCACCAGUCACUCCCAGUCACCAGUCUGGCUGCUGCAUUCUGGAUUAAUUGCAGUUUCCGAGUCACCUUCAAAGGUAGCCCCACGUAGAGCGCAUGGCAGUAGUCUAAGCAGGAGAUAACUUGAUACUCCAAAGCAGGAGAUAAUGUGGUGAGACUCCAAAGGUGCCAGGGUUUGCUUUCUGAGGGCACCGGCGUUUGUCCACAGACAGCUUUCCAGAUCAUGUUGCCAGCAGGACUAAACCACUUCUGGCACAAUGGGACACUGUGAAGGAAACCAGAGCAAUGCACGGAAAUGCCGUUUACCUUCCCACCGCAGUGGUACCUAUUUAUCUACUUGCACUUUGAUGUGCUUUUGAACUGCUAGGUUGGCAGGAGCUGGGACAGAGCAACGGGAGCUCACUCCAUCACAGGUACUCGAAGCGCCAACCAGUCGGCAAGCCCAAGAGGCUUAGUGAAAGGGAUGUGGGUGGCGCUACACAUAUAUACGACCUGAGCGUACAUUAACACCCCAGCAGAUCUCGCAUCUCCUUCAGUCACAGCUUUGAAUCCAGCCCAGAGCAAGCAGGUCUCUGUGUCUCCAGCUUCCAGCCUGCUUCCAGCUCAGCUCUCUCACACCACUCAGGCUAAUCUCCUCUGAUCUAGCAUUCAGUCUAUAGCACAGAGCAAUCUUUUUGGUUAUGUCGAUUGUGGCACUUCGCUAGCCAGCCAAAGCCAUCGCUUAGAGAAAGAGGCUGAGUUAGGCAAAUUGGCUCUGACUACUGUCCUGACUGGGACACAGGUGGCGCUGUGGGUUAAACCACAGAGCCUAGGACUUGCAGAUCAGAAGGUCGGUGGUUCAAAUCCCCGCGAUGGGGUGAGCUCCCGUUGCUCGGUCCUUGCUCCUGCCAGCCUAGCAGUUCGAAAGCACGUCAAAGUGCAAGUAGAUAAAUAGAUACCACUCUGGCGGGAAGGCAGACGGCGUUUCCGUGCGCUGCUCUGGUUUCGCCAGAAGUGGCUUAGUCAUGCUGGCCACAUGACCCAGAAGCUGUAUGCCGACUCCCUCGGCCAGUCAAGCGAGAUGAGCACCGCAACCCCAGAGUCAUCCGCGACUGGACCUCAUGGUCAGGGGUCCCUUUACCUUUACCUUACUGUCCUGACUCCUGCCAUUUAAAUAGGGUUGCUAUACAUCUGAACUAUUCCCCCCCCAAAAGGCUCAACAAUUUGCCCCCCAAAAGUCCAACAGCAACCCUACCUUUGAUGUACCAAACAGGUGAGGGGGCUGGCUGUGGAAGAUUCCUUCCAUCAGCCACCGAGUUUGGUGCUUGUCAAAGUAAAUGAUUCCCAGACUUUGCAAAGCUGGUGUCACUGGAUCAAGUUCAUCAGAUUCUUUGAAUUAAUUCAACUAAAUGGUUUUAAUGGGACUUUGAACCAAUGUAGGAUUCCUUGUUCCCGUUUUGAAUUUUAUUGUGUCAGUAUUUUCCUGAAUGGGUUGUGCAAACUGCUAUUCGGAAUAAUGCUUUUUGAAGGGUAGGGGGCACUGGGGGGUGGGCUUGUGGAACCAAUAAGGAAGCAGCCCAAAAGAGUGUGGGAGCUACCGGCCUAAAAGCUCUUCUCUCCCCUCCUCCUUCAGAACGCCAAACAUUAUGCAAACCUGGGAAAGGCAGCUGAACGGUUUGGCUCGGUAAUCUUUGGGCUGUGAGCCAAACCAGUUCCAAAAUGUAUUAGCGAUAUGCACACACAGUUCAGUGGAGAACAGAGAGACUUUGGUCAUUAGCUGAAGUGAUGCAAAGCCAGGCGUGGGAGGCAAAGGACUCAUUCAGCCGGGGCCACUUGGGGAGGGGAAAUCCUGCCAGUGAUGGUUUCUCUCNNNNNNNNNNNNNNNNNNNNNNNNNNNNNNNNNNNNNNNNNNNNNNNNNNNNNNNNNNNNNNNNNNNNNNNNNNNNNNNNNNNNNNNNNNNNNNNNNNNNCAUGGAUAGGCAAGCUAAGGCCUGAGGGCCGGAUCCAGCCCAAUCGCCUUCUAAAUCCAACCCGCAGACAGUCUGGGAAUCAGUGCUUUUACAUGAGUAGAAUGUGUCCUUUUAUUUAAAAUGCAUCUCGGGGUUAUUUGUGGGGCAUAGGAAUUCGUUCAUAUUUUUUCUUCAAAAUCUAGUCCAGCCCCCCACAAGGUCUGAGGGACAGUGGACCGGCCCACGGCUGAAAAAGUUUGCUGACCCUUGAUCUAAUUCAACCCCCUGCAAUGCAGGAAUUUCAACAUGCAGUCUCCCAUCCAGUUUGAAACCAUGCCAGCCCCUGCUUAGCUUUGCAAAUGUUCUUAGUGGAAGUUAAAAGUUUGAUGUCAGAGAGCGUUCCCCCUUAGCUAUGAACUGGGAUCAGUGCUAGAUAGAAGGCACCAGAUGAGUGCAUCCUAAUUUUGGUCAGGAUAGACAUAAAAUCUCCCUCUAACCCUCUUGAUAGAAACCCGAUUCCUCCAUGUUUAUAGGGCGGCAUCGCUAAUCCCUUAAGGAGAUGAAUUUAUAGCUGGCUUCAGCUAUAAGCAGCCCUUUCCUCCCUCAGAAAUGGAAUUCCUUGUGAAACAUUUGUAUUUAUGUAAUACCCUAAUUCAAGCUGCUUACUUGUGGAUCAUGUUUGAUGGGAAAUUGUUGCUAAAUGGAGGGUGAUAACUUUCGGCCCUGAAGGUGGGAGUCAGAUGACAUGGCCCUUUUCCUGUACAGCUCCCUUAUUUGGGAUAACCAUGACUCUCAAAGGGAACCAUUCACAGUGGGAUCAGGUGUUAAACAGGGUUGUGUUAUUGCCCCAACUCUACUCAUUAUUUUCAUUGCAAAGAUCCUACACUUUGUUGAAGGGAAACUCCCCACCGGAGUAGAAAUCAUAUAUGGAACAGAUGGAAAGCUCUUCAAUCUGAGCAGGCUGAAAGCAAGGAGGAAGGUUACCGUAACUUCCUCCAUAAAGCUUCAGUAUGCUGAUGACAACGUAGUGUGCGCGCCCUCAGAGGAUGACCUCCAAACCAUCCUAAAUAUCUUUGCAGAAGCUUAUGAAAAGCUUGGCCUAUUGCUCAAUCUAUGCUUGUGAAACAUGGACCACUUCUAAACGCCAUCUCCAACUCCUCGAAAGAUUCCAUCAGCGGUGUCUCCAAAAAAUUUUACACAUCACUUGGGAAGACAGGCAAACUAAUGCCAGUGUACUGGAAGAAGCAAAGAUCACCAGUGUUGAAGCAAUGAUUCUUCAACAUCAACAUUGCUGGACUGGUCAUGUUGUGCAGAUGCCUGAUGAUUGUCUUCCAAAGCUACUCUAUUCUGAACUUAAAAAUGGAAAGCGUAAUGCUGGUGGUAAUAAAAGAGGCUUAAAAACUGUCUCAAGGCAAAUCUUAAAAAUGUAGUAUAAACACUGACAACUGGGAAACACUGGCCUGCAAGUGCUCCAAUUAGAGAACAGCCUUUCCCAAAGGUGUCAUGGGCUUUGAAGAAACUUGAACUCAGGACGAAAGGGUGAAACAUGCUAAGAGGAAGGCACGCUUGGCAAAUCCACACCGUGAUAAACUCCCGCCCGGAAACCAAUGUCCCCGCUGUGGAAGAACGUGUGGAUCCAGAAUUGGCCUUCACAGUCACUUACGGACUCAUUGUUAAAACCGUGUUUAUGGAAGACACUCUUACUCGGCUACGAGGGAUCGCCAAAGAGGAAAGGAUGGCUGAGCAACGGUGAUUGUGGGGUGAAGAUGAACAGAGGAAUAGACGUCUUGGUGGGUGUUGCUCUCAAGGCUGUUGUAGGGUGGGCAGCUGCUGUUUUCUAAUAAUAUUCAGACCUUGGAGCUGCAAGUGGGGACUCCAUUGCUCCCCUAUUUUGCUGUUUAAAUCUUGGAAGUGGAGAGCAAUAUUCCCCAUUGUUGCCAUUGUGGUGCAAGAGGAUGCCUGCGAAAUUAACGGGUCUGUGAGAUCAAACCAGCCAAUUAUUUUAUUUUAAGAAUCCCUGCUGAUACCAAAGUGUGGUACUAACACAGAGCUUUGAAUAUGCUCCACAGAUUGUGGACAAGGUUUGAUGGAGGGCUGGACACGGCUUCCUUUUAUUUUAUUGCCUCCGCUUUGGAUGGUACAUCGCUUCCUUUAAAAUAGACUUUCAAAGGCAGGUACUCUUAAGACAGUUAUCUUAAAAGACUGGAUCCCCCAUCCUCCCUUGAGAAGGGAUCUCUGAUCAUGCAGUGCCUUUACUAAAUGUGCCUCCAGGAAUCUCAUAAACUUUUCUUUACUCGUUCAUAAAUGGUGCAGACAACCAUUUUUUGCUCAGGGCACAGCAAAGUCUCGUUUUGCACUUUCAGGUGAAUUUAAAAGUGAAUAAGAUACUGCGGGCAAUUAAUUUUUGUACAGUGUGCAUCGCAAGGUUCUGCAUAAGCUCUGAAUUUUGGACAGCUACUAUUUGCGCAAAAUCUAAACUGGUGAGGAAAGGCAUUAAGGUGAAUUAAAAGUGGGUGGAGGCCUAACGUAGAAUGUAAGCGGUAUGCCUGUUCUUAAUUCAGCUAAUACUAAAUGGAAACAUUAAUGCUUUUCUGUAUGACAGUGAGGUUUUUUAUGCUAUGGCAGCCCAGAUACUGUGAGCCCAAAGAUGGAAAGAGGAAACAGAUUGGCAGACCAAAUUAAGGGACUAUGCUGAAGUGGCAAAAUUAACUGGAAAGCUCAGAUAUCAAGAUGACAAUAAAUUUAAAAAAACAAUGGGAAAUGUUUACUAGGGAUUUGCAAAAGUAUUGUAAGCAGGUUAAUACAUUGGCAGGAUUUUAAGAACGCUUGUAAUUUUACAGAUAAUACAGGAAAUUUGAAUCAAAAAUUAAUUUAGAAUAGAAAUAAUUGCAGUUGAAAAGGAAAUUUAAGGAACAGGGGAGGAGUCAUGGGAUUCGGAGAAUCCCAUUUUAUGUAUUUGAUACUGUUUUUGUGAAUAUUUUUCUUUGUUGUAGUUGUAGUUAUGGGUUUUUUAUUUUUGUUUUUGUUACUUUUGUUGAAAACUUAAUAAACAAUUUUUUUUAAAAAAGAGUAACAUUUUGUGCGGCUCAGAUUUUGAAAGAGGGAUGCUUCUGAGACCUGGAAUGCAAUGGGUCCUUGUGAUAAGAGCUGUACUUUCCGUUCCCUUAGAUUUGCUUCCCCUAUCUUUGGCUACAAUGAGUUCUGUGCUUCCUUGUGUUCAUGCGAGAUUUAUUUCUUCUGCGCCGUGUUUUCAUCUUAUGCGCCCUGUGCUGAAAAGCCAAUAAAAAUUAUUUUUUAAAAGAAGCAAACUUCUGAGCUUCUUUCAUCGGUGCACCUUUCAGCUGUGCCUGCCAACAAAACCCAUUUCUCUCUUUUACGGCGUGUGUAUUGCUCCAAUCUUACCGACCAUUUUACAGAUCCGUGGGGACUCGAUGCAGCUUGCAACAUUCGCCACCCCACCUCCUGUCAGUGUUGAUAGAAGACAAAUAUAUGUGUAUAUUCGAUGCUUCCUGGAGCAGGAGAUCUGUCUCAAAAGAUUCAUCUACCAACCCCUCUUCCAUGCCCUGCAAGAUCCCUUCCAGUCGGAAAUAACCAGCUCUCAACUCUCUGCUGUGAGCUUUCUCCUUUCGUUAAGCAAACUCAUUUCUCGUCAGCCUUCUCAAUCUUCACAAGCCUACAGGCAAGCAGCACCUGGGAAUGCUAUUCUGCAAAACACUGGGAAACUGCACCAAGGCAGCACACUCUGGAGCAGGGCAGACAAUGAUAAUGAUAAUAUUAAUAAUAAUAAUAACAACAACAACAACAACAACAACAACAACAACAACAGCAACAGCAACAACUAAUAAUAAUAAUAAUAAUAAUAAUAAUAAUAAUAAUGUUGUUUAGUCGUUUAGUCGUGUCCGACUCUUCGUGACCCCCUGGACCAGAGCACGCCAGGCACUCCUGUCUUCCACUGCCUCCCACAGUUUGGUCAAACUCAUGCUGGUAACUUCGAGAACACUGUCCCACGAUCUUGUCCUCCGUCGUCCCCUUCUCCUUGCGCCCUCCAUCUUUCCCAACAUCAGGGUCUUUUCCAGGGAGUCUUCUCUUCUCAUGAGGUGACCAAAGUCUUGGAGCCUCAGCUUCAGGAUCUGUCCUUCCAGUGAGCACUCAGGGCUGAUUUCCUUCAGAAUGGAGAGGUUUGAUCUUCUUGCAGUCCAUGGGACUCUUAAGAGUCUCCUCCAGCAUCGUAAUUCAAAAGCAUCAAUUCUUCGGCGAUCAGCCUUCUUUAUGGUCCAGCUCUCACUUCCAUACAUCACUUCUGGGAAACCUAUAGCUUUUACUAUACGGACCUUUGUUGGCAAGGUGAUGUCUCUGCUUUUUAGGAUGCUGUCUAGGUUUGUCAUCGCCUUUCUCCCAAGAAGCAGUUGUCUUUUAAUUUCAUGGCUGCUGUCACCAUCUGCAGUGAUCAUGGAGCCGAAGAAAGUAAAAUCUCUCACUGCCUCCAUUUCUUCCCCUUCUAUUUGCCAGGAAGUGAUGGGCCCAGUGGCCAUGAUCUUUGUUUUUUAAUAAUAAUAAUAAUAAUAAUAAUAAUAAUAAUAAUAAUAAUAUUUAUUACUUAUACCAUACCCAUCUGGCUGGGGCCUCCCUAGCCACUCUGGGUGACUCCCAACAGAAUAUUAAAAACACAAUAAAUAUAUCAAACACUGAAAACUUCCCUAAACAGGACUGCCUUCAGAUGUUUUCUAAAAGUCAGGUGGUUGUUUAUUUCCUUGACAUCUGAUGGGAGGGCACCACCACCGAGAAGGCUCUCUGCCUGGUUCCUAAUGGUCGCCUCAGCUCAAAAAGGAUAUUGGAAAAGUUUCAGUAAAUGAUCAAGAGGAUGGAGGGGCUCCCCUGUCAAUAAAGGUUUCAGCGUUUGGGACUUUUUAGUUUAGAGAACAGGCAAGUCAGAGGCAACAUGACGGGAGUUUGUAACAUUAUGGAGAAAGUGGGUAAAUUCUUGUAGAUUGAAUUUUCAUGUAACCCACACUAUUGCAUAAGCUGGUGGGACCAUUUGUCGGCAUGCCUCCUUAUCCAUAUACAAUAUGAAAUCAAAUCAUACUGGGGGAAAACACACACAACCCUCUGCCCCCCCUUUUUUUACUAGACACUCGCUGAGACUUUUUAUAGUUAUGCUGUCUGUCUCCACCCAGGCUCUCAGCUUCUGCAUUUGUAAAUAAACCCAAAUAUUACCAUUCUCUCACACCCUGAAGUCUUCUGUCAUUUAGAAGGAAAAUGCAGGUGGUCACCGCUACUGAAGCUGGGCAUGUGCAGCAGUUGGCAAACCUCAGAAAAGGCACCUUUAUGAGACUCUGACAGAAGACUGAAAUAACUUAAUUGCAGUGAGUUGGAAUUUCUGCAAAACCCAUGAUCAGCAAGGCUAGUGUCACACAAGCAAGAGUGCAGCCUGACCACAAAACGGGUAAGAAGCCAUUAAGGAGGAACCUAACAACUGUCGUUUAAAGUGAAAAACAAUGCCAGAUAAAGUACAAGGAAGGUUCUAAUAGAUACUGUGAAAAAGGAUUGAGUAAAAGUUGGAUGAAGAAAUGGUGAGGUUCUGGGGCAGCAAAAGGUGAAUGGGUUAGAAGACAAAAGAGCUAAGAUUAUGCACAUUUUGCCUAUAAAUUGUGUCCUGGUGGAAAGCUCUUGCAGACUCUCUGAACUCUGUCCAGUUCUGCAUAACUGAAUACAUUCUGACCGACUGGGAAUUUGACAUGAGCCUCUGCACUUUCCCAAUAACAGCUUAAAGGAAAAUACAGUCUUAAACAAGCACAGAAACACAAAGUUGCAGCCCCAGUUAAAAUGCCAACCGGCUCUGAUCAAUCAACCCAGAAUGCAAUACUUGGAAAGACAGGAGAACUAAUGCCAGUGUACUGGAAGAAGCAAAGAUCACCAGUGUUGAAGCAAUGAUUUUUCAACAUCAACUUCGUUGGACUGGCCAUUUUGUGCGGAUGCCUGAUGAUCGUCUUCCAAAGUAACUACUCUAUUCCGAACUUAAAAAUGGAAAGCGUAAUGCUGGUAGUCAACAAAAUAGGUUUAAAGACUCUUUCAAGGCAAAUCUAAAAAACACCAGCAAUUGGGAAACACUGGCCUGCGAGCGCUCCAGUUGGAGAACACCCUUUACCAAAGGUGUCAUGGGCUUUGAAGACACUCGAACUCAGGACGCAAGGGAGACACGUGCUAAGAGGAAGGCACACUUGGCAAAUCCACACCGUGAUCAACUCCCGCCCAACGUCCCCACUGUGGAAGGACAUGUGGGUCCAGAAUUGGCCUCCACAGUUGUUAGGAGUCAUUCUGCAAAGAAACAGAAAAGAUGAUUGUAACUUUAAGAACUGUUUCUGUGAGUGGUUUUCUAAGCUGAUUAGGUACAGCUGGUGAUGAGUACAAAAGGAGGAGAAGUUGCAGUUUGAAUUUGCCUGCAGAGAGAGAACACCCACAUGCUUUGUGUUUGUUGUUUUUGUAUAGCUGUAAUAAAACCUUUGUUUUGAGUGUUUUACACCAGUCUCGUGGUCUCUUGGUUCUGUUGUCUACCAUCAGAAGAAAAAACCCCUCUAACAACAGUCACUUACAGACUCAUUGCUUAAACCAUGUUUAUGGAAGACAAUCUUACUCGACUACGAGGGAUCGCCAAAGAAGAAGAUAAAGCUUCCCACAAGAGGAAAUUUGUGUUCUUGUGUUAUCUUAUGCAGAAGAAUGUUCAGGUGGGCUUUGACCUAAAUGUUUUCUUCGUAAAAAUCUACCAUACCGAUUAAAGCUUGCAACCCUCCUUAAAGCUCAUCCAUGUUCCACCGGCCUCUGGAGAAUCCUACUGACUUAGCAGCCAGGGCUGAGGGACCCAUCAGCAGUCAGACACAGCUGCUAGGGCAUGUCUUGGGGAAACGGGAAAGGCUUGGGAAGAGUGUCAUCCCUUGAAUUCUCUCUCUCUCUCUGGGCUCAUUUAGGAUGCAAGGAGGGAGCAAAUGAUUCUGCUCCUUAACAAGACAGAUAUUUGUUUUUUUAUGGAAGGGAACUGUCUAAUGUGAGGAGGAGAGGUUUAAAUAUUCAUCAGCUCCCUGUGCAAAGAACUCCAUUUGCAGGGAAGGCAAACCUCUCUGGCAUUCGCUGAAUUUCAAACGAAGGCUUUAUUUAGAAGAGCUGUUUCCCCACCCUGCCGGAGCAAACAUCUUAUUACACUUACAGAGCUCAGACAACGGAAAUUGAGUCCCCUUGCUUGCUCUGAAGAGAUUCACAUUAUGAAUAGUGCUGGGUCCUUAGAAGCCUGCUUUCGUUGUGGGCAAAUGCAAGCAGACUUCUCCAAGUUUGGUGCCAUCUGUGCCUGCGCCAGGACUUAUGAACGUAGGGUGCCAACACAGGCCUACUGGCUGGAGCUGAUGCCAGCUGAAAUGUUGGCUUUCCUACUGGAGGCUACAGGAAAUGUGAUGUCAGGAUUGCUAUGAAGGCAAAGGACUCGAAUUUGGAGGUGUUAAAAAAAAAUUAAGGUCUUAUGUACGUAUAUAGUGGUACCUCGGGUUAAGAACUUAAUUUGUUCUGGAGGUCCGUUUUUAACCUGAAACUGUUCUUAACCUGAGGUACCACUUUAGCUAAUGGGGCCUCCUGCUGCUGCUGCGUGAUUUCUGUUCUCAUCCUGAAGUAAAAUUCUUAACCUGAAGGUACUAUUUCUGGGUUAGCGGAGACUGUAACCUGAAGCGUCUGUAACCUGAAGCGUCUGUAACCCGAGGUACCACUGUAUAAUAGAUGUUCAUAAAUGUACCAAGCAAACACAUACAAAUAUGUAAACCACAUGUCUGAAACCCACAGAAAAGUCCUGAAACCAUUUUCUCUCUCCCAAAAUGACCUCAAAUAUUUCUCUGCAAGGUCGAAGGAAAUGGGAAAUCUCCCUAUUGUCUCUUUCACAAAUCUGUCUUAAGGGCACAUUUAAGAUAUGUAUAGCAGAGACACCACCUUGUCAACAAAGGUCCGUAUAGUUGAAGCUAUGGUUUUCCCAGUCGUGAUGUAUGGAAAUGAAAGCUGGACCAUAAAGAAGGCUGAUCGCCGAAGAAUGGAUGCUUUUGAAUUCUGGUGCUGGAGGAGAUUCUUGAGAGUCCCAUGGACUGCAAGAAGAUCCAACCGAUCCAUUCUUAAGAAAAUCAGCCCUGAGUGCUCACUGGAAGGACAGAUCCUGAAGCAGAGGCUCCAAUACUUUGGCCACCUCAUGAGAAGAGAAGACUCCCUGGAAAAGACCCUGAUGUUGGGAAAGAUGGAGGGCACAAGGAGAAGGGGACGACAGAGGACGAGACGGUGGGACAAUGUCAUCGAAGCUACCAGCAUGAGUUUGACCAAACUGCGGGAGGCAGUGGAAGACAGGAGUGCCUGGCGUGCUCUGGUCCAGGGGGUCACGAAGAGGCGGAGACGACUAAACGACUAAACAACAACAACAUACAGUCAUACCUCAUGUUACGUCUGCUACAUGUUACAUUCUUUCAGGUUACGUCCCACGGCGACCCAGAAGUACCAGAAAGGGUUACUUCCGGGUUUCACCGCUCGCGCAUGCACAGAAGCGCAAAAUGAUGUCAUGUGCAUGCACAGAAGCAGAGAAUUGCAACCCGCGCAUGUGCAGAUGCACCGCUGUGGGUUGUGCUCUUUUCAUGUUGUGAACGGGCCUCUGGAACAGAUCCCGUUCGCAACCAGAGGUACCACUGCAGGGUGUGAGCCUGUGACCUGUGACCUGGAUUCAGGAAUUGUGUAACAAAAGAGUGGCCAGGAUGCCCAGGUAAUCCAAUCAGGUAACCUGGCAGACAGGAAGAAACAACACACCCAGAUUUACACCCCUUCUGUGAUGUAUGUAUGACGUUUCUGGGGGGUGGUCUUGAGCUACAGGGUGGGCAAUUUCAAAGUCUAUAUAAGGGCUUGCACACCUUUGUCCUAGGUCCUCCUCCUCUCUCCUGCGUGUGAGGGGAGCACCCGGUUGCAACAGCUUUAAUAAAGAUCAGGCUUAUAGCCGCUUUGCUUUUGUAUAUCCUGGUCUGGUCUCUUUCCCGACCGGUUUGAGCCUUAAAAGGUACGCUCUCUCCGAAGGUCCUGUCUUCCUUAAGAAGAUGAACCCCUUGAAGGGACCCCAUUUUUAUUCUUAUUUCAGAGGUUACAGUGUGUGCUGUGUCAAGCAAUACUUUAUCUGUCCUGAAUCUCCCACAGGGAAGGUAGUGUCUCCUGGCAGUUAGCUGUGGGUGUGGAGGAAAUAUACAGGUUGCUGGCCCUCCCUGCCUCCGGAGUUCCAUAGUUUAACUACGUGCUGGAUCAAUCCCAGCCCUCCUGCAUCAUGUCUAGUUUGGCUCCCCGUUGCAGACACUUCAUGCUCAUUCAUCCGGUAAUGACACUAAGGACCACGGGGUGAAAAUACCCAUUUGGACACAGGUAGACAAACCCACAUUAAAUCUCCUUCGAAAAGGACUAACUGGCAAACUGGUUCCUUCAUCACUUUUAAACACUUCUCUGUGCGUCCGCUACAACUGAGGAUGGACUUAGAGAGCCAUUGAAGCAAAUGCAAUCGAUAUUCAAUUUCGCCAAGAUAAUGCAACAAUAACAUAACCGAGAAGCAUUUAUCAGAAACCCAAACAACAUUAACAAACAGAAAAGCAGGGGCCCAGGUUUAAAGAGGCGUCGCACCGCUGAAUGCCAAUGUCAAGCUGCUGCGAAAGUUAACACCCCAUUGUUCCGGCCAGGUUGUGUUAGCAACUAGGUAACAGAGGUCUUGGCAUCAUAUUUUGCCUUCUUUGCAGGCAACGGUGGAAAGAUGAGAUGGAAACAACACUUUUGUGGAACUUGCAGUUUGACCAUCAUUUGCGGAUGUUAAAGACAGUUAGUGUGCAUCUGUUGGAGCAGUGAAUUGGUCUUUGUUAUAAGAAAAAACUGCUCCUUUUUACCUUAUGGGGUACCCAAGAGCCCAUAUAGAGUCCUUAUGUAGGUUCUCUGUGGGUAGGAGAAAAUAACAGAGGCCAAGCAGAGAAUAUUGAGAAGCAAAGCCGCUAGUAAGCCUGAUCUUUAUUGAUCUGUUGCAACAGGGUCCCCACUCACCCCACCCAGGGAGGGAGGAGAGAACCCAGAACAAUUGUGCCCAAGUUCUUAUAUGGACAUUUGAAAUUGCCUCCCCUGUAGCUCAGGACCACCCCCAAAAAACAUCAUACAUACAUCACAGAAAGAGGUGGUCCCCAGCAGAAAUUAGAGUGUGUUGCUUCUCUCCUGUUUGCCAGAAUACCUGAUCAUGCCUUAUCUGAUUGCCUUUUCUGGGUAGCCUGGCCAUUCCUUUGAGGUGGUAAAUCCUUAGUUCCUGAAUCAUAUAUGCAUAUUGAGAGUGUGCUCAGCUUAACAGAUACUUGCCAGACUGUAUUUGCAGGGCAGUAUUAGCACCUACAAUAGGAAGCUUUUCCCAUUUCCUUCCUCCUUGCAGAGAAAAAUAAUUGAGGUCAAUUUGGGAGAGUCAAAUGGCUUCAGGAUUGUUCUCCUGUACUAUUUCAGACACGUGGCUUAUAUACCUAUGUAUGUGUUUGCCUUGUACCUUUAUGAACAUUUAUUUUUUAUAUAUAAGACCUUAGAAUUCCUGUAACAGUCUUCAAUGCCUCUGUUCAUUCUUGCUUCUAAAACCCAGAUGUUGGAAGCAGAAAUGCGGCACCAAAGUGAAACAAAACUGCACCAACACACAAGAGUGGUGUGCUCAUUUGGGGGGCAGAAUUAUGCCGGUGAAACACAGUGCGAUAGCAAACUCCACCUCAAGCAAGAGAGAAAGGAGUUUCUCUCGCUCCCCCUCCGUUCUUUCUUUUGGAUUCUUCUUUUGAUAGCAGUGCCACCAAGAGUCUGCGAGCCAGACCAGUGAGACAUCAGAUCCGAGAGAGAGGCAGGGAGGGAGCGCAAAGGAGCUUUGCAAAAAGCAAAUCGCAAAGGGAGCCUUUUCCCUCUCUCAACUGAAGUCCAACAAAUGAAUUAGACUCUCCCCACCCCACCCAAUAUUUAUGGAGCCGCUGAGGCAGAAAGCAAAUCUCGGCUCAGAGGCCUACCUGAGGGUUACAUAACAAAAUUCAUUUGGGCAUCCAGUGAGUCAGCGCAGGAGGACUUUCCCAGAGCACUGCAAAGGACGCAGCAGCCUCUACCCCACAAAGGGAAGAGUUCAGAGGAGCCAGAUGCUGAACUGCAACAGUUUAAGGCUGCAGAUCAUGCACAGGAGACGGAUUCACCCUUUUCUAUUCUUUCCACUCUGGUUUAAUCUGUUACAGUGGACGCUCGGGUUGCAAACAUGAUCCGUGCGGGAGGCACGUUCACAACCCACAGUGUUCGCAACCCGCAGCGUCACAUCUGUGCCCGCGCGGGUUGUGAUUCAGCUCUUCUGCACAUGCGCAACCACCAAAAGGUUCUCGUCUGUAACCCGAGGUAUGACUGUAUAAGAAAAAACUGCUCCUUUUUCCCUUAGGGGUAUCCAAGAGCCCAUAUAGAGUCCUUAUGUGGGUUCUCUGUUGGUAGGAGAAAAUAACAGAGGCCAAGCAGAGAAUACUGAAAAGCAAAGCAGCUUGUAAGCCUGAUCUUUAUUGAACUGUUGCAACCGUUUCCCCAUUCCCCACAUGCAGGAGGGAGGAGGAACCCUGAACAAUGGCGUGCAGGCCCUUAUAUAGGCUUUUGAAAUUGCCACUCUGUAGCUCAAGGCCACCCCCCAAAACAUCAUACCUACAUCACAGAAGGAGGCAGACCUACAGCAGGAUCCUGUCUGGCAGGAAACCUGUUAAUGGGUUUACCUGGACAGCCUGACCAUUAUAAACAAUUAAUUCCUGAGUCCAGGUCACAGGCUCACCCUAUUCAUACCCAAAUGUGCCCUUAAAGGCAGGAUUUGUGAGCACAGAGACAAUGAGGAGGCUUUUCCCAUUUCCAUCCAAACUGCAGAGGAAUAUUUGAGGUCACUGAAAGAAUCAAAAUGGCUUUAGGACUGUUUUCCUGUACUGUUUCAGACAUGUGGUUUAUAUAUUUAUGUUUGUGUUUGCCUGGUACAGUUAUGAACAUUUAUUAUGUAUCUUAGAUUUUAUAAUUCUCAUAACAAUAGCAAUGUCUAUGGAGUGAAAGCAGCAUUGUGUGACUGUUUGAAGGAGAGAGACAGUUUCACAGCACUAUUGCUUUCCUCCAAAAAAUAAUAUUUUUUGUUAACGUUUUCUCCCUUGUCCUGGAAUGAACUCCAGAAAGAAAGGAAGCAAGAAAAUUCCUACAAAACAUGGUCUGGCAGGUUUUCAGGGCAGAGGGCAGCACAUCCAGACAGUUUCCAAAAUGAGAGCACUCUCUGCGUUCAGGAGCAAAGCAAUGCUCUUGGGGGGAGUUGCAGACAUUUGCUUGGGUUUGGGUCCCAGUUCCAGGGGACAGGAUGGACCCCUAAGGAGUGGGGAAUCAUAGAAUCCUAGAGUUGGAAGAGACCACAAGGGCCAUCGAGUCCAACCCCCUGCCAAGCAGGAAACACCAUCAGAGCACUCCUGACAUAUGGUUGUCAAGCCUCUGCUUAAAGACCUCCAAAGAAGGAGACUCCAAAGAAGGAGGGAGUGGGAUUCUUCUAGCGAAUGGCCCUGGAAGAAACCCUGACUACAUUUUCAGCGGAAGGCAAUAAUGCAAAGUGACAGCAGGAAAAUACGGCUGGGUGAUUUUAGGUUGGAAACAAGGCAAAGGCAGGGAGCACAGAUUAUUAACCUCCUGUGGGUGGGCGGGUGGAAUUCUCCAAUUUCUUGAUAAGGCAAGUCACACUCGGGGGCAUUUCAGGAGAAACUCACAAGUCCAAAAGCAAAAGGCAAGUCACAUUUCCAGGAGAGAAUUCCUGGGUUCGUGGUUGGAGACAGGAUGGAGAGAAGAAUGGACUGCUGGAGGACACACCUUUGUUAUAGGUUUAAUCAUUUAUAUGGCAUCUUUGGGCCAAAAAGUUAUGGCACCCCCAGGUAGCACACAAAUUUUAUAAAAGCAAACACACCCAUGCAAACACAUUAAAAAUCUUACCAUUUCAAAUUGUUAACAGAGAAAUCUGAGGGCUCCCUUGGACAAAAAACAAGGACACCAGCCAGGAAUACCAGAGCAAAACAGCAGCCAGUAGGCUUGGUCUUUAUUGAAGACUGUCACAACAGGACUCCCACCUGCCACCAGGUGAAACAAGAUGGAAGCCCAGAACAACAGAAGACCCCAACUUUUAUUAGCUACUAAUCCCCCAAGCUACACCCCUAGAACUACAUCACAACUACAUCACAAAAAGGAGGGGUUGAGGGAGGCGUUGUGGCGGUAACCUGAGUGUCCUGUCACCUGGCUGGUUCCUCCUUUCCCCCUCCCCAUGAGUACUUUCCAGAGGACAAAGGGGAGUUGGCAGUUUCCUGCCCCCAGAGGGAAGAUCUGAUUAUUGUCCUUUGUUCCAGUCCGUGUUGAAUCCACUCCCAUAUGCAAGUCCUUUGUGAUCUUGAUGGUCUUCUGUCUGGGACCAUCAGGGUUGGCAUAGCAACUGGGCAGGGCUCCUGUGGAUGUGCUGGUAUGCUGAAGGGAUUAUGACUGCCCUGUAUCAAACCUUCCCUAUUUUGUAGUCCUUCCUUCAUGGAGUAAAAUAAAAGUGGAAUGGUGCAGAUCCGAUGUAGGUGUUUUUUUCUAGGAAUUUAAAACAGAAGCGUAGCAUAUGUAGUGUGUGUGAGUGUGUGUGAAGUUUGUACAAACUGAAUGAUUGGGGGGGGGCGGGCUUCCUGCGACAAAAUCAAACUUUGAAAGGCUGAUAUUGUGGGAUCAAGUUCAUGAAUUUUGCUGAAUUAGACUAAAUAGUUUUAAUUGGAUUUUGAAUCAAGUUGUCAUUAAUUGUUCCUGAAUUUCCCUUUGAAUUGUGCUGUUGUCUUCCUUAGUGAGACUUGAAACCCACUAUUUUGAAUAAUGCUUCUUAUGCAGUAGGGGGCACUGGGGUUGAGCUUAUGGAACCAAGGGGGCAGAAACCAUACACUGGUUUGGGGAUUUUUUUUUGCUCCUGCAUUUAGAAAGAAAGAAAAAAGAAAACACACACACAGGAGGCCAAAAGAAAGAACAGCUCGGACAAAACACAUCAAAGAUGGCACCCAAGAAGGAAGUCACCCACGUUCUUGCAGUUCUGGGUCUGGUGACCAGAUGGGCAGCUUCUGCAGUCAAGGGCUGCAGAAUGGGCGCUUUAAGACUUACAUCUCAGGAUGUCUGCAAUUGUCACUUAAUGGAGGGCCUCAGAAGGUGGCAAGCUCCCCUUUGUUAAGGAAACAAUUCCGGGGUGAGAGACUACUCAAGAGCCUAGCUCAACGGGGUGCAAGUCCCCCGUGGGUCCAUAAAGUCAGUAAAAGAAGGAAGGUCCAGCCAAGUAAUUUGGAGCAAAACAGCGGUCAGUAGACCACGAUCCUUAUUGUUGAGCAACAGGUCCCCCCAGGAGUAAGAACCCCGAGCAGGGGGCGUGUUGUAAACAAAAAAAAUGCCCUUUUCCCUUAUGGGGUAUCCAAGAGCCUAUAUAGAGUCCUUUUUUCCCCCUCAAAUGAUAUUUAUUAAAGUUUCCGAUAAAAAAGACACAUCAGUAAAAAAGAAUUUAAAAGUAAAAAGAAAAAUACACAAUACAAAAAUAGACAAUACAAAAUACAAAAAAAAAGACAAAAGAAAAAAACAGUUAAAAACAAUACCAUCUUUUCAUCACCACUUUUGAAUUUACUUAUUUUCUGGACCUCCUCAUACCUCCUCUCUUUGUAUUCCAGUUCAAUUUGUUUGUCCAGCAAUUUCUUUCCUCUUUUUAAAUCCCAAUUCUUAAUCUUAAUAUGGUAUAACAUUAAAUUCUUAUCUAUUAAUAGCCAGUUUUCCGUUCUUUUAACCUUUUAUGCCUAAUCCUUAAUCUUGGUCUGUAUAUAACUUUAACGCCUGUGCAGCUAGAAACCACUUAAUUUCAAUCCAUCAUCACUCUAACAUUCUUUAAUUUUGCAAUGUUUCUGUAGGUAAUCUUUAAAUUUCUUCCAAUCUUCUUCCACCAACUCUUCUCCCUGGUCACGGAUUCUACCAGUCAUUUCCGCCAGUUCCAAGAGCCUAUAUAGAGUCCUUACAUAGGUUCCCUAUUGGUAGGAGAAGAUAACAGAGGCCAACCAGAGAAUAUUGAGAAGCAAAGCAGCUAGUAAGCUUGAUCUUUAUUGAACUGUUGCAACAGGGUGCUCCCCUCGCACACAGGAGAGGAGGAAGAAUCCAGAAAAAUGGUGUGCAA